rnacentral:lncRNA from 1 species
GUCUUUUAAGUAAUAUGAUCUUAGGGUUUUGGGAUCCUUAGCUGCUCGCGAUCAAAUUGAGUUCUAUAACUCAAAAUUGCAUUCGAAACCUAAUUUUUCAUUUUUAAAACAGAUUUCUACAACCAUCAAAUGAAUGAAAUUGAUUACCAAUUUAAGAUUUGACUUUUUAACCCUUCCUAGUCCUUAUAGUUUUGUUUUGGGGCAAAUAACGAUAGGGAAGAUGAGGAUAACUAAUGAUCAAGAAUUACCAAGAAUCACUAGUAUCAGGUAAUAACCUACCGUAUCAUUCCCUAAACGAACUCACAAGUAUAGGAUUAAAAAAAAUGAUAAAUUGUCACCCAACCAAUAAUUAAUCUCAUUGUUAUAAUAAUUAACCCAUUGUCCCUAUAAGUUUUCUACCCCUUAGGUUUUCAUACUUUAAGCCCGAAGUUGGUUCUUAGCCUCUCAUGGGGGUGAUGUCACAUUCACAAUCCAUAAUAGGGUAAAAAUCCAUAAUUGAAUCAAAAGAACUUAAACAAUAUUUUUAAUAAAGAAUAAAAAGAAAACAAACAAAAGUUUUCAUCUUCUUUCAUCUUCAAUGUCAAACUCUCCGGAAAAAAAAUUCAAGAUCCCUAAAACUUAGAAUUAAGAAAGUUUAUAUAAUAUCAUCAAUUACCUAACAUGUGACACACUCUCAUUGACCACUUAUUACAAAAUAAUUUCCUAAAAAUGAUUAAAAAAAUAAUAAAAUUGUGAUUUCUAGCCGUGUAGGGUCCACUUAGGGCAGAUGGAGUACCCUAUAUGCAAUUCCCGAGGUAGAGGAGGCGAAACAUCAAAGUGGUAGUGGGUGAAUUCGAAAUUGGUAUCAUUUCGAAGUGAAUUUCGAAUUUACAAGUUGGAUUUCGAAUUCAUAAGUUGGAUUUCGAAAUCAUUUCGAAAUGACCCUUCAGCUUGGUGCAGUUAUCUUCCAAUGGUCAUAACUUCUUCAUUUCAGCUCCAAUUUGCACAUCAUUUGAAGCGUUGAACUUUUGACUUCCCGAGAUUCAAAAUGAUAUAUAGUAUAUAUAAAAUAGACUCUGGUAAGUACUCUAAAUUUAUCCUCAAAUUCAAAGUGUAUAUUACUACCAGAUUUUUGAGUUCUAAAUUUCCAUGUUGCCAUGUUUUCUUGCUUUCUUUCUUACUUCAUAAUGGUCAUUUCUCAUCUUUUAAACUCAUGAUAUCCUCAUCUUGCCUUUCCUUAUGGUCCAUGAGUCUUGACUCACUUAUUUCCUCAUUUACCCCUUUCUUAAUCUUUCAAAAUCUAAAGUGAUUCAACUUGCACCAUUUUCUUCCCUUGAACCUGAGAUAAGUUUUCAAAGUACAAAUUAAACUCAUAGCUAGGGUCUUAGCAUUGAUUUAGGUCAAAUUAUGUGAUUUGAAUGUCCUUUGGUGCACAAAUCAUAUCGAAUAUGUGUCAUUAGAGCAUAUAUUUUGGCUCUAAUCAUCUUUUUUUUCUUAUUGAUUUCUCUUUGGCUUAAUUUUGUCUUUAUGAUUGCCACUUUGGAAAUCUUUUUGCCUAAUCACACUUGAAAUAUAAUAUUAGUUACAAACCUUGUUUUGUUAUCAUCAAAACUGAAAUUAACCAAACCUUGGUUUCACAGAAAGCUUCAUAGCAUGUAGACCACCUUGUCAACCUAUAAUCAAGCCAUUAAUUUCCCUACAUACACCGUAAAGGAUAUAGGAAAUAUACGACAACCAAGCCACAAUGCAUAUGUAUUGUCAUAUCACCACUAAUAAUUCUAAAGGCUCUAAGAGUUAAGAAACUUAGGAAGUUACCAGUUGUGGAACCCCUAGAGUCUUUAGCACUAAUGGGAGAAAGGUGCAAGAAAAGUAGUUAUGAUUUGUUCCCUCUUAUCGUGCCAUGAGAAAACACAAAUGUGGCACUUGCUCAAGGAGUUCAAUGAUGUGUCACUUGAGGCCCCUUAUGAUAUGCUAGGGAUAGAUUAUGAGUUGCCUGUCAUCACUUGAAUGUAUUACGACUAGAUGAUUAAUUAUGUAAAAACCACUAAAAUUCACAUGUGAGAGACAUCAAGUAGUUAACAAAUAAGUGUUAGGGCUCUUACAAGCUAGUUUUAUACACGAGGUAUUAUAUUCAAAGUGGUUGGUGAACAUGGUAGUAGUGCCCAAAAAGAAUGAAAAAUGGUGAGUAUGUGUGUACUACACUAACCUAAAGACUGCUUGCCAAAGGACAGUUGCCCUCUCUCAUGCAUAUAUCAAUAGUAGUGCACCAAUUAUUGACAUUCAUCAAUACUUAUUUGGGAUAUAAUCAGAUUUGGAUGGACACAAGUGAUAAAGAGAAAACUGCUUUCAUAACAACAAAAGACGCAUUUUGUUUUAAAGUUAUGUCAUUUGGCAUAAGGAAUGCAAAUGCCACCUAUUGGACGAUGGUUAAACAACUCUGUUGGCAAUAGUUAGGUUAGACUAUGAAAGUAUACAUAGACAAAUAAUCAAAAGCAAUAACAUUAGAGACCACUUCUAAUACCUGGUAAUGUCCUAUAUUUUACAAGAGUAGUAAAUGAAGCUCAACCCGGCUAAAUGCACCUUCAAGGUAGGGUCCAAAAUGUUUUGAGGGUAUAAAAGUAAAGCCGAACUAACCAAAUAAGAAUUGUCCUUGAGAUGUCGAUGCCCCACAUCAUAGGGGCGCCACAAGGCUCACUAGGAAGCUCGUGGCAUUAAGCAUAUUCAUAGUAAGGACAAUCGAUUAAUGGAAACCCUUUUUAAGGUAAGGAUAGGGGGCAUAUGAAAAAGCAUAUGAACAACCAAAGAAAUGCGUCAUCCAUCCAUCGAUUCUAGCUAAACCCAAGUGAGGUCGUAUUGCUAUACCUAGAGGAUUGCUCAAUUCUGAACAGUAGAAAAGGGAGGAAUGUGGAGGGGCUUUCCCGUUCAACAGCAACAUGUGGGCCUGUUCAACAGCACCAACUGGCCUGAGGAGACCAUUCGAACCCCCUCGCCAUCAUAAGCAAAUAAAUCAGAACUUGAUCACAGCAACCGACGGUCAGUUGCACUAAUUAUGAAUUUAAUGUGCAUUAAUUGCAUACAAUGUGGCACCGUAAUCUUGCCCUUUCCAUUGACCAUACCGUCAUGUGGGAAAUCCAACUGCUCUCAUGGUCAGUACGUAAUAACCUUCUACUGACUUGAACAUUGAAGCCCUCGCUGAACAGCAAGGGGAACGAUACUAACAAUUUUACAUAUGAUAUAUAAAAUAUAUGUGCAUAGUGUGGCAUUUGCAAUCAAUGCACUUUGAGAUGGCCCAACUUUAGUUUAUAGAAGCCACAUUAACUUUUACUUUAAUUUGGGACAUACCGUCCUAUAAUCAGUCAUUGAGGGAGAAAAAUUGUGACCAAGCAACAGGAUUACUCCUCCAGAAGCAUCCUCCAUCGUGAGUUUCCUAAACGUUAUAUAUCUCAAGCUGCAAUCCAAUAUUUGGAUGGCCUCAAAUAAAAGCAAAUCAAGGCAUGCAAAGAUUGGGACUUGCCCGAUUGGAUAUGGCCAUCAACCUUGUUUGAUUUAAUUAGCAAAUCAUUAGUUACUCAAACUAUAAAUUAGAUGGAGCCCUCAAUUUUGAGGUGUAUUUCAAUCAAGAAAUUUUAGAAUAUUAAUAGAGACAGAUCUUAGUGUUAGAGAGAAUUCUUGCCCAAUCACUAUGGGGUUUAAUGAGUUGAAUAAAUUAGGAUAUCUAUGAGUAGACAGCAUGUCCCCAGAAGCCUUAGUGCCCAAGUUAAAGACAAGAAACAACUAGGAAUAUACCUAAGAGAAGCUCACCUUUUAAAAGGGCCCUUUGUUCCAUUAAGGGGUAAAGAAUUAAUACUCUUAUAUACUAAUUCUCUCCACUAAACUCAUGAACAAGACCCCUGAAAUUUUGUUCUUUACUUUUACAAAAUCUUCUAAAUUACUUUGAAUUAUGUAGAUGAUUAAUUAUAUGCAAUAUUUUAAAACAACAUUAUUUUAAUAAUUCUUUUAGAAAGUAUAAUUAAGCCAUUACGUGUUUGUAGGGGCAUGUGGCUAGGAUUUGGCCACCUUUAUAUUGUUAAUAUUUUUGAGAGAAUAUGUUUGGGCUUUUCCUUAUAAAUUAAGAGUUUUUAGUAUGAAUUAGACACUAAAAUACAAGCCUUAUGAACUUUUAAUGCAAAGAGCAUCACAAAUGAUUCCUCGUCCUACAUAAAAUAGGUUGAAAAUAAGAACCAAUACUCAUCCCCUUAACAUACCCUAUAGAUUUUAAUUUGUUUCAUAAAUUUAAAAAAAUAUAGAUCUAAUUUUCAUCUUCUAAUUUAUGAAAGGUCAAAUAUACUUAAUUUCAUUGACAAAACAAUUUUAAGUCAAAUAUAUCUAUUUAUGUUAAUCAAUAAAUGAUAGAAAUGAAAUAUUCAUGAAUAUUUAAAAAAUGAUAUAUACAUAUAUAUAGACAGAUAGAUAGUUCAUUUCUAAUAUAAAUAUAUUUUGAUUUAACUUAUAGCGUUAGAAAAUCACCUACAGCAUUUUCUAAAGAGAUGGUUUUCAUUUUGAGUAGAAAUAUGUUUUUCUUAAUUAAUAAUUAAACCAUGAGUAAGAUUUAAGAGUUUGGAAGCGAGAAGACAUGGUAGCCAUUCUGAUAAAAAGAAAAGGGCCAAUUAGAGAAUUAAAAGGGGAGAGGUGUAAUGAAAGCAAUUAAAAUUCAAAGCGGCCAACUUUUUCUAGAGUCUUGCUUUGCUUUGUGUAAGAGAGGGUCGUUAGGAGGAAACUCAAUUGUGAGCAACAAGAAAAAAAUGCCAUAUUCUAAAGAAGCUCUUGCUAGGCUGUUCUACAAUGUCUCCAGUUCUUUACAGCUUCUCUUCCUCUUCUUCUUCUUCUCCUCCAUUUUGCUUGCAAAGCUCCUCCACUUCCUCUGCAACCACCCAAUAUUCCAAAGGUCUACACCAUCUCUCUCUUGGUCUUUCUCUUGAUUAAUUUGCCAUAUAGACACAUAAAGAUGAUACUGUGUUUUAACUUUUCUUUUGUUCUUUCGCAGGACCCAACAUGGAUCUGCAGUUGGAUUGUUUUUGGACGACGAAGAAGAGGAGGACAUAUAUUUUCAUGAGGAGGAGUGCAUGGAGAAAGAUGAUCACCUGGUGGCCGACAUAGUUGAUGGUGGAGAAUCACUUCUGUUUUUGCCUGUCAACCGUCCUGUGAAGGAUCAAGAUCUUGAGCAUCAUGAAGAAACCAUAAGCAGUAGUACUACUCCUCGUGGCGAUUACAACUACUUCUUCCACCAAGAAGAGUCAAGUGAUGAUCAUAACUCACUGGUUCAAGAAUCAGAAGUACAUGAUGACAAGGAAGAUGAGGCUGAAGAAGAGAUCCCAACAUCAGAUACUGAUGCUGAUGCGGUAUACAAUUUUGGCCCCAAUGAAGGUGACCCCACCUCGCCGAUAACCAUCAAUCUAACCAAAAGUGGCUUGGUGGCCGAUGACGAAACCCAUGACGGUAUUUGCAUUAUAUUUGGCAUCCUUAGCCUUAUACCAUUAGUUAUAGUGCUUUAAUUUUAGUACUGGCACUCCACCUGAAGUUGCUUAUUCCUUUGUAGAGAAACGCGACGAGGAAGAUUCCAAAGGUGGUAAGGAUAAAAUUGAAGAUGGGAAGGUGGAAGAGACUACAAAUUUCACUAAAGAUGAAAAGUUCUUAAUUUUUGCGCCCCCUCAAUCGGAGGCUAAGAAGUUUCAUGUCCAAGAAAAGGAUAAUGAAGAGACUUGUGGCGACUCGUAUACCGUUGGAUCUACUUCUAAGAGCUCGUCUGAAUGGAGAAGUUCCAUUAAUUUCAGGGAUUCAGGGACAGAAGAUCCAUUUUCGUCCUCUUCCCGGAGGAGUUGCCCCAAGUGGGAAUCUUACACUGUGUUUCAGAAGUAUGAUGAAGAGAUGACAUUCUUAGAUAGGAUCAGCGCCCAAAAGCUUCAGGAAACAGGUAAUUUUCACUUUACAUAUUUAUUUAUUUUACAUUAUGAUCGUACCAUUUUAUAAAACAACUUAGAAUCUAUUUGGUAGUGAUUUUAAGAAGCACUUUUAAAGUUUUUAAUACUUAAAAAUUUUCAUCAUUCAAAAUGUUAAAAAUGUUAUAAACGCUUUCUAAAAUUACUUCCAAAUCCACUCUUAAUUUACAUAGCUACAUACAGAGUCUCUUAGGUCAAUCCAAGUCUGUCCAAAGUCAAUCUCAGGGAGGAUUGCUCAUAAAUUGGGAACAAUCAACAAGAGAUCAUCAGAUACCCAUCAGAACCCGUAUCAUGAACUAGAAGCUGCUUAUGUAGCACAAAUUUGCUUAACAUGGGAAGCUCUUAAUUGGAACUACAAGAACUUUCAGCGCCUGAGAGCUUCGCGUCGUGAAUGUGACCCCGGCAGUCCUGCUCAUAUUGCCCAGCAGUUUCAGCAAUUCCAAGUGCUUUUACAGCGGUACAUUGAGAAUGAGCCCUAUGAGCAUGGCAAGAGACCUGAGAUUUAUGCUAGGAUGAGAAUUUUGGCACCAAAGCUGCUCCAAGUGCCAGAAUAUCGAGGUACUCAUAAGACAAAGUGCUUUUAGUUUCUCGAGAUAACUUCAAUUUUCUUUUUGUUAACAAUAUAUCUGUAUAUUAAUUGGUUUUUAAAGAUUCUGAAGAUGAUCAAAAGGAUGAAAGUCUGAAGUCAAGAAUUUCGUCAGAUUCAUUUCUUAUUAUAUUAGAAGAGGGAAUAAGAACAUUCAUGAAUUUUCUCAAGGGGGAUAGGGAGAAACCUUGCCAGAUCAUAGCAGCUUUGUUCAAGAGGAACCGAAAAGGUUUGGUUGAUCCAACUCUUCUACAUCUGAUGAAGAAAGCAAAUCAGAAGGUACAAAUUAAUGGUAUUUGCUUUUGAGCCAUUCAAAAUAUCUACAUUAUUUUCUAAACUUACAGUUCGGUGUUAAAAUUCAAUCUGCAGAAGAAGUUAAGGCUCAAAGAUCUCCGCAGAACUGGCAAGUGCUUAAGGAAAAGAAGGUUAAAGGAGGAGGAAGAAAUGGAGAUUCUGAUGGGACUGAUAGACAUAAAAGUGGUGUCUAGGGUUUUGAGAAUGAGUGACAUAACAGAAGAGCAAUUACACUGGUGUGAAGAAAAGAUGAGCAAAGUGAGAGUUUUGGAAGGGAAGCUGCAAAGAGAUUCCUCACCACUUUUCUUCCCUGCACACUGACCCCACCAUAGAUUGGGUAUUUGUUGCUUGAUGACUAGACCAUGAAUGUGCGGUGACUGCAUGCAGAUGAAUAUCCUAAGGCAGACACACCCUUUUGUAAAUACUGUAAAGAAAAAUGAGAGGAAGGGGACCCACAAAUCAAAGCCAUGACAUGUGGGUGACAUAGAUUUUGAAGAUAUGGAAUCCAUGAAAGAAAAGAUGGGUUGGCUCUCUGAUUUCAUGAACAUUGAAAGUGAAAAGAGCUGGGACAAAGCAAGGAACACGAAGAUAGAGACGAGGUAGCUUUAGUUUGCUUUAUCUUUUGAAUUAGGGUUUAUCUAUAAGGGUUUUGAGCUGAAUCAAAAGAGAGAGAUUUGGGCAAAGCUGCUGCUACACAUGCAGUGGAAUAAAAAGGUGGCACAUGGUACACUCAAAGGGUGGGAGCCCGAGCUUCAUUUGGUACCACUUUCUUUGGGGAAAAGAUGAAUAAAUAAAUAAUCAACCAUGUAAGGUGUAUUCAGACUUCAGAGAGUUGCGUCCCUCUCAUGAUUUCUAUAAAAAGUUAAUCUUGUAGUUGGGUUAUCAUGACCUUCAUUGACUUCCAUCAUCAUUAAUAAUCUUUGGAAGAUAGUCUAUGAUUUAUUUCAUGAGCACUCUCUGCAACAUUCCAUUUAUUUGAUUUAUAUAUAACUCAUACAAUAAAAAGAUCAAUGUUAUACUAAUAUGUACUCAAUAUUGACACCUUCUAUUAAAUAAGAUUACUAUUUCAUAUCUUAGGUAAUAUGUCUACAUUCAUACAUCAAACUUAUUUGGACUUUAGUCAUAACCAAAGUUAAUUAGCUCAAUGAACCAUUUUCAGCCAUUACCAAAUUAUUUCCUAUGGUCAUGUCUGGACGUUGGAAUGGAGAUUUUAGAAUGGAAAUAGGAAUCAAAAAUUCAUUAGUGUGGAAAUUAAAUUCCACUCUCAUUAAUUAGGAUUUUGAUUCUUUUUUUUCAUAUGGUGUAUGUAUUAAGAUUCACCUUAGAGAUGACAACGAGACCGUUUGAGACUCUCACCCCUAUCCCAACCUCAUUCUGUUUAUUUAUACAUAUUUCCAACUUCUCAAAAUAUAUAUAUACAUAUUUAAAUGACAGGAUUUAUAUAGAAAAUUCUCAUACCCAUUUUGCCUACCCCAUUUAAUUUUUUAAAAUUUUUUGUUUGUAAAAUUUAAAUUUUAUUAAAAAUAAAUAUAAAUUAUAAAUAAAGAAAUAUUAUAAACAAUUAUAAUUUAUUUUUAUGAAAGUAAUAUUUUAUUUAUGUUAAAAAGUUGCAAGAGAAAUCAACAAAAAUAAUUUUUUAUUUAAAAUUAUGUGUAAUCAGGAUGGAGCGAGACAAAAUCAUACCCAAACCAUCACGAGUUUUUAAAAAGUUUUCAAACUCAAUCUCAAUUGGUUUAUCUUUAUCUCAGACCCUUCCCAUUAGGGGCGGGGAAGUACCUAAAAAAGGGCCCAUUGCCAUCCCUAAUUCGCCUCCAUUCUCAUCCUAUUUCCAUUUAUAUUCACACAUAUUAAAAGCACACUAAAUUCUAUACCAUUUUUUUAUUAUUAGAAGGAUUUAUCAUAGGCUUUUCCAGGUAAUAGAAAUUGUGAGUCAGUUCAAAGGAAUGCAUCCCUUGAUUCCCAAGCUACUAAGUAAUAGGAUUCAGAAAUUCAUGUCAUUGGAUUUCACUAGGAAACUUCGACUAAUUUUCUGUUCUAUUAUUUAAAUGCUAAAGAGAUAAGUUUUGAGACAUGACUCGGGUGGCAAGACGUAGACUAGAAGUGAGGAAAUUUCAAAUAAGAUCUAAUAAAAAAAAAAGUCUCAUGGUUGGGCCUCUGCGUCAUCAAAAACAGAAAAUCCCACCUAAUUUCAACUACUAGACAUUUCAAAAUUAAUUUCAAUCAUUAAAUAAGUAAAAAAAAAAAAAAAAACUUAUCAUAGAUUAACAAAAAAGAAUUGUAUUCAUGUUCUGCAUUCCUCCUAUUAUAGCAGAGCCCAUAUCAAUUGGGCUUUGAUUUUGUUUUGGGCCUAAAAGGGAGCCCAGUUUUAAAUCAACCCAGUCAAAGGGAGACUUAUGUAUGAAAUUUGGAAAUUGGAUUAUGAAAUUACGUAACAUAAUUUUUAUGAAUUGGAUCAAUUGAAUGAAUGUGAGUAAAGGGAUCCAUGGAUGAAGAUAGAAAAGUAGAUUUCUACUCGUAACUAAAUCUUCAAUUUUAAGUUUAUUUGUAUUUUGUAAAGGGGCGAUUGAAGCAAACUAGCUAAUAAAGGAUGUCUUUAGUUUACUAGAGACAUCGAAAUAUUGUUUUACCUUUAUGGAAACAAUAUGUUUUUCCUCAAGAUUCUCUCAAAUUGAAAUAGAGAACAAAGCAACCAGAAAGAUUCUUAUAAUCAUCCUGUUCUAGAGGGAUCAUCUAGAAAACCAAUCGUUUCGAAUAUAUUCAAGCAGAAAAAAUGACAUAGAUGUUAUGAAUCGAUUUUUUUUUUUUUCAUUUCAUUGAUGUCUUAAAUCUGGAAAUUUAUCCAUCCUCCAUAAAGGAGCCGAAUGAAACCAAAGUUUUAUAGAUGGGUCUAUGCGGUUAACUGAGGAAGGAACCUUUGAGUGCACGUGACAGAGUUUGUUUGGUGAUGGGCAAAUUAUACAAUUGAUUACGACAUUUGACAUUUGGGGUUUCCCGAAAUGGAUGCUAUCCAAUUGCACAAAUUGGAUAAUACACGGCUGAUGGGCGUUGCCGUUCCGCUCCACUCUUUCUUCUCCAUUCAAAGCCUAUCCAUAUGAUAAUUCAAUACAGGAACCGACCAACAACCCAAGCAUCAUGUCGGUAUCUUUGCUUCCAAGCAAAAUAAUUAUCAUCAGACAUAGCUUUACUUAAAUUUUUUAACCAAAAAAAAAAAAAAAAUUAUUGUAUGGUAGUUAAAAAAGGUUAACUUCUUUGGAUGAGCCAACAUUUAUAUCAUCUCUCACCAACUUUAAGUGAGCCAAGAGGCCCUUUUCCCAUGUGAGCUAUUAAUGAAAGGAAAAUGCUAUGGUACCACAAUGGUACCUCUCAUAGUGAUACCUAAGAAAUUAGGAAUUCCUUGUAUAUGAUAAGAUCAAAUAAUGAAAGGACGGAUGAAUAAAACUUUUUAUAAAGAUAUAAACAAAAAAAACCAAAGAUGUUUAUUAAAAUCAAGCCUCCACCUCGGGCGAAACCAUCCAACCUGAUGACUCAGAUAAGAAGAAAUAAAACAUGUCCGACAAAAAGUUAAACAUCACAAACCUAGAAUAAAGAGAAAACCUAUAAAAAGUAAAAAUCAUCUUCUUAGUACCCUUAAAAACCAUAAUGUAAUUGAUGAAAUUUAAAAACAUAUAAAUGAUUUGACAUAAUUGAUGGUAGAUUUUCGAUAAAUACUAAAAAAAGCAUAUUUCGAUACUACAAGUAUAUUAAGACAUUAACGAAAUAAUCAUCUUUUCCUCUUAUUUGUGGAUACCCAUCUUUUCAUUUCUCUGAUCUUAGAUGGGCAACCAUUCAUUUGCUAAGGAUUAGGUCCCUUUCAAGAUGGGAAAGCUCUUAUUUCACUCCUGGAAAAACACAUACUGGGAAUUCAAAGCAGCUUAAUUAUAGAAGGAAAAACAGCCUGUAAAGCCAAGCACUAGCAUAUAGUUGUUUUCAGAGGAAGAAAAGAGAGAGAGAGAGAGAGAGAAACAUGAUGGGUAUGUUCAAUUGAAACUGAACAAACAGAGACAACAAGAAGAAAGCAGAGAAAAGCCAAAUGCAAAAGCCUUGGUUUUUCAUAGCUCAGUGACUGACUCUACAAGGACACUUUCAAGAAUGGCGUGCUGAUGCCCAUCUGGUCUUCUACCCAACCUUGUGGUGAUUGAUGUGGAAUCCACCCACCAUUUUUGUUAAUAGAUGUCAUAAUUGUUUCUUUUCUGUUGGGUUUUUCAUCUUAAUUUACAAUGGUAAAUUUUUUUUUUUUCCCUCUAUGUAUACCAUUUUUCACUUUUAGGACAUAGGAUUCUUUGACAAGUACUUCCACAAAGGUUUGAGGUAUGUGAUUACUUUAACUCAUUGUGAUAGAUCCCAGCAUAUCUCAGUUUUGAUUGGUGUUUCUCUACCUAAGAGACAACAGCAGACAAGUCUUUUCCAUAUGGAACAGAUGAAAAUUUUCUUUUUCUCCAAACAGGUACGGUCUUUCUAUGUAGUAUUUUUCAAAGUAAUUUUUUAUUUUUAAAAAUAAAUUUUAUCCUAUACUGUAAUUGUUUUUCAUACUAAAAAGUAAAAACAGGUCUAAUAACUUUUCAGUAGAAGAUAGUUUUCUGAAAUUUUGUUUUGAAAGUAAGAUAUUUUCUAAGAAUGUGUUUUAAUUACUUUCCAUCUUUUUCACUUUUUUUUUUUAAUGCGUAAGGGGUAUUUUUAAAAAUAAUUAUACAAAUAUUAAGAGUAAUUGAAAAUGAAAUAUUAUGAAUAAAAAUUCUUUAAAAAAAAUAUUUGAAAACUCAAAAAAUUAAAUUAACAACAUUUCAAGUUUUUAAAUAAAUUUUUGUUUUAUAAAAUGUGAAAAAACUAUUUUUUGAAAUUGUUUUUAUUACAUGUUGCAUUUAAAACAUUGUCAAACAUUGUCAAACAUUGUAUGAAGUUUUGUCUAUAAGACAUUUUUUUUAUUAAUUUUUGUAAAAAAUAUCAAGUAUUCAAACUUUCGAUAAAAAAAAACCAAUUACGAUUUAGGUAAUUUUACUAGAUUUAUUUACUAUGCUCAACUUUUUCAUUAUAAUCCCUUAAUCUUUUAAAUAUUACCUUUUUUUAUAAACCAUUUAAGGGUAUGCUUGAUUCAAUAUAUUUUUUUAUUUGAUUUUAUUAUAAAUAAAAAAAAUAUAAAUGAAAUUAGAAUAAUAUAUAAAAAUAAUUUACUGUCUUUAAAAAAAAAUUCUUUUUUUUUUUUCUGCCCAAAAACAUAAUUUAGUAAAAGUUUUAGAAAGGGUUGCAAAUUGAGAAGGGUCAUUCUGUAAAGUAACGAAAAGGGGUUGGAGUGGCAUGUGGAGGAAUCAGUACCCAAAAAUUUAAAAAUAAAAAGAUAAAAAAAUAAAAAAUAAAAGUAGUAGAUCCAUAUGCGGGGCAAGUGGCGUAGUUGCAUGGCCCAUUCCCAAUAUAUUUGUCUCUUUCGCUUUGGACUCGAAUCUACGCACGCUCUCCAUUCACCCCACGCUCCUUUCCGGUUUCCGCCUCUAUUAAAUAAGAUGCUCCUCUUGGAAUAUUUUUUUCCAUUUUCUUUUUUUCUUUUUUUAUUCCCCUUUAAAAAAAUGGUGUGAUGUCAGCAAGUGUAUCCACGUCAUUUAAUUUUUUAAAAAUUUUAGUUUAAGUAGAUUGGAAUAUUUCCUUCAUUUUUUUUUACCUUGAAAUAUCUUUUACAAAAAUAUUUUGAAGUUUUAAUAGAAAAAUUAUAUGUAAUUAAGAUAGUAUGAUUAAUUUUUUUAAAUAAAAAAUCAACAAAAAGACUAAGACACGUGUGGAUGACAUCUUGUGAAUAACAUUCAAGGAAAUAAAUGGAGAAAAAAGAGAAGAAAAUCGUUUUUUUUCUUUCCUUUUUAACUUUAUUUUAUACUGAAAUUAAUAAUAAAAGUUUUAAAUUGUUAAUAAAUUAUUUAUGGGAAAAAUGUAAAGUAAAUAAAUUAUUUAGAUAUGAUUUUUUUUUAUAAAGAUUAAAUAAUAUAAUAUAUAUAAUUUUUUAACUUGAUUAUAAUUAGAUUUAAUUUUUUUAUUGAAACACCAAAGAUAAGGAAGAAAUGGAAUUCAAAUAGAAUUAAAUGUAUUUAUAAAUUAAACAAAUAUUAAAAGAAUAAAAAUAAUAAUAUUUUUAUAUAAAUAUAAUGAUUCAAUUAAAAUAUACUAUUUUUUAAAAUUGAUUAAAAAUUAAAGUAUAAAAAAGUUUUUAUUAACUAAAUUUUGAAAUAAGAUAAGUCUUUUAAAAAAAAAAUUCAAAAACCCUUUUUCUUUUAUUUAGGGUAAAAUCUUAAAAAAAAUCAUAUUGAAUUUCAAUCAUUGAAAAUUAAUUAAUUUAAUGAUUGAAAAAAUGGAAAAAAUGUAAAAUAUUAAUUUAAGUUUGAUGGACCAAAUGGAGGGUGGCUACCACGUCCUAUGAACCUUCCUUUAGUAAAUGGAAUUUUUGGUCUCAUCCUUGUCUUUUACAAGGAUGACGUGGAGAAAACUGAUUGGUGGUGGAGCAAAAAGCCCAAAGUUGCGGACCUCACAUGAUGAUCCCCUCGUGUGGACCGAAUCGCUGCGUUGUAUCGCAGAAGGGACGAGGACAAGCCGAACACGAAUCUCCACGACCAAAAGGCAUAAAUCAACGGUGAUUAGAUCGCAUCAUAUAAUAUAUGCAUCAACACAGAAACAUUCCCCAAAUGCCUCUCUCUUUCUCUCUCUAGUUUCUCUGUCUAUGAAUAUUCAGCAAACUUAACUCUUUAUCUUCCUUUUCCAUCCUCUCCUCCGUCGCUCUCUCUGGUUGCUCCAUCCUCUGUUUGGAGGACCUUGACCCACCUCCGCAGGCCCAGCUCAGGUCACUUCUCUCUCUGGAUUCUUUUAUUUCAUGGGUUUGUUUAUGUGUUGGUUUGAUUGGAUCUGAAACCCCCCUCGUUUGAUCUGUGUGUAUCAGGUGGCGUUGCCCAGAUCUUUGAUUUGUGGAGGAUGAUGAAGGGUUGUGCCAUGGAGCAGAGCAGUACGUACGCGGCCUGUGAGGAGAUGAUCAUGAUGAUGGGUUCCGUCUCCGUCGUUUGCCCCAAGCCUCGUCGCCUUGGCCUCUUCAACAACGACCACAUCCCACCCCGGAGAUGGCACAUGCAGUAUGUUUUCCUUUUUUUUUCUUUUGCCGAGAAAUUCUUUGUUUUCUCCGGAGAAAAUACCCUUUUAGUGAUUGGAUUAAUUAAUUUUAGUUUUUCUUGUUUGCCGAACACCAGUCAUGAUGAUUCCAAGGAUGGGUCGGAGCUUCUUGACAUCAUUCUCGCCAAGGUAUUGUUCUGUUCCACUUCUCUUUUGUGGGUUCCGUUCAACGAUGAUGUCUCUAUUCUCACUACGAUUCUUCUUCUCAUUACAGGGAUCCGAAAGAUCGGGCCACCAGGUGGCUUCAUCUCCACCAUAUUUUUGUGGGUCACCGCCGAGCAGAGCUUCGAAUCCCGUAAUCCAAGACGCCCAAUUCGGGAACGAAAAGGUCACACCCUUCUCUCGGGCGCCGUCACCAGCCCGCAAACCCGCUGGAGGAGGAGGGGGAGGAGGAGGAGGUGGGGCCGGUGGUGUGAGAAUGAUGAAAUUCGGAUCCAAGCCGGCGGCGGUGAGGAUUGAAGGGUUCGACUGCCUGGGCAGAGAUGGGCAAAGCCGCAGCAUAUCAGCCGUGGCAUAGGCCCCCCUGAAACCAAAGUUUUGGAAAAUGCAGAGGAACUAAUGGUAGAAAUUAUGUGUAUGUAUAUACAGUUGAAUUGAAUUGGUUUUGAAGACAUAUAUAUAUAAUAUAAAUAUUUAUAUAUAUAUUUGUGGAAUAUUGAGUUGAUGAAAGAGAGAGAGGAGUGUUAAUUUUGAAGAAUAAGGAGAUAGGGAGGAAAGGGAGAGACUAAGAGGUCUUUCCCUUACUAGGGUUUUGAUUGGAGUCUGGUGGAGAGAGAAAGAGCCUGCCCUCUGUCUCUUUCUCUGUCUUUGUUGUGUGUGUCUGUAAUUUUACUCACUCUGGUCCUUCAUUGUAAUUGUAAUUUGAGGUGAAGGGGGAAGGAGAAUGGAGAUGAAGCUGGGUCUUCUUGUAAUUUUGCUACUUUAUUCCGGGGUCUUUUGGACCUUAAAUAAUUCUGUAAAGAAGCACGUGCUGUGCCUAUUGUAAAUAUUUUAUAUAUUUAUUUUAUUUUGGUGGGUGUUAGGUUAUUAUGAAUUUGACUUUUAUUUUCAAAUAACAAAUUUGAUUUCGUGUCUUUGAAAAGUGGAGCAAAUAUGACAUCAUGGCAGAUUUGGGAAAUUAAAGAAAUUGAAUGAUAAAAAUAAUAUUAUUUGCAUGCCUCAGGGCAAAGCCGCCUCCUGUGGAGGUUAGACUUGGGACAGGGAGUGGAAGACAAAAUAAUUGGAAGGAUGAUGAAUUGUCCACUGUAGUGUCUACAGUAUACAGGUGGCCUUGAGUUGGACUUAAGCUUUAAAGAUGACAGCUGCUGAUCUCACCAACUCCCUACUUUUCGCGCUUGAAUUCUCUCUCAUUCUUCAUUGCUUCCUUCCUACCUCUCAUCCUCUGCCCCUGCUUUCUGCUUAGUUCUUUUCUUUAAAUUCAAGUCACCGCGGUUCGCUCUCUCUCUCUCUCUCUCUAUUUUCGCCUUUUCCCUAGAGCGUUUGGCUACGGCAAAAAAGACGUAUCCAUUGCAAUGAACGGCAUGGGCUCAGUCGUCUGGUGGGCAUGACUUUUCAAGAUUUUUAGUCAUAUCCACCAGCAGGCUGAACCCAUGUCGUGCUGCCCAUAGUGGGCUAGUUUGUAGGUGUUAAUGGGCUAGCCGCUAGCCUUGUUCUUAAACAGUAUAAAGACUUUGGGCUCAAGAAAAUCCGAUAGUGAAGGACAAAUUUGCAAACUUGUUCAUUGUAUGACAUGACAUCAUAGAUUUUCUCAGUUCUUGAAAUGACAACCAGACAGAUUAGAGUAAUUAACUGCAAAAAAUAAUUUUCUUAGCUCGUGAUCGGAUACAGUUCCUAUUUGUUAUUUUUAAAAAUAUAAAAUAGUUAUGUUUUUAAAAAAACACUUUUAACCUAAGUAGUGUUUUUAAAAAAUUACCAAUUGUUUGAGAAAAUUUAGAAAACAUUUUUAAAAUUUUAAAAAAUUACUUAUAAGGUUAAAAAUUACUUAUAAUGACUUUUUAAGAAACAUUUAAUAAAUUUUUUUUGUAAAAAUACUUCUAAAAAAGCACUUUCAUUAAAAAGUAAAAACAUUUCAAAUUGAGACAUUAUUAAAGGCAUUGUAAGAGUCUUUUUAAGAAAACACUUUUAGCUUAAAUAGUAUUUUUGAAAAAAAAAUUGUUUAGUCAAAUUUAAAAAAUAUUUUUAAAAUUUUGAAAAAUUAGUUAUAAUAUUAAAAAAUUAUUUAUAAUAUUUUUUUAAAAAAUACUUAAUAAAUAAUUUUCUUAAAAAUAUACUAAAAGAAUACACAUUUACUAAGAAUGUAUUUGACCGUGAUUUUAGAAAGUGUUAAUAAUCCUUUUAAUGUUUGAAAAAUAAAAAAAUUUAAAUAUUAAAAAAACUAAAAACAAUUCAUAAAAUCACUAUCAAAACGCACUCUAAAACCUUUUGAACAAAAUAAAGUACUUAAAAUUAAGCUUUUCAAGGUGUAGCCAACAAAGCACUUGUUCUAUCUUCUCAACACUUUUAUAAGGUCACGCCAUAUUAUGGUAUCAUUACUUUGUAUUAAACUUUCAUUUCAUCAUUUUGCAUUUUGAUCAAAUUCUUUUAUGUUUGAUCCUAUUUAGUUACGGGUAAACUAAAAAGCCUUACAAAUUGAAAGUUUUGAAUUUCCACUAACAAAUAACAAUCAAUCUCUUUUUUUUAGGCUAUGUUUAAUUAUCAUAAAAUUUGAGCGCAAAUGUGAGACAAAGAAAAUAGAGAGGAAAAAUUGAACGAAAUAAAAAGUGAAGAAAAAAAAAAUAGAUUUAAAGUUAAAAAUUAUUUUUAUAUAUUGCUUUAAAUUUAUUUCAUUUAUUUUCCUUUAUUAUAUAAAUAUUAAAUAAAUUUAAAAUGCAUGAAUUUUAACUAAUUUUAAUUCUAAUUAAUUUUCUUUCACCAUUUUCUAUAAUGAUGAGAAAAUAAUUUUUGUUAGCAUUUUUUCUUUCCUUAAUACUUUCUUGAAACCAAACAUAACCUUAAGGCUAUAUCAAAGUUAAGUCCAUAAAUUUUUUUAUAAUUAUAAAAGAAUAAUGAUAUCUUUAAACAUACUUGAUUACUUUAUUGGAUUCAUUUUCUACCCUCCAUGAUAUAUAGAAAUUUCUAUUAAAAACUUUCAAAAUUUUUUAUACAAAAGAAGCAAAUGUGUAUGUCUAUUGGGAAGUGAGACCGAAAAGGGUCUAUUUAUUGUUGAUGAGCCCUUUGCUUAUAAGUGUAGUAGUUUACAGAGUGUUUGGUAAUGAUUUUGGGAAGUAUUUGUGGGAUCUUUAAUAUUUAAAAAAUAAAAAAUUUAAAGUGUUAAGAAGACUAAAAAUACUUCCUAAAAUCACUAUCAAACACACUUUAAUCUCCUAAAUGUUGCUUUUUAAUUGUUAAAUCCUCUUUUUGAUUGUUGAAAAGCAUGCAAACCAUGAAACAAGGAUUUGGGGUUAGAAAUUUGUUUUUGAAAAUAAUUUUUUGAGAAUUAAGAACAUAAAAUAAUUUUUUAAUUCAAAAAACAUGUUUAUUAAUUUUUAAAAAAAAAUUAUUAUGAAAACAAAUUAUUCUUUAGAAUAAAGUAGCUGGUUUUUUCUUCUGUUUUUUUUGUCAUAUUUGAAUUUUCUUACAAAAAUUUAUUUUAAAAAAUAUAUAUUUUUUGAGAAUUAUUAUUUUUUAAAUGUUUCUACACAAUUUGUAGGAAGUGAAUUUUACCAAUUUUCAUUAUAUUUUGGGAUUGAAGCAUAUGAGGUUGGAUGGAAUAUGACCUAGAACAGCCAGUUAGCUAAGCUUUUAUGAUUGAUUCGACAUCCAUUCUUUGAUUCUAUCCUAGUCUCUCAAAGCAAAUUUUGGUCAUUAUAAGGCUGGAUUGUAUGUGGUUGAGCUUUUUCUAUAGGCUUUCCAUACUUAUCCACUACCACAUUCUAAAGGGAGCAGUUGUGUUUGAUUGGGAUGCAAUCCAUUCAUUAUUACAAGAGACUUGUUAUUGGGAUUUAUAACUUAUACCCACACUUUCAUCAUUGAUAUAGUAAUAAUAUGGUGAGUGAUGUUGGUGAUAGGAAGAUCCAAGUGAUUAAGAGCCCGUUCAGUGAUUUUAAAAAAUGUUUUCAAAUUUUUUAACUUUUUAAAAUUUGUAUUGUUUAAAUGUUAAAAAGGUAAAAAAUAUUUUCUAAAAUUACUACCAAACACACUUUAAAAGCCUAUUUGAAAGUGAUUUUAGGAAAUAUUUUUAAAGCACAUUUUGACGGUAAUUCUAAAAAGUGUUUCUACUAUUUUUAAUACUUACAAAUUUUUAUUUUUCAAGUAUUAUAAAGAUUAGAAACACUUCCAAAAAUCAUUAACAAACUUACUCUUAAUUUUUUUAACACUUUAAAUUUUUUAUUAUUUAAGUAUUAGAAAUAUUAAAAACGUUUCCUAAAAUCACUCUCAAACGCACUCUAAAAAAUAAUUAUAUUUAUAAAUCAAAAUGCAAUUUAUUUCAUACGGAAUCAAAUAUUCCACGAGAAUACAUACCACAUUGGCAUUAAGAACCCGUUGUACAAUCUGUUAUUUUAAAAACAAUUUUUUAUGAUUUAAAAAAAAAAAAGGUUCAACAAUCAAAAAAUACAAAAUAAUUUUUUUCUUCUUAAAAAUAAAUAACAUGGUAUUUUUAGAAAACAUUUUUUUAAUUAUUUUAAUUUGUUUUCUAAAAAUAAUUUUUAAAAGUAAUUAUAUAAAUAUAAAAAAUGAUUAAAAAUAAAAUACUACAUGUUAAAAACAUUACAACUUUCCAAACAAAUUUUUAUUAUAUAAAACAUUAAAGAAUAUUGUUUAGUGUUUAAAAAGUCCUUGAAAACUAUUUUUCAAAAUUAUUAUCGAAAACACUUUUCAAAUAUAAUUUUAAUUUUAUUUUAUAAGGGAUGUGAUUAAACAAGGAAUUAAAAAAGACUUCAAAAUUCAACAAAUAUGAUCAUAAAAAAACCUAUGCCUAAAUCCGAGUUUGAUUUGUGCUUGAACUUGGUGAAUAUCAAAGACCUUGAAUAACCCUUUGAGGGCAUCUACGGUGAUCAAAGAAAGAUUAGAUUCUAUUUGAAAAUUGUUUUAGAAAAUCGUUUGGAAAAAUAGUGUUUUAUAACUGUUUUUAAAAAUUAUUUUUUGAUAUUUUGUAAAAUAAAUAUCUAUUUAAAAAUUAAUUUGAAAUAUUUUUAUAUUAUUUUAUAUGUUUUAAAAAUAAUUUUUAUAUACAAUAUUUUAUUUUUAAUCAUUCCUGAAUAAUUAUUUUUUAAAACUAGUUUUAAAAAACAAACGAAAACCAGAAAAUAAUUGUUACCACAGCUAGGCAAUUGCGAAGAAUUACAGCACCAAACCAGGAAAGGAAGCCGGUCCCUGACGUUAUGUUGAGGGUAGCUGUGCGGCUUGUGUCUCACCAAACUUUUGCCUUUGACCUUCAGGCACUUGCCAACGCUCUUGUGAUUGCCAUGGACCCGAGCAAGUUGUGCUGGCUGAUGGGUUCCUUUCUAUGCUCCUUUUCUUGGCUUUGGCAUUGUAAAUAUUGGUCAUGUGACAAGAAACUUCCCUGAUAUUUUAAUGCUAUCUGAACUUAUCCAACACUCAACCAUAUAGCAUUUGCUUGAAGCCUUUCACAAUUUCGUGUGAAAAAAAAAAAGUUUAUUUAUAAAAUUUAAGGAAGGAAAAUAAGUUAAAUCAGUAAUCAUUCUUACCUUGAGGUUUUGACUAAAUAUAUCUGAUACUUAUUGAUUUGAAAUUUCGUUAAACACGUGUUUUUUUCGUUAUUUUUAUUUAUUAUUUUCAUAACUCUUAUUAAAAUAUAGGAUAUUUGAUGAAAUUUUAAAUUAAUACAAAUCAUGCAUAUUUAACGAGAACUUGAAAAGAGGCGAGUGAAAUUAACCCUUUAUAUAAUAUAUGUUGUCGGAAAAAAAAAAUCAUAGAAUGAAUUCAUUGACAUCAUGGGAAUUCAUUGUUAAAUUGGAAGAAAUAUCUUGAAAUUGGGUUUUCAUUGAAAUGGAGGAAAGAGUAUCAUUAGCCUCUUUGACAAAGGCUAGCUAAUUGGGUUUUCAUUGUAUGUCAAAGUUAUGUACAACCUACUACUACAAAAAAGAAACCCAUCAUCAAAGAAAUAAAUUAAAACAGGAUUGAAUAUAGAGGUGCGAAAUUGAUCAAUAUUAUUUAAUGGUCCCACAUGAAAAUAGCCUUUCCAGCAAGUCCAUUCAAUUUUCACAAGACAUCCAACCAUAUCCUCAAGGAUGACCUCCCACCACACAAUCCUUGUACCACCUUAUCUCAUAUAUAGAUAGGAAUGAUCAACACUUACAGAAGUAUAUAUUAAGCAAGCAUGAACAGUAAGUAAAUAUAAAGCUGAAAGCAAAGAGCAUAGGUAUUAUUAAAAGUGGUGGCGUUUACAUGGCCACCAACGAUUAAAACAUCCGACGAUGAUGAUACACCAUAUCCUCAUACAAUAUUCCAUUGCAUUACUCCAUCGGAGACUUCGAAUAAGCAAAGAAAAAACAAAAAACAGACACAAAAAAUAAAAUUCCACAAGGGUCCUAAACAUGAGAGUGAAAAAACAUGGACAUCAAAUAUUGCGGAAACAGGAUCAGCUGGGCUUGUAGGCAAUGAAAGCGAUGCAUUGCACUUGGCGGUUAUUGUCGAAUCCGAUGAUUCGGAUGUGGGCGUCAGGGUACGCGGUCCUGGCUUCUUGCACCUCCUUAAUCACCUGGGCUGAGUCAGUGCACCCGAACAUGGGCAGCUUCCACAUGGUCCAGUACCUUCCGUCGUAGUAUCCUGGCGAUCUGUUGUGCUCUCUGUGGGGGUAUGGGUACUGCAUUCACAUACAAAAUAAUAAUCCAAUUAUUCUACAAAUUAAACCUCUAUAAUCCUAGUUUAAAAGCUUCACAGAAAAGUUCAUGAAAAUAACCAGCUUGGUGAAUUCCAAGCAAGGAAUCCAUUUCAUGCGGAGAAGGUAAUCCACUUCCUUGCAUAGCUGUUCGUCGUUGAGGGGUGGGAGGUAUGAGAGAGUCUCGAACUUCAUCAACCCUUCUGUAGGCCAAACCUGUGGUUUUCACAUGUACAAUAUCCACAGUUUAAUUCAUCAUAUAUAAAAAAAUAAAAAAUAAAAAAAACCCAGACUACUAAUGUCUUCUAAUUGAAGUGAAGUUGUGACUUGUGAGGCAGGGUGGUGGCAGUACCUUCAUGCAGCGAACUCGGCCACCAUUGCUAGCGACGGAGGUGAUGUCGGUGUUGGCUUUUCGGGUGCCAGGGAAAGUCGACAAAGAUUUGAGUCCGGUGAAGGGGGCCACCAUGUUGGCCUGAGCCGGGGUAGCACGGUUGAUUGUAGCCACGGUGGCGGAGGAGACCAUGGAGGAAGCCAUUUUCGCCUUUUGGGUUUUGCUAACACCACCACUGCCUUGUGAGUUAUGGCUCCUGCUUACCCCAUCCUAUAUAUAAUCCUCCGAGCUUUACUCUCUUCUCUAACUGGCCUCACAUUUGCAUCCAAGGGCUGAGGGUCGAGGGGUCUGGGGUUGGAGGCCUUUGGGCCGUUGGAUGAUACCAGGGGAUGACAUGAAAAUUUCGAUGGCCACAUAUCAGAAUUGGAUGGGUGCCUUAUCGUUAUGGCACCCCUCUCGGAGUGUCGACACGUGUCGACACCUCAUUAACCUUAUCUAACGUUGUGAAGAAGGUGAUUGUGUGAUGUUUUCUGGCCCUUCGUUUCUGGGGUGACUGCCGCUCUUCGCCCAUGGAUAUUUGGAGUUUUGUUCAAUUACCUAAUUGCCCAUCUGGGAUUUUUUUUCAAAUAUUAUUUUUUUAUUAUUAUUAUCAUGUUUUUUUUAAGUGAUGCGAUGAGGUAUGGAGGUACCAUGAUAAGUAAUGGUGUGACUGCAAGCCAUCAGAUCAGAGGGUCCCCCACUUGGAAUAUUGCUCCAAUUCUACGACUAGGUGACUAACACUCAGCAGCCCUUUAAGCGGAGGAAGAAAUGUGACAGUUUCUAUAAGUGGAGGAAGUCUGAAUUCUGAAAGGCAUCGAUAAGGCCUUAAAACGUAUCUAUUGAAGGCAUAAAUCACUAUGUUCUCUUUUGGCUUACCCCAAAAAAAAACACACAUUCCCUGAUUCAUGUAUUCUUACUUCUCAAAGUCCUCAUUUUGGACUAUUUUACAGGCUUUCUUCCUAGAAUUUCAAAUUCAAAUUCAAAUUCAAAUUCAAGAUCAUAAAGAAGCCUCCACCACUCAAGGUUUAUCUUCUCUCCUAAAGGGAGAUGAUAUUUUGCCAUACAAAGGUUUCAGGACCUCCAAAAGAAAACGGUACUAAUUUUGUGUAAUUUCAGUAUGCUUAUGAGUUACGACUCAACUCAAGUCCCGGUUGGUGAGCAUCACUUCUAAAAAUGUAGUGUUGGGUCAAUUUGUUAGGUGGACCAUCACUUCUCCACAGAAACUUCUAGCUCUUCUCUGCACUUGUGGCCUCUAUUCUUUCAUAUAAGAUGUAAAUAUUCUCACUAAAUAAACCCAAAAGAAAAAAGAGAGAAAAAAGAUUGGUGGAGGUUGUUUUGGAGGAGGGAUCCCUGUGAUCCACAUGUAACAAUCAAGGUUUCCAUUCAAGUUGAUGGAUAGGCCUGUGUGCUAUAACAAAAUCUUGUGCAACUCCACCACAAAUUCUCCAAAUCAAAUCCCACUGUCAAGCCAAGCAACAUGCUCCAGAAAGCGAAUUCUGAAACCUUUUCUAGAUCAGUGACAACAGAUGUGUUUGUGUUUCUUGUUUCAAUGGAGAAGCCAAAGCCUCUUUAAGACGUAUUAGUGCUGUGACAGGAAAAAUAAACUCAUGUUUUGAUCUUGUAGAAGAGAUUGAAAAUGCAUGAUGUAUUGUUUAUAAUGCUGGUGUAAAUAAUGAAACUGUUAGAAAGGGAUUGUAGGGAAAUUGCUUGUGUUGAAGAUGAUCCUUUGAAAUCAUAGUUUCUGCCUUACCUUCAGCUUCAGGCUAAACCCACAGGCAAAAAUGGCAAGAGGAACCUUCUAACACUCAUUUUCUCCCAUCUGCAUUGGGAGGGUAAUACCAAAAACUAAUUUAUGCGGAUUAAGACUGAUUGCGAGAGGAAUAUGACAUUCAACAGGGAAUACAAAAAUCAUAAACUGAAAAGUUUGUUUAUUAAAUCCAAUUAAAUAUGACAUUGCCCACCACGAAAAGCAGUGGAAUACGAAGAAUGACUUCCAAUAGAGGAGCUUCUGUACAGUUAUAAGCAGGAAAAAAAGAAAGAAAAGAGAAAAGAAUUACAUGGAAGUAGUGAAGUACAAACUGCAUAACCAGGAAAAAAUAUGCAACUGACUUCCUUCUAAUUUACUGCCAUCGCCUAGGAGGCUUGGUGAAAGUAGAGCUUCCAGUGCCACUGAUAGUAGCACUUCUUCUCAUUCCUGAGAAGAGCAGUUACAGGGAAAGAUAAGAGAUUGAAGGAAUAUUAUUAGCAAGUAGCAAUUGAUCCCAAAAACUCUAAUAUUUUACAUACCUGUUGCCGCCUUUGGAGAAUCCUUAAGAUGUGAUGGUGGAGGAGAUGAAGUUCGCAAUGUUCUUUGCGGUGGUCUUGUUAUUCUAGAGGCUGGUUUAGACCUGUACAAAAUAAUUUUAGUUCAGGUUUUGGACUUGGAUUCAAUUCCAUCAGUAUACAAGUCCAUAUCAAAAAGCCCCAAAAGUAAUCUCUACAUAUAGACAAAAUCAAGCAACAAAAUGCAGUAGGCUGCUGCUUUGGACUAGCUCAUUACAAGAACAGAAAAUUAUUUCACCCAAGUCAGGGGUAAAGAAUGGUUUGAUAUCUCAUGAUGGGAGAAUUAGUACCCACAUUGGUCAAGGUCCCAAGUUGAAGGGAGACAUAAAAUGGAUAUUACCACAGCAAAUUAUCAACACAACCAUUACUUUCCAAAAAAAGAUUUUGCAUAAAUAAAAUGAAUUAAAUGUAGUAGCAGACCAACUGAUAGAGCAUUCAGUUUUUUAAUAAUGAAGAAAAUUAAAACAGAAAAUUCAAGCUCUCUUUUGCAAUUUUCAUAUGUUUUACUCACAGAUGAAUCUUUGUAUCAACACCCAAAGACUGAAGUAAAGAAGAAAAAUACUCACUUCUCUGUGGUCUCUGAUGCUUUAGAUUGAGCAGGGCCAUUAUUUUCUGUUCGCAUAGGAAAACCACCAUCAGAUGUAUCACUUGAUCUCUCGUCACAAUCUGUCUCCCCAAAUCCUAAGGUCGAAGCAUCUGCAGGAUUAUUCUGACCUAUGUCCCCACCGGCAAGCUUUGAUUUCCGAAGGGAUUCAUUUGGUUGUUUAAAGUCUUCCAUGGACUGCUGGGAAUCAGCAUCAGAAUGCUUAUCACUGUAUUCUGAACUGUUGUCCUGAUCAGAAGCUGCUCUCUCAGCUGGUCCUAAGCCUUUCCCACCUGGUAGUUUCUGGCUUAGUUGAGCAGUCCCACCCACGAAAUUCCUGCUUGGUGGGGAAGAUCCAUACUUAAACGAACCUGUAACACUUCUCUCACAGUUGAGACCAGGAUGUACAUUUUUGAGAUCUUUAAGUAGUUGCAACCGUUCGAUCUCCUCAUCUUUUUUGGCAAUUGUGUCUUUGAGAGAUGCCACCUGCAGGAUCAAUAAGGUAUUUAGAAAACAAGGAACUACCAGUGCCUUGAAAGAUGAUUACUAGUUUUGAUGUUUAACUAAAAUUGAAAUGAGUAAACAAGCAGGUAUAUUCGGUAUGAAAAGACCUAGAUGGAAAUCAGAUGAUAGAAAAUCCACCUUUUCACAUGUGCACAUAUAUCAGUAAUCAAUCAAAAAGGAGUUCUAAUGUAUAUAAACAAAAGAACAGGGUACAGUGUAUUGCAAGAGCACAGUACAGGGCGUUCAAGACCGUCUUUGAAUGCACCUCAAUAUGAUCACUAGACUCCAAAGCUCAAGAAAAAUGGUGUCCCUCCUCUUAAGCAUAUAGCUCCAGUUAAGUGAUAAAUAGAAAAAUGCAAAAAGCACAUACCUCUCCCAAGUGUUUUCAAAUAUCUCUUUCUUUUCAUCUCCAAGUGUUCCUAUAUUCCUUCUUGUUUUGUGUAUGUACCAUGUAUACACAUAAAGAUAUAUUUGUGUAUUCUGUUUUCAAAACCAAAAGCCAAAAACAUUAUCCCCUCAUUUCCUUAUAGCAAAGGGUCAAUAAUCUCGAACUUAUUUUUUCACCUUCUAAAACAUUGGUGUGGAGGUGACAAAAGCAGGGUCCACAAGGACUCAUUUGUAAAGCAAAUCAAUUAUCUAUGACAAUUUUCCUCCUAGUAAAUUGUUGUUGAACAUAUGAAAGCAGUAGCCCCUAGAAAUCAACUGAUAUUUUAUGUAACCAUGUGACCCGACAACUAGAGGAGUAAGAUCUCAUACAUCCUCAGCAAUUAUUUUGAGAUGAAUGUCUGGAAUUAAAACACAGUCCCUAUUCUGAACGUAAGCUGAAUUGGAUAAUAACUGAAAGAUUGAUUGAUCGCUCUGCAAGUUAAGAAAGAGCAAGGGAAAAGGAAAACAAAAAAAAGAAAAAAAAGAUCUUGAGGUCCACUGAGAAAUUAGACCUACUCAACUACUUGAGUAAACCUUAUAUAUUUCUAUAGUGCUUGCAAUACGUCUUGAAAAGCAUAAAAUUCUAUUUAGCACCAUGGCUAGUAAAUAUUCAACAAACUGCUACUUAAAUGAAUAUGAGAACCUGAUCCAUUAAUUCCUUAACGUCCCUGCCCUCUUUGCUACUCCGUGCAGCACCUAGCUCGACUCCAGAAACCCUCUCAGCAAAUUUCAAAGUACUUGCAGUUUCAGAAAAUGAAUUCACAUCAGGAUUAAGCUGCACAAACAUAAGAGUCUUUGCUUGACCACCUGUAGUUUAUAAAGUAGAAAAUAAAAAUCCGCUAUAUGAAGUUCAAAAAGAGGACUAUUGGGAGCUAAGGAAAUAAUUUAGAGUCCUGACGAAACAAUAAGACAGGUGAAGGGAUUUAUUGCUAAAAGCAACUGGAAAACAGUGAAGUACCAAGAGAACUCUGAAGGACUUGAGUAAGCUUGCUGUUUCUGUAUGGUACAUGAGAGCUCUUCUGGGCAAGAGCAAAGAUAACAUCUCCAAGGGCAGAUAGCGAUUUGUUUAUAUGUUGUGCUUCCCUAAGUCUCUCUCCAGUUACCUCAGAGCGAUCUACCCUUUCACUUCCUGCAAGAUCCACCAAGUGAAGACUGCCACGCAAAGAAGCACCAGUCUUCAAAUCCGUCCCCCAAGCAUGAAUAGUUACAAUACUGCAAUAACACAUCUAAGUGAAGAUCAUAACAUGUAGAACAUAUACAGUCUGAAGAUGGUAAUAUCUAAAAAUGAAAUGACAACCUGUGGGAGCGGCUACUUCUUUCAUUCAUAGCAGUGGCACCUACAGAUCUAUUCUUUUGUCCAAUGUCCAUUAAUUCCAUUACAUCUGAGGUUGAUUUGACUGGGAGCAUGGUAGCAUCAGGAACAGCUAACCCAUGGGGCUGAGAGGUAGUCAAAAUCCCAAGUGUGUGCAAAUUAAGGAAAACAAAGGAUUUCAUGCCAAAACACAUGAAAACUAUUUUUCACUUAAUCAAACCCAAGAAGAAAAAGGCCAAGAUGCAGAAUUAACAAAGAUUUCAAAGAGAAUUAUACCACACCAGACAGAUAAAUCUGGAAAAAUCUAGAAAUGUAACUGGAAGAUUAUAGAGAAAUGUUUUAUGACAGUUAUCUGUCAGACAAAAACUAGUCAAUGGAUUAGGCAGAACAACUCAAAGCGAAAACAGAAGAUGAAAAUGAAUAGAGAAGGAUAUCCUUUUUACAUCUUUAUGCCAAAGAAUGAAAAUGAAUAGAGAAGGAUAUUUUUUUUGAGAACUAUCACUUGAUAGUAAAUCACGCACUUGUUCAUUGUAUAUUUCAACCAUUUGAACUCCAAUUUCAUACAUAAAUGAGCUUCUCCUGCUUUGAGUGAUCUCAAAGAGGUCACUUAGUGCACGAUAAUUGACACCCCAUUCCUCCUUGGAUGCUGCAUUGGGGCCAGUCUAGAGGAAAGACAAUACAUUACACAAGUUUUUAUUGAAAAUAUCAACACAUAUGCCAUGUAGACUAAAACAUAUACAAGUUCAUACCAUUGUGUAUGUCUUGCCCGAACCAGUUUGACCAUAAGCAAAUAUACAUACAUUAUAGCCAUCAAGAACAGAUCGUACCAAGGGUUGAGUGUCAGAAAACACCUCAGCUACAAACAUUUUCCAAGCAUAAUAUGAGUCAAGCAUUAUAAUGAUUUCUUGAAAGAGAUCUAUUCAAGGAUCCAAAUUAUAAAAUAUAAGGAUGAAAAACCUUGAGUAGCAGCUGGGCCAUAGACCUUAUUGAAUUUGAACAACCGAUGACUGUCUUUUCCUUGUUUUGAGGGAUUCACAAUACCGAGCUCCCCAUCUUCACCAAUAUAUUCUAUGGUUGUCUGCUUUCCAUUCUGCCCACGGAGAAAUGGCCUUAUCCGGCAAUACACCCUAAUGUUUCCUAUCCAAGAAAUACAUGCAUCAGCCAAAAGAUGCAUUCAUAUAAAACUAGUCGUGAUUCCAACAGAGUUAAAUUGGGCAUGGAACCUUUUAAAUCUUGAACCUCAUUAUAAAGUCUCCUAUUUUCAGCAAGAACUGCAUGAUAGUUUUCAGAGGCAUCUACUAAUGCUUUUAGCUUUACUCCUGAACAACAGAAAAAUCGAUCUAUGAGAACAUGCUACAUAAAUUUAUAUAGAAUCAGGAGAACUUUGUAGUAACCAACCUCACCUAAGCAUUUAAAAUCCUCUGAAUAGCUCUUCUGUGUUUCCAAUACUUCUUUCUUGAUGGACUCGGAAGUGGACCUCAAUCCCUGAUUGUUUAUUCAAAGUUCCAGUAUAAAACAUGAGCAUUAAAUAGUAUAGUUUGAAAGGUCAAGAUCAAUUUGGUUAAAGCGGACCUGCAAGGCACUGAAUAGAAAAUUCACAAGUCUCAGGUAGCUUUGCUCUUUCUUAUCCCACCUUUGGCCUUCUAACCCAGAAUAAGCCUCAAGUUUAUUUAUCUUAUUCCUUGAAUCGGCUAGGAGCUGCUCAAGUUCCCUUGACCUCUUCUCAAACUCUGCUUUAUCUCCCAUACCUUGCUUUUCCAUUUCUGAGAAAUGUUCUUCAUAUGUCUUCCUGGCUAUUUCCAGUUCUUGCUUCAGAGCAGUAAUUUCGAUAUUAUUUUGAUCCUUCUCUUUGUUGGCUAUUUCAAGUUCUUGCUUCAAAGCUGAAAUUUCAAUGCCACUUUGAUCCUUCUUCUUCUUGGCCAUUUCCAGUUCUUGCCUCAGAACCAAAAUUUUAGAAUCAUUUGGAUCCUUCUCUUUCUUCCUUGCUAUUUCCAGUUCUUGCUUUAAAGCUGAAAGUUCCAGAUGGUAUUGCUCCUUCUCUUUCUUCCGGGCCAUUUCCAUUUCUUGCUUCAGAGAAGAAAUUUCAAGAUUUGUGUCAUCCUUCUCUUUUAUCAGUCUAGCCAUAUCCUCCUCAAGCUUCUUCUUGUCUUCCACAUUGGCCUUUUUAGUCUGAAAUAAAAAGAAAUAAAAUUAAAGACUUCAAAGGUAUCCAUACAACCAAGAAAGCAAUAUUAUUUUUUCUCAGGCAAACAAAAUAUGCACCAUGUCAUCUCAAGCAACUGAUCAACAAUUGCAGCAAAUUAAGAAUAGAAUCAAUUGUGAAUACGCCUUCCACUUCCAUCAUGAAAGGAGAAAUUUGAUAUAUCAGUGGGCAGUCAAACCUCACUAUUUCCAUCCUCAUCUUUAACAUCAUUUAACUUUUGAUUCUUAAUGAACACAAAUCAAGGAUAUCAAACAUAUUAAAGUGGUUGAAAAUUGUGAAAAGAAACACCAGAAUCCAGUAAAUGAAGGAAGAAGCAUUGAGGGAAGGAGAGGAUACCACAGGACUCAAGAUUUUUUUUUUUUUUAUAACCGAAGAACCUUCCAUGGCUAAGCCCUUAGGACUCUCCAUGGGAACUCAAACCUCGGGGUGCUAACCACCCCACAACAACCAGCACCGGGUAAAUUCAGAGUAUCAUCCAUAGUAGGAUUCAAACCCAGGACCAUGUGCAACUUACUAGGACCACACUUCCCAAUGUUCGCCCUAACCAACUAGGCUAUCCUGGCAGGGACCAUAGGACUCACAUAUCUGGCUGCACAUGUUUUCAUGUAAUGUUAACUAAAAUUUUACUAAAUCUUAGACUACCUAAAAGUUGUUUUAUGAAUCCUUUGUUUUAGGUGCAACAAAUUGAACAAUUAUGGGAAGCAAAAAGCAAAAAAUACACAUCGGUAUAUUUUGGAACAGAGAAUAGUCCCUAAAGGAUAUCAGAUACAGGAUGUUUGAAGUAAAAGAUGAAUAACAUAAAAGAGACUUUCUAAUAUCUCAAUUAAGAAAAAUGCUCACAGAUUAUAGCCAUACCUUUAUCUGCUGGAGAUGAUUCAAUACAAUCUGCAGCAAAUAAUUUCAUUUGGUGAAUCCAGUAGUUGUACCAAAUAAACAAAAAGGCAAACCUGACAAUUUAGAAUCUUUCAAUACAACAUAUUUGAAGUACCUGGUUUUCAUCAUUAGUCCCAGUUGCAAGGGUUUCAAGUACUCUGAUUCUCGACUGGUAUUUCUCUUCCCGAGACUUAAAGAGAUUGUUUUGCUGCAGGCACAAACCAAUAGAAAAGAAUUGAUAUGGACUAGACAAUAAAAACCAAUAAAAGAAACAAAGUAAGUAUAUUACAGUUCUUAAGUGUUCUGCUUGAGUUGAUAUUCGCCGCUCAAUUUCCUGCACAACUUUUCUCAAUAGACAUGCCACACGCUGAGGAAAAAAAAACAAAAAAUAAAAAGCAUCCUCAGAUAAGUUUUUUAGCAUUAAAAAUGCAUUUAUAUUAUCAAUAUAUAUAUAUAUAUAUAUAUAUGCCUUAAUUUAACACCAGUUGCCCUCUCAUUGCCAUACGUGAGGUAUCUCUUCAUUCUUCCUUUCAACGCUUUCAUCUAGAAUUCCAUUCACAACACUCAAAAGUGACUGAGUUGGGGCAUUCUGCAAAAAUGAGAUGCUUGAAUGCAUUAAAGAAGCAUAAAACUGAAAAGACCACCUAAAAAAUCCUAAAUCUUGCCCAAUUAUGUCCAUUGACAACAUAAGGUGCCAUAUGACUUACAUCUAAACUGUUAGAUUUCAUCAUUUCUGUAAGCUUAGCAGCAGGAAUAUCCGCAUAGCGUCCUUGUUUCAGUUGAAACACCUCAUGGAACUUGUGUCCCACAUGAUAUAUUAAUGCAGCUGAUGGCUCUACAAAAAGGGGAAAAAGUAAGAUAACAACACUACGUCCAAAUAAAAUUAUCAUUAUUGAAGAGCAUCUGCUAGUUUUGUGUUGUUAGAAUACAAAAAAACUAUCCACUGUCUCAAUAUAGCAGAUCUCACUUCACAACUUCACUAUGGAUAAAAGCUGUUAUCAUAUAUUCAUAUGGCUGCAUUAGAACAGACAAGCACAUAGAGGAAUAGAGUACAAAAAAACCAUACCAGACUUGACAGGACUACGCAAAGCACGUUGAAAUUUGGAUUCUGAAAAACUCUUUUGCCUGUCUUCUCCACAUGGUGUAGGCCCACGCGAAGGAUCAUCCACUUGAGGACCAAUGUUUCCAGAUUUAGAAAAUGAACUACUGAAUGGAAAAUUAUUUCCACAUACAGUUGGUAUAGUGUGUGCUUUAAGUGUUAAAAUGCACUCCAAAACAGUCUUCAUAGAUCCCUGCAACAUAAAAUCAACAUUAUGAUAAAUGCCGAGAGCUCUGGUGAUGCUAAGAAAACAUAUACUCAAAUUCAUUUGAGCAAAUUAAUCAAAAAAAAAUUUGAAAUUCACUACUUCAACUUUGAGAUGUUUGCAAAUUGCUAAGAAAAUAAAUGUAAAUAAACCUACAAUGACUUCAGUGGGAGUACUACUAGUUUGUGUACAUAAUGGAUAGUAAUUCUUAUAAACAAUUGAUAGUAGGUCAUGAAAACAAUUGAUACCUUUUCCAGGUCUGCAAUUUCAAACCCGGGCAUCCCUAAUGCGUCCAAAGCCUCCAGAAACUUUUUAACAUUUUCAUAGCGCAUCCCAGAAGAAUGAUCAUAAUCACGCACCUAAAGUAAAAAAAAAAUGCACAUCAAAACAACAAUUCUAACAUCCAGAGAUGAAAUUCAACACUAACUGCAUCUAAAUGAACAAACCUCACUCACAGAACCAGGUCUCAGUCUGUUCAAAAACCGACAUAAAACAGCACCAUCAAUCAAGCAGGCCCUCAAUUCCUCUACUGAAGCUUUUACUGGCAAAUUUAAAUUAGGAAGCAUGGAAUUUAACCACUCCGCCACAAUGGCUCGCUUCUUGUCUGCAUAAAAGGGAAUGAAAUAAAUACAAAGUUCAGUAAAUUAAGAUGGGAAAAACAAAGGAAGAGAGGAGCAAAAUCACCCUUUCUUCACCUUUAUCAUCAGCAUUAUGAGUUGCCAUUGGUUCAAAAACAUCCCCAUUACCAGAUACUCUGAAACUGCCAAUUCCCCCAUAUUUCUUUGCGUUGUAAUCCAAUGUAGAGUCCAUGAUGAAAUACAAGGGAAGACAUCUAGCUUCAAAGCUCAAAACCUCAAACUACGAAAAAUAAGAAAAAAACCCCCCAGAUUGUUUCAAUAAAAUCCAAAGAAAUCAUUUGCAGGAAGAAGGGAACAAAAAGUUUAUUUAUCUCCAGACUUCCCCAGAAAUGCAACAAUCCUGAAAAGUUAUUAAAAAAAAAAUGUAAUCAUCACCACAACUUUAUUUCACAUUCCCUCAUCAACUCAAUACAUUAAACGAUGUUAUGCAUUAAACCCAUGGUUCAUGCCUGGUAAUGGCAUUAUUUUAAUUUCCAAAGGCAAGAGAAUCAAAUGCUUCUUUUGCAUGGUGAGCACGUAACACAACCCAUUACCAAACACCAACCAACCAUUAAGUCAGAGCUCAAACUCUGACUGGUAGGGAGCCCAAGCAGAAAACGGAAAUACAAAUAUAUUCACCUGCAUGGGUGGAAAAUGAGAGAGACCCAACUCAGAAAAGAUUUCAGCGAUGGCCCCUGGGCUCCUCCUCCAUCUGGUGUAGCUUCAAAAGUUUCAUUGGCAACAAGGAUUUCAAGGAAGAGAAGAGAGGAGAGAAAAUGGUGGAAACAAGAGAAGAAAAAAAGUUUGGAAAAGGCAUAAUGAAUGAAUAAAUAUUACAGAGAGAGGGAAGAAGAUCGAUGGACGGCCGGCCGUUUAAUCCUGGUCAAUCGUGGUUGAAAUGUGUUGAAAUUCAUACGUGGCCACGUACUAUACGGCAAUUAUAUAUUUUUUUUUUAAAUGUAAUAUUAAUAUUUUGAAAGAAAUAUAUUAAUAAAUAAUAAUAAGAUUAUGUUUAAUAUUUGAAUUUAAAACUUAGAGUGUUGAUUUUUGAAAACGUUUCUAGUUUUUUAAUAUUUUAAUAAUAAAAAUUUUAAAAUGUCAUAAAAUCAUUAUUAAACAGGUUCUUAAUUAAGUGAUUAGAGGAGUAUUAAAGGGACUUAAUUUAUUUUGUUGGUUAUAAUUAUUUUUAUAAUAAAAAAUAAUUUAAAAUUUGCCUAGACCAACCAAACUUAACCAAGAUCUAAUUUAAUGUUUUAUAAAUUUUACAAUAUAUUAUUAUUUAUAAUUAUAUAUUUUCAAAUAAUUAUAAAAGAAAAAUGUCAAUUUAAUUGUAUUAUGUAUUAUUUUAUUUUUUUUAAUAAAAAUAAAUUCAUUUUGCAUUUUUAUUAUUCUUAAAAAUAAUGUGUCAUUUGAUAUGAAGUGUAUCAAAAAUAAAAUCAAAAUACUAUCACUAAGUGGAAUUUUCUUUUUUUCCUUUUUUCUUUUACUUUUUUUUUUCUUUUCUUUUUUUUUUUUUUUUGUUAUCACAACGAAAGCUUUGAUGCAAACAUCGUUAAUCAAGAACAAAAGAUAAAAUAAUCAAUAUAAACAGUACACGAGGUUUUAACAUGGUUCGACCAACCAUGCCUACGUCCACGGAUAAGAUAAUCAUUUCACAAUACAAUAAAUAAUAUUACAUGACAGAACCAGAACAUUAGAGAUGACAUAACUAGAUAUAACUAUUGGGUUCUUCAAACAUGUCAUGUUUCCCCACUCUUUGUAUCUCUACCCUACCAUGAGCUCUAUCGCUUCACCAUGUACCUCUUGUUUUUCCUCAUAUCUCUAUUCACCUCAUAUAGUCUUUACAAACUCAUCUUCAAUUCAUAACUUUUUCUCUUUCAUAACCUAGAAUAUUUAUAGACAUAUUUCCAAUAACCUUUCUUAUUUUACAAGGAAGCCUAAUAUCAACCUAAAAAUAUUCUAUAUAAUAUUUUUUUCUACAAAAGAAGAAUAUAUACUAAUUAGGAAUUUGAGACACUUCUUAACAAUCUCCACAUUGGACCAAAUUCCAUAAAGUCAAUCUUCAAUGGCACAAACUUUUUUUUAUUUUUAUACCACGAGAGAGCAAUCAACUCCACCUUCAUUGAAAAUUUCUUUUGUUUUCAUCUUGUGUACUUUGUGAUCUUUUACUUUUCCAGAAAUCUUUAACCUAAGUUUUGAUACCGGUUUGUUGUGUCGGCGAAAGCUUUGAUGCAAUCAUCGUUAAUCAAUAACACAAAGAUAAAAUAAUCAACACAAACGAUAUACUAGGUUUUAAUGUGGUUCAACCAACCAUGUUUAUAUUGACGUAUAAGAAAUGAUUAUUUCACUAUACAAUAGAGAACAUUACAGAUGAUAAAACUAGAAUAUUAUAGAUGAUAUAACCAAAUACAAUUAUUGGGUUCCUGAAACAUCUUAUAUUUUCCCAUUCUUUGUAUCCCUACUCUACCACAAGUCUUCUCGUUCUAUUGGUACCUCUCGUUCUUCCACACAUUUCCCCUUAUGACCUAAAAUAUUUAUAAAAAUAUUUCCAAAGAACCUUCCUUAUUCUAUAAGGAAAUCUAAUAUUACAAUAAUAUAUUAACCUAAAAGUAUUCUAUAUAAUAUUUUUUUUUACAAAAGAGAAAUAUAUAUUAGGAAUUUAGGACACUUCUUAACAAUAUUAAUUUUAAUAUAACUUGAAUUUACCUUAUGUUUGAAAAUAUGAUAUUAUGAUACUAGAUUAAAAUGAAUUGAAAAAAUAUUUAUUAAUUUAGAUUGGGAUCUUCAAUGCAAACCCAACUUAAUCUAAUCUAAAUUCAACCUUAUAAUAGAAUCAAAUUUAAAUUCAUGAAUUUGAAUAGAAGCUAAACUUAAUAUUAAAUUAAAUUAAAGUUUUAUAAUCCAAGCAAUAUCUUUUGUUUACUUUAUACUCUUAAGAAAACAUUAUUUUUUUUUAUCAACUAAAUUUAUUUUCCUAAUAAGCCAUUUUAAUUUCCACAUUGGACCAUGAAAUAAGAUAAAAAAAAAAAAAAUACUCCUUUACGAUAGGACAUUUUGUUAAAAAAUGGUGGUUGUAAAAAUAAUUUGGGUGUAUAAUAGUUUAAAAAAUAUUUUUAAAUGUAUGGCUAAAAUGCCAAUGAAAAAUCGUGUUUUAAAAAGACAACUUGGCUUACAUCACAUUGAAUUUAUCUUUUGUAAAAACCAUUUCAAUAUAAAUUUUAAAAUUUAAAGUUAAAUUUUUUAAAAUAUAACUUUUAUUCAAUACUUUUUCAACUACUUAUUUUAAAAACAAUUAUGUAAAAAUAUAAUAUUUUUUUCCAAAUCCAUGACGUUUAUAACCACACAAGGAAAAUAAUUUUUUUUUUUAAAUAAUCAUAUCAUCAAUUCAACUAAUUUUUAUAAUAAUUCCUAUAAAUUUUUAUAUUUAAUAAAUAGAAACCAUCUGCUUGCGACGUCAAUAUAGAGCAUGGGAUGUGAAAUCAGUUGAUUGAAGGUUUAUAAUAAUUCUCAUAAAUUUUUAUAUCUAAUAAAUAGAAACCAUCUGUUUGUUCGGAGAAUGGAAUGUAGAAUUCAUCAGCUAUUGAUUGUGGUUAUAAAUUUAUCAGAUAUAUAUUAAGUAGGUCAGUGGGUGCAAAACCCCAACUCAAAACUGGUCUAACAGUCCAAAAAUCCCAAUCUCUUAGACAACCUCUGGCUGUGGGAACCUACAUGAAACUUAUAAACAAUCUUUGCUAUAUGUUUUGUUCAGUCUUGGAGAGUUGAGACUUGAUGAAACCCAAUAAUGAUGAAAAUUGGCUUUUCUCCCUGGGCUCAUCUUUAAUCUCAGCACCACAAGCAAAAUUGUAGGCAAACACCCUACACGUAUGAAAAACAAAGAACAAAAAGCCAUAUAAUACUUAAUGAAUUAAUCAGUAAUUAGAAGAUGCUAUCCUUUAUGUUUCCACCAGUAAGCAGACUGAAAAAAGGAUCUUCCUUGUUUUCAUUGUCACUUUUGAUUUCCUCAACAGGGAAAAAGGGUGUGGUAGCUGCUGAUACUGUAGGUCUCUUCACGGAGACAAAAGCCACUUUAUUGCUUGAAUCAAAUUUACGUUUUAAAGGAUUUGAACUCGGAAAUGAGCUUGUGUGUGGAAGCAAGCCUUGUUCUGGGAGGAGAUUCUCAAUAGAGGAUCCUUCAACUUCUGAACCAUUGCUAACUUGCACACUAUCUUCAACCCGCUUCCCAUCAUCACUUUCAAGGGAAGGAUUCACCAGUAGAGAUUUGUCCUCACUGACCAGAGUUGGACCCUCUUCUGAACUGUGGAGCAUGUCUGUCUUCUUGGAGCCAAGUUCAUCAUCUACACAAAAGACAAAUGUUACAGAACUGGGCAAGAGAAAUAGUAGCACCAGAAUACAAAGCAACAGCAAGAAACCAGAGGUUAAGGCAGCUGCAAAUAAAUUAUGAGAAUUGGAAAUACUCAUUUGCAGCAUGCUAGCUUGUUUAGCAACAAAAUAUAUAAAACUAGCACCAAAAAUCCAAUUGACAAGCCUCGAGGAAAUUUUCCAUCCAGUCAAAGUGUCCAAGUUGCAGGAAAUCAAUAGCUUCAGCAUAACAACAGGGCUCUGUUGUUUCAAGAAUAAAUGUUAACUUCCUAAACGUCUCAAAUGGAACCCAACACAGCAUCAUGCCUCUGGAAGCAACUUUUCAUAGCCUCCAGAAAAGUGAGCUCAAGCUUGAAUUCAAGAGGACGAAAUUGAAUCUUCAGCUAUAAACUAAAACAUGAUGUAGCUCACUUUAGCUUCUGUCAAGUCUAUGUCUAAAGUAAAUCAUCAUAUGUCUGAGGAUUAAAUAGAUGGUUAAACAGGAAAAUUGAAUCAUUUUUUACCCUAAUGAAUAUUCUUGAUCAUGAAAUAGAUGGAACCAUUCUUAUCCAAUGGUCAUUGGUAAUGUAUCUGACAUUAAUCAGUACUUAUAAAAAUAUGAUAGAAUAAGUAAAAAUGUUGAAUAUAAUGUAUUUAUAGUAUAUUAUCUUUCCUUGUUAAUAUAGGUCACAUGUAUGGUAGUUAGGACUCCUAGCCUUGUAUAUAUAUAUAUCUCAAUUGUAAGUAGACAUUACAUGAAUGAGAAUUAAGGUUUUUCUCCUUUCUCUCUCUCUCUUUCAACAUGGUAUCAGAGCCAAGGAAGAAAACCUAAUUCUUUCCUGUUUCCCGUGUCAUCAACUCCGGGAAACCUUCCGGUGACUGUGUUUCUUUCCGGUCACCCUCCCCAUCUCCCAACACUUUCCGGUCAGUCGGAUCAUCGUUAGAAACCACUCACCGCCGGCAAAAUUUUCCGGCAAAUUUUCCGGCGAACUUUCCCGGCGACCUAUUUUUCCGACACUGACCAUACCAGAAGGAGCGCCUGGAGGAGAUCUCCAACUUUUGUGAAGGCACCAGCAUCAAAAGAGGAUCCACGCGCCGGCGACUGCAUCUCACGCGCCGGCGACUGCAUCUCACGCGCCGGCGCGUGAGGGCGCGUGAGGCCUUUUCCGGCGACGCGCCUCCUCCUCCAGCCUCGCCUGCCGCCGACCAGCAUCCCUACCUACCUGGUUCUCCCAUCCGAGCCCUGCACGUACCUCUUUUGGGGAUUUUUGUCUCCGUCAGCCCUCCAAACAACCUUUCCGGCGAAGUUCCGGCUACUUUCUCUCCACCCCAAUCCCUGCACGUGCCUUGGGAAGUGUUCAUCUACCUUUCUGGUGGUACCACGUCGCGAUCUGAGGCCGUCUCCCUUUUUCGGUGGUGCCACGCCGCAAUCUGAAGCCGUAUUAGGGCUCUCUUCGAUCCAAAUACGUGAAUAUGACCACCAAAAAUCAGAUCUUUACCUCUGUUAUCUCUGGAUCUCCUAUGAUUACCUCAGAGAAAUUGGUUGGCAGUGAAAAUUAUCUUUCCUGGUCUGCCUCUGUUGAACUUUGGUUUAUGGGUCAAGGAUAUGAGGAUCACUUGGUUUCCCAGGAGGCAGAUAUCCCUGAGGUUGACCGCGUACAGUGGAGGAAGAUAGAUGCACAGUUAUGUAGUGUAUUAUGGCAAUCGGUUGAUCCCCGGAUUCUUCUUCAUCUUCAGGCCUAUAAAACUUGUUUUAAAUUUUGGACUCAAGCCAAAGGAUUAUACACGAAUGAUAUCCAGCGUCUUUAUAAGGUGGCUUCUGCUAUUGUCCAUCUCAGCCAACAGGACUUGGAUCUAUCUACUUAUAUUGGUCAGAUUGCCUCUCUUAAGGAGCAGUUCUUGACUGUGAUGCCUCUUACUCCUGAUGUUGGGGCUCAACAAACACAGCUUGACAAGUUCUUCAUGGUCCUUACUCUUAUUGGCCUCCGUCCGGAUCUUGAGCCUAUUCGUGAUCAGAUUCUUGGUAGUUCAUCAGUUCCGUCCUUGGAUGAUGUGUUUGCUCGCCUCCUCCGUAUCUCGUCCACUCAGACUUUGCCAUCUGAUAGCGCUUCAGAUUCUUCUGUGUUAGUUUCUCAAACUACCUCUCGAGGAGGACGCAGUGGUACCCGAGGUAGAGGCCAACGUCCUCAUUGCACCUAUUGCAAUAAACUUGGCCACACUCGCGAUCGUUGCUAUCAGUUACAUGGAAGACCUCCUCGCACUGCCCAUAUGGCCCAGUCCUCUGAUUCUCCGCUGCCUCAGCCUCCGAGCUCCUCCGCAUCUCAGACAUCUCAGGCUUCUAUUGCCUCUGUUGCCCAGCCUGGUAAUGCCUCUGCCUGCCUUACCCACACAUCUUCUCUUGGACCCUGGAUUCUAGAUUCUGGAGCAUCUGAUCACCUAUCUGGUAAUAAAGAUAUUUUCUCCUCUAUUACUACUACCUCUGAUUUACCUACUGUUACUUUAGCUAAUGGUUCUCAAACUGUGGCUAAAGGUAUUGGUUUGGCCCUUCCUCUGCCUUCUCUACCUCUCACUUCUGUCCUUUAUACUCCUGAAUGUCCUUUUAAUCUUAUUUCCAUCAGCAAAAUCACUCGUACUCUUAAUUGUUCUAUUACCUUUUCUGAUAAAUUUGUGACCUUGCAGGACCAGAGUACGGGGAAGACGAUUGGCAUAGGACGUGAGUCUCAAGGCCUCUAUCACCUCACCUCAGAUUCAUCUCCUGCAGUUUGCAUUUCCACUGAUGCUCCUCUCCUCAUUCACAAUCGUCUGGGCCACCCUAGUCUCUCCAAGUUCCAGAAGAUGGUUCCUCGUUUUUCCACUUUGUCGUCGCUUCCGUGUGAGUCAUGUCAGCUUGGGAAACAUACUCGUGUCUCGUUCCCAAAGCGUUUGAAUAAUCGGGCAAAGUCUCCUUUUGAGCUUGUCCACACUGAUGUUUAGGGUCCUUGUCGGACUGCGUUUACUUUAAGAUUUCAGUAUUUUGUCACUUUCAUUGAUGACUAUUCUCGAUGUACUUGGUUAUUUUUAAUGAAAAAUCGAGCUGAGUUAUUUUCUAUUUUCCAGAAAUUUUAUACUGAAAUCCAAACCCAGUUCAAUAUUUCUAUUCGUGUGUUACGCAGUGACAAUGCCAAGGAAUAUUUUUCAGCCCAAUUUACUUCGUUUAUGUCUCAUCAUGGGAUUCUUCAUCAGUCUUCUUGUGCUCAUACUCCUCAACAAAAUGGGGUAGCUGAACGCAAGAAUCGACAUCUUGUUGAGACAGCUCGUACUCUCCUCCUCUAUAGUCACGUUCCUUUUCGUUUUUGGGGGGACGCUGUUCUUACCGCUUGUUAUUUGAUUAAUCGUAUGCCCUCCUCUGUCUUACACGAUCAGAUUCCUCACUCCCUUCUUUUCCCUGACCAACCACUUUAUUUCCUUCCUCCUCGUGUCUUUGGUUGUACUUGCUUUGUUCAUAUUCUCACUCCUGGACAGGACAAGCUUUCCGCCAAAGCCAUGAAGUGCCUCUUCUUGGGAUAUUCCAGACUUCAGAAGGGUUAUCGUUGCUAUUCCCUUGAGACUCAUCGAUACUUUAUCUCCGCUGAUGUCACCUUCUUUGAGGACUCACCAUUCUUUUCCACCACUUCUGAGUCUCUUCCUGUUUCUGAAGUCUUGCCCAUUCCCAUUGUCUUCCCACCUGAUGCUAUGCCCCCUCGACCACUUCAGGUUUAUCAUCGUCGCCCUCGUGUCGUUGCUCCUCUCCCUUUUCCUGAGGCACCUGCUGACUCACUUCCUAUCCCUUCGACUUCACCUGCCCCGGCUCUGCCUUCUCCUAAUGACUUACCCAUUGCUGUUCGAAAAGGUACUCGCUCUACUCGUAAUCCUCAUCCUAUUUACAAUUUUUUGAGUUAUCAUCGAUUAUCUUCACCCUAUUCUGCUUUUGUUUCUGCUAUAUCCUCUGUUUCUCUUCCAAAGAGCACCCAUGAAGCUCUUUCCCAUCCAGGCUGGCGACAGGCAAUGGUGGAUGAAAUGGCUGCUCUGCACUCUAAUGGCACUUGGGAUCUUGUUGUUUUACCCUCUGGUAAAUCUACAGUUGGUUGUCGUUGGGUUUAUGCAGUUAAGGUUGGUCCUGAUGGUCAGGUUGAUCGCCUUAAGGCCCGCUUAGUUGCUAAAGGCUAUACUCAAGUUUAUGGUUCUGAUUAUGGUGACACAUUCUCACCUGUUGCCAAGAUUGCUUCUGUCCGCUUGCUUCUCUCCAUGGCUGCUAUGUGUUCUUGGCCUCUUUAUCAGUUGGAUAUUAAAAAUGCCUUCCUUCAUGGUGAUCUUGCCGAGGAAGUUUAUAUGGAGCAACCUCCUGGUUUUGUUGCUCAGGGGGAGUCUGGUUUAGUGUGCAGGUUACGCCGUUCUCUAUAUGGCUUGAAACAAUCUCCUCGAGCAUGGUUUAGCCGUUUUAGUUCUGUUGUUCAAGAGUUUGGCAUGCUUCGCAGUACAGCAGACCAUUCAGUUUUUUAUCAUCAUAACUCCUUGGGGCAGUGUAUUUAUCUGGUUGUUUAUGUGGACGACAUCGUCAUUACAGGCAGUGAUCAGGAUGGUAUUCAGAAACUAAAGCAACAUCUUUUUACCCACUUUCAGACCAAAGACUUGGGGAAACUCAAGUAUUUCUUGGGAAUUGAGAUAGCUCAAUCCAGUUCUGGUGUGGUCCUUUCCCAAAGGAAGUAUGCUUUAGACAUCCUGGAAGAAACCGGUAUGUUAGACUGUAAACCGGUAGACACACCUAUGGAUCCGAAUGUCAAACUUGUACCAGGACAGGGGGAGCCUUUAGGAGACCCUGGGAGAUAUCGACGGCUCGUAGGUAAAUUGAACUAUCUCACCAUUACUCGUCCAGACAUUUCUUUUCCUGUGAGUGUUGUUAGUCAAUUCCUACAGUCACCAUGUGAUAGCCAUUGGGAUGCCGUAAUCCGUAUUCUUCGAUAUAUCAAAAGUACACCAAGCCAAGGUGUAUUGUACGAGAACAGAGGUCAUACUCAAGUUGUUGGUUACACAGAUGCAGAUUGGGCUGGCUCACCCACAGAUAGACGUUCCACUUCAGGGUACUGUGUUUUUAUUGGAGGUAAUCUAAUAUCUUGGAAGAGUAAGAAACAAGAUGUAGUGGCCAGAUCUAGCGCUGAAGCCGAGUAUCGAGCUAUGGCUUUGGCAACAUGUGAACUCAUAUGGUUGAGACAUCUUCUUCAGGAGUUGAGAUUUGGAAAGGAUGAACAGAUGAAACUCAUCUGUGAUAACCAGGCCGCAUUACAUAUUGCAUCCAAUCCAGUCUUUCAUGAAAGGACCAAGCAUAUUGAAGUUGACUGUCAUUUCAUUAGAGAGAAGAUCGCAUCAGGAUGUGUUGCUACAAGUUUUGUCAAUUCAAAUGAUCAACUAGCAGACAUCUUUACUAAAUCUCUCAGAGGCCCUAGGAUUAAAUAUAUUUGUAACAAGCUUGGUGCAUAUGACGUAUAUGCUCCAGCUUGAGGGGGAGUGUUGAAUAUAAUGUAUUUAUAGUAUAUUAUCUUUCCUUGUUAAUAUAGGUCACAUGUAUGGUAGUUAAGACUCCUAGCCUUGUAUAUAUAUAUAUAUCUCAAUUGUAAGUAGACAUUACAUGAAUGAGAAUUAAGGUUUUUCUCCUUUCUCUCUCUCUCUUUCAACAAAAAAAAAAAAAAAAUAUAUAUAUAUAUAUAUAUAUAUAUAUAUAUAUAUAUAUAUAUAUUAAAACCAAGAAAAAUAAAUGAACUUGGAAAUCCCUCUUUUGAUAACAAGCUCAAUAACAUAUUCAUAUCAAAACCUAAGGCUGAAACUGACUUUUCCACAAGAGAAAAGCAAGGAGAGAGGGAAGGAAAAGGAAAUAAAGAACAGUAAUUGUUUUGCUCACCUGCAAGUAAAGCCUCAAUACUUUGAUAUUGUAUGGUUGAUGUUCCCAGAGAAACAUCUUCUCUGGGAUCCCCAUCUAGAUUUUUCAUCUCGAUUUUCUUGAUCCUCUCAAGCAAUACAAACUUAUCCGCUUCCCACACACAUUCAAGGGUGACAAAUUCUUCAUUUGUUGGAUAAUACUCCCUAAAAAACUGCACCAAUUAUCCAGAGAGAGAGAAAGAAGAACCUAAUUUUGAGUCAAAGGGUAACAGCAAAAAGAUAUUUACCAAAAGAAUUUGCCAAAUGUAUAGAGCUGCAAAACCAACCUCAAUUCCUGCUUGAGUCAAUUUUACAGACUGCUCCUUUUGGGAGAGAGAAGAAACCAUGUUGAAGACAGAAACAACAUCAAGUAGUGUCUGGAAAAAAAACAAAGAGCAAUCCUAAGUUUUGCCAUGGUGUCAACUAAAACAACGCACCAAGUAAUUCAGAUUGUCCUAUUAGGCACACUAAAUUAAGACACCAUACAGUCAUCCUUCCAACAAUGGCCUAUUCCUAAGAGUGAAUGGUAGUAAGCAAAUGCAAACAUUGGUGAAAAGAAAGCAUUUGUCCAAUGAGCUACAUCAAAGUCCCAAAUAACAAGGACAGACUUAUAUCUGUCCUUGCAACAUUUGACACCUUGAUUCCAAGUAAGAUUUUGCCACCAUCUCUUUGUCCAUCCAAUUUUUAGGGGGUGUUGCUGUGUCAUAUGCUUUGUAUCAAAACAAGGCACCCAGGCCCUCUUCAUACAACAUACAAUUUUCACCCUCUUGUUAUGUUGGCACUAGGAUGAGGCCAUCAGCUAGACCAUUGAGAUUGAUCACCUUAUUGCCAUAAACUAACAAGAUUCGAAAACCAAUUCAGAUUUUUUUUUUUUUUUUUUUUUGGCUAAGCAAAAACCAAUUUAGAAAUUUUAAUUCUUCCUCAAAAUGAAAGCAUACUUGCUGAACCAAAACUCGAAGGCGAGCAAGAAGAGCCAAGAUUGUUAGAGAGAAUCCCAUGAAAAAUGACCGAGCAAGCAAAGUAGAUAUCUCACUGUAGAAUAGUUAAGAAGAAAAAAUUAAUAAUUUAAUUUUCCCAAUUCAUCCCCACAUGAUCAAACCAAUAUUCUAAUACAAUGAUGAUGAGCAUGCAACCACUCAAAAUAGGAUGGUUUUAACAAGCCAAGACAGACUGAUAUUUGGCCAGUUUGCCUCAAGAUGGCAGAAGAAAUUGCAUCUAAAAAAAAGGUGCAAAACAUAAGAUAGAAAAAUCCAACUAUAUUUGAAGAGUGGAAAAGAUCAAAAGAGUGCCCUUUUCUUUUUCUUUUUCUACGAUCCUUGUAAGCAAAGGAAAAAAAAGGCACGCACACAAACAAACAAAGAGACAUGGUGGCCAACUGAUUAGGUCCAGAAAACCUAUCCCAGAAAGAUAUCUAAUUACUGGACUUGAAAAGGAAAUGGAAAUAAUUAAAACCUAGAGACCUGCAAAUAAUAUAGCGAAACAAGAAAUGGCAGAACAAAAAGAAAAUUUGAUGAACCAGAAAUUAAAUCUGGCAGAAAAGAGGAUCAUAGAAUUUUUUAGUGAUAAAAAACUAAAAAGACCCAGACCAUGCUAUAUGCCUUAAAAAAGAAAUAUAUAUGAUAAACCAAUAUUGCAUUACAAUUGUAUACCUUUAAACUAUACUUAAAGGCUUAUAUUUUGGAGAAAUACAGUUUCUGAUGAAGCUCAUAUUUUGGAGAAAUACAGUUUCUGAUGCAAACAAGUCUACUAAAACUACCAGGUAAGUAGAAAGACAGCUACACCGUUAUGAUGGGAAAUGAUUGGUAUAGCCCUUGUUUAGGAUGUGGUAAAAAAGAUGUGCUAAUUUAUAAGUCACUUCCACAACCAAUUCAAUCAAGUCAUUUUGAGAUCUAAGAAAACUAAUCAAAUGUCCAAAUUAGUUCUAUUAGUAUCACAAAAAGUCCCAUAACAAUAACAAAUUAACCAACUAAUGAAGGAUACAUAGCUGCCUUCAACAUCGGUUCCACCAUCUGCAACAGAAACAGAGAAAACAUUAGGAAGAGUAAGCACAACCUAAGGACUUAGUGGUUUCCUCACUACACAAUAUAUGGGAGAUUGUGUAAUCUAGCGUAUCUGAAGCUGCAUUGCAAGUAGCUGCCUCCUAGAUUUGACAUAAUAAAAAUACUGAUCUGAUAUAUGUAUCUGAUAUAUGGUAGCACUUGCACCAAUGUACCCUUUUCAAAACCACAGAAGUCAUAUUAGAAAAAUCUAACUUUUCCGAUCAAAGAGGCUUGUAUCAGAAGACAGAUUGUUGAAAUACCAAUUUGCAUGAUUAUACAAGGUGGCUAAAUGGUUGAACAGGAAAGACCAGCAAACACUGCACUUGCAUUUGGAUCAAGAAAAAGAAAGAAUCUAUUCAAAGACAUUCGGAUUCCAAUUGUAUUCAUUUAACAAUGUCAGCAAGGUUAAUCUUAGUUUAAAAUGCUAAAAAUAUCCCAAAGAAGUUAGGUAAGUUUGGAUUAGGGCAAGAAUGCACUACUGUGUCCCUUCUCCAAAAUUACAAAGCAUCUAACAUCAACAUUUUCCACUCCCAUGUGCCAAUUCUGGUGAAUAAUAGGGCUGUUUUUACUCCCCUUGGAAUUGAAAAUCCUGUAUUUACUAUCUUUGUAAUUUUUUUCUCCUUUUUUCUUAUGGAAUCUUUGUCCUUCUUAGUGUAUCCCUUUUAAAUUCAAAAGAAAUUUUCUUGUUUUCUAUUAAAAAUUUAUUGGCUGACAGUAAGCCAGAUUUCCUGGUGAGGUUGUACUGUGAUGAUAUCAUGUCAAUGUCACAACAAUAUGGCAUUUUUCUUCCUUUCCUCCCCCAUCUUCUUCAUUGAUACUCCCUCUACCAACACUUAGACCCUUGACUUUUCAGAUUAUUACACUUGUUCAGAGCUCAGAAAAAUGCAUGAAAAGCUGCUUUUGCAGUUCUUUCAGUGUGACCUGAAUAGUAAAAAAGGCUAAGUUGGGAUCAUGGCUGCUGAUGCCAUACUCAAGACAUAUCAUACAUAUGAGUGAGAACCCUAGGAGUACAAAUAUCUCUAAAUAAAAAAGUACACAUGGCAAACUGCAAUGGAGUAAUGCAUUAAGGAACUUAGUGAUAUCAUAGAAAAAGAAAAGUAUGUUAAUGACGAAUCAAGCUGACCUUUCCUUAACUGAGGGAGAUGUGACUGCUGAAGAAACAAUCAAAUGUGAAAAAGGAAGAAACAGGAUAUAAGAGGGAGGAAGAAAACAAAGAACAUACUUCAGAUAGUAAACGUGCAGCUCCCAGAAGCCGCUCCAUAAAAUUAUAUUUACCACCAUCGCCUUUUCUCUUCUUUAAACUGCAUAGAUAUAAAUAAAUAAAUAGAUAAGUGAAAAAACAAGCAAACAUGUGUGAGCAUAUGUAUGUACACUCAGAAACUUAUGAACAUCCUUUUGCUUCAAAGUACAUUAUUUAAAUCUCAACAUAGACAUUUACCCCUAUCAAAUAGUGAGUAAAUUAGAUGGGGAAAAAAUGAGGACAAACAUAGACUUCAGUUCAAAAGAGAACCAAACCAUCCCUCUGUAAAGCUACCACGUGAUGGUUUGAGAUAUUUGUGAUACUAUGCCAAAGCCCCAAUGUUAAAGGCAAUGUAGAAAUAGAUGGUCAAUCAAUUCUCCACUUCUCAUGCAUAAAAUGCACCAAUGAAGACUGAGAGACUUGUAGGAUCUGCUUAAUUGUAGGAUGUCAUUGGUGUUUACCUUUUUGUGUACCACUAACCUAGCAAAGGCCUUAACCUUUGAAGGGGCUUUUGAUUUUCAAACAAAUUUGGUCAAAAGGAACGGGAGUGGACUUGAGAAAUUGGACAAGGUCAAGAAAAAGAUUUUGUUGAGAAUAAACCUAAGAAUAUAAGUCUUUUAAGAUUUUUAAUUUCCAUGUCAAUGAAAUUGCGACGAAAGUUAAAAUUCUAAGAAAUUGGAGAGGAAUUAUCAAGGACAACUAAGAUGGUGAUAUUUUUUUUUUUUGAUAAAUAUCACGAAUAUAUUAAAGGGCAAAGGCCACCAAGCAUACAGGACGUAUACAAAUCUGCCUCAAAACGAGAGCACAAAAAAACACGCACCCUUACCCUCCCUUAAGUGGCCGCUAGCCACUCCAAAAAACCUAAGAGUGAAGAGGACUCCUCUCCAAUAUACACCCUAGCCCAACUCCACAAGGUACAAACAAAAUAAUUUUUGAGUUUCUGUAUAUUUAACACCCCUCCCUUUAAAGCUAACCUAUUCCUUUCCUUCCAUACCGUCCAAAAAAUACACAACGGGAUAGAAUUCCAAUUUUUUUUCCUCUUUUUCCCCACAAAGGGGCCCCUCCAACUGAAUAACGCCUCCUUCACCAACUCUGGGAACACCCACUGAACCCCCACAAGGGCAAAAAUAAUUUCCCAUAAGGCCCUUACCACUAUACAAUGUAAAAGAAUGUGAUUUACAUUCUCCUCUUCACAACCACACAAAAAACAUCGGUUAGGAAACUGCCAGCCCCAUUUUUGAAGCCUAUCCAGGGUGAGAAUCUUCCCCCACGCGGCUUCCCAAGCAAAAAAAGCCGCUUUGGUUGGGACCUUGUGGUGAUAUUUUUCAAUGUGACAACUCUAUAGAGACCUGAAAAUUGUGAACACAAAUGGUUAUCACCCCACCACAAAUCUUCUCAGAAUUGAAUUCUCUCCCCGUUACCCACCACAACGCAAGAAUAUGAGGAAAAUUCCUGGCAGACUUGUGCAAUAGCCUUCUAAGGACAUCCUGUGACCAUCUAACCAGAAUGUUGGAGUCUCAUCCAUUAGGAUGUGUCCUAUAAAUGCUUGAAAUAACUUGAUGUCAUAGGCCACAAUUUUCCUUAGGGAACCUGUAUAGCAACUUCCCUAAAUGAGCACGAUUUCUCAAGGAAGUCUUCUCAAUUCCCAGAACUCCAAACUCCUUUGGCCUACACACUAUGUACCAACUAAUAAUAAUCUUUUUUACCCUCCCCAAUCUUUGACCAAAGAAAAUCUCUUUACAUUUUCUUGAUCUUUAAUCCAUUUGAUUUUUCAAAGCAUGAAUUCCAAACCAAAUGAACAUAGGAGUAUUUACUUGGAUGAGUUUUCAUAUAUGUACAAUAUUCUUCUCUAAAUUGAUUCUUUUUUACUUCUGGAAAUGCAGAGAAAAACCAUUUUCUUUUUUCUUUGUUAUUUUCUAAUCAAAAUUCAAAUAUAAUGUAUUCUUUAUCAAUUGUAAAUUUUCUUAAUGUUAUAAAUGAUUUUUUUUUUUGUUUUGGAGCAUCAUGUUGAAUUUGAGACUAAGUUGGAGAUAAUCUUGGGCACUGAUUUUCCUAACAAAACGGUCUUGGAAUAUCAUGUUGAAAGUUUACUCCUCAUAGUUCUUGGUUUCUAGUUCUAGCCAAGGUAUAACUAAAAGAAGAUCUUGAGGAAGAAGUUCUUGAUUUAUAUUAUUGACUCCUAGAUAUUAGAGAAGUGCAUUCAAUGGUUACUAAUCCUUCUUUGUCUUCAAGUUGUUUUCAAUUUUAAGAGUGAUUAAAUUUUUGAAGUCCCAUUUUAAUGAGGUUGCCAACUGUUCUAAUGGUUACCACAUAGGAACCAUUGUUGAUUCAUGUUCAUCGUUUGCUUGGAAUAUCAAAGUUUCUCUUUAAGGGAAGAAACCAAACAUUUAGGAUAGAGAGAGGUUGUCAUAGCUUUCUAAUAUAUUGAUUUGUCAAAAAGUAGAUUCACUCUAACUCACCAAGAACUAUUCAAGAUAAGAUCUGUUGAUUUGCCAAAAAGCAAAUUCCCUUUAACUCGUUAAAGAGUUGUUCAAAAUAAGAUCUGUCGAAAGCACAUUCUCUUUAGCUUGAUGAAUUUCAACACAAGCUUAAAACAUUUUGAAGUUUGUUACUCUGAUUAUUAAAAGACCCUCUGCAAGGAAACCAUUGACAAAAAAAAUUAAAAAACCUCUUUGAAAUCAAACCUUAUUAUCUCUUCUCCCCUUAUAUAUAUAUAUAUAGAUUUCUUUCGUUGUAUACCUUUCAUAUUCCAUACUUCUCAACUGAUUUGUAAACUCUGUAAUCAAGAUCUUUGUAAGUCAAGUUUUUUUCAAAUAUUUUGUUUUUUUCAAGUAUUUGUUCCUAUUAUUAUUUUACUCUUUUUGUUUUUAUUAUGGUUUUACUAUUUUUACCUUGUUCAAUUUUACUCUAUUGUUUAAUUAUAAAGAUCCUGAGUAAAUGGUAUCAGAGCCAUAAGUUUUAUUUAGUUUAAAUUAAGUUGAAACUUUAAUUAAAUUAAACUAAGGAAUAGUGUUGAUUAGCCCAUCAAGCCAAGAUAUAAGGGGUGAUCGCAAAGAUAGUCUUACUAGACUUUGGAAUUAGUGAAACAAAGGUAUAACAAGCUUUAAAAUAAAUGAGUACUCUAUUGAGAAGGCUCGCACAUAAUAAGGGUACUAAUAGUUUCUCUAAAAUCGAUAAAAAUAUUAGCUCUCUAAAAACUUCUUCAAGACUAGAUAAUCCCAUGUAUCAACAAGGUAGCGCUUAUUUUAAGGGGCUACUUAUGGAUGCUAAAAGUAACAUUUGAAGGUCAAAUGCAACUUCUAGGAGUGUUUGGGUGGAAUUCUCAAAUGUAAGCCUCAUAUAUCAUAUUGGGAAAGUGGAGAGGCACAUGCUUUUCUUCAAAUUUAAAAAUGUAUAAAUUUCAAAGGAAACAUGUGUUGUAGGUUCAUCCUAUUCAAGCAUCUCAUAAUAAUUGUACGCAUCAAACCUUAUUUUAAUUCUUUCCAAAUUAAUACAAAUCAAUAUGUCCACAAUUUUGUGUGAUUGUGCAAGACAUGGAAUUUAUCUAUACAAGUAUAGUCCCAAUUAUGAAUAUCACAAGAUUGAGUCCUCUUAAGGCAAUCCACUAGUGAUUUUUUAGAUAUGAAAUAAUAAUAUGUAACCAUUUUGGUCCGUAUCUAUGCUUAGUGGACAAUACAGUAGACAUGCUUUUGCACCAACACAAAUGCACAACUCCCUAUAAUCUAAAUAUGCAAAAAUGGUAAUGCAUAAUUAUCUAUAUGUGUAGACUUUGAGUUCUAUGGAGGCAUAUUUGUUUAUUUAUGCAUUGUGCACAUGCAAAUCAAUGUUAUUUCAACUUAUCAUCUAUUUCAAAGUUAAUAGGAAUGAUAAAGUAACCAAAAUUCAUGCCACAUCAAUGCUUCAAGAAUUGUCACAAGGUAAAAUGAGAAAUACAUUAAGAGUGGAUCCUACAAUGGAAAUAUAAAACACACCCACCCUUCUCCACAUUUUCAAAACAAAUAAAAGGAAAAAUGCCUUUGGGUGUCAAAAUUGGAUUCAACAAGAGUUUCAUGUCAAUAUGUCUACAACCAUUUAUAAAAGUAUUUUGAAGCAAAAACUACGAAGAUCGUUACCAAAUUUGUCAUUCUAUUUAAGUUACUUCGCAUUCAGAUAUCAGCCAACAUGGGAAAACCAGCCUACCAAAUAAAUAAGGCAAAUAUAGAGAAUUAGAAUGUACCUUUCUAAAAGAUGGACCUUUUGUUGGGGUUUCUUUCCAUGGAUAACUUGAAAGCAUGAACUCAAAAGCUCUUCCAAGUUAGCUGAUUGCAGGAGUUUCAAGUCCCUCCUCACCUAAAACCAUAAACAAGUAUGGUAAACUACAAUGAACCCAUUAAAAAAUAUAUAGAUAGUCUAAUGCUCAAUUUGAUUACAGAAAAUUUAUAUAGGAAAAGAAAAGAAAUUGAACUUUUGAAAUUUGAUAAAAUCCACAGUUUGAAAACAAACAUAUUUCAGCUAUAUGUCUUAAUCAUGGACAAUUUCACAUUUUUAUGAAAAUUGUACACAAAUAAAAAUUACUAUGAGCUAUACAAAGCCUAGUCCUCAUUUUUACUUACUAAGAAAAUGCACGAAAAGAAAAGAAAUCAAACGAGUUUAUAUUUGCAUCCACUUAAUCUCUCCACAUAUCCACCUUAUUUACAAAUCCACCCUAAAACAUAAAACUUCUUAAUACAUACACCUAUGUAUUUUUAAUAUACCAAAAGUACUUUCACCAUUCCUCUCUUCCACACCACACUUCUUCUACCUUCUUCUGUUAUUGUUCUUCUCUUCAACAAAACCCUAGGGCAAAAUAUUAUUCUUCCAAGCUUGUUUGUCACCCAAAAAGUGUUUUAAGUUCAAAGUUAAUUCCAAUAUCUUCUAUGCAUUUUAGUUUGUAUCCACGCAUUAACAUUAUAUUUGUUUCACAUAAAUAUAUUUUAGGGCUUAUCAUUUAUGUAAUUAUCAAUAACUAUUUAUUGUAAAAAUAGUUAGGAAAUAUUUAGGAAUAAUUUAGAAGUGAUUUAAAGGUGAAAACAUUUUAAAAAAUGGAAAGGGAUAAAAAACAUGAUGGGCUAUCUGGACCUCAAAAGGUUGAAUGCUCUUAAGGAUGUCUAGAGGUAUAAUAUCAGACACCCUUGAGAGUGUUCGGAGGUAUAGAACCAGAAACUUCAAAAACCUUCCAACCCUAAAAUUACGAACACUUUUCUCGAUCCCUUUAUUUUUAAGCUCUAAAAAAAUGGAAAAAAAACAAAGAACAAAAAAAUCAUACAUAUACAAUUCUAGUAUAAUUAAAGAUGAUUAUUUGCUUAUUCAUUGUUCAAAAAAACUUCUUCCAAAUAUGUUGUUAGUGUUAUUAGAAGAAAUUGAGAAAGAAGAUGAGUGUGCAUUGAUUUGAAAUGAUAUUUUGGCCUUUCACUAAUGGAUAUUUUUGUCCUCAAAAAAAUCAUAAUCUAGGCAGAUACGUAAAGAGAUAGUUGGAUUCAAAUACAAAUUCUCAACCUUUGACUAUUGGUUUUUUUUCCUUUAUAUGAAAUCUAGGUGGUGCCUCUAUUUGCAGCAAUGUACCUUACUCAAGGUGAGUCUUACAUUCCCACAAAUCAAAAUAAUGUAAAAAGGUAAACAAAAGAAAUUAAAAUUUUCUUUUUUGUCACAGGUUUCUGACCAACCAAACAGAGAAUAAAGCCCAUCAAAAGAGGGGAGAAAAGGUACCUUUAGAAGGUAUUGAAAGUAGGAGCAUCUACGGUGUUGAUUCUUGUUCUUGUAUACAAUUCUUUCAAGAAUGGCACACUCAGAUUGGAGCUGACCAGUGAAAGAGUUCAAUCUUUCUUCAACAACUUCAAUUCCUGAAUCCAUGCAUGGGACUGCAAAAGAACAUUGAGAAUAACAAGAGGCAAAACAAAAACACAAGAACCAAAUUAGACUGGGGUUAGGGCAUCAAACAAGAGUUGAUCUUCUUGCUACAUUGAACUUUUAGGGUUUAGGACUUUAUGAAACCGAAACCUUAGAAAUGUUGACCAUACAUCCAAAAAUUUAUUUUAUAAUUUUGGUUGCAGAGAUGGUAAGCAAAUUAUUUGAGAAAAUUUAUUCAUAAUCUAAUUUCAAGGUCAGUCCCAUUCAUAACAACAAUGCUAUGCUCUUUACAUAGAAAUUUCUCAUAUUUUGCUUCCAAAAAAAGAAAAAGCCCAUCUGUGAAUUUUAAGUAAAGUGGCAUGUUCCUAUUCAAUCAUCUUUGAGAAAAAAUUUACAAUUCAAAUCAUGGUGAAAAUUUUAAAAAUUUUACAAUUCAAGAUUUUAAUUACUUUUUUCAUGUUUUCUAUCAUAUUUUAUCUGUAUCUAAACUAAAUCUAUUUUUAUACAAGAGAACAUUCCCAAAUAGAAAAGACGGUCAACCUCAGAAAAAUUUCAAUCUGGGCUGUAAUCGGCAAUAGCUCCACGGCUGUUAAAAAAGAAACACUAAAUUGAUAGCUUACAGCACUAGCAUAUCCAACUGAUAAAGCACACAAGUGAAAUCCGACCCUCCGUUUGGUUACCAAGAAAAGAAGGCAAAAUAAAUAAAUAAAUAACACACACACAUUUUGAUUACUAGGCUCUCUCUAUCUUAGCCGCCCAAAAUCCAAAAAAAAAAAAACCUCAGAUCAAUUAAGCCAAAGAGUCUUAUGAGUUUCAGAUAAAGUGCAAUGUUUAGCAUUCUCGAACCCUAGGUGGUGAAAAUUUUACGAUUGGAAAUUUUCUAUCAGUUCCCUGUUAUUUUCUCAGCAUCCAAACGAUUGUAUCAUACGUAAAUCUAUUGCUUGAAUUGGGGAAAACAGAUUGGAACGGUACCUUUAACACAGAGAUCGAUCGUCUAAGGAUGAUUGAAUUCUUUUGUGUAACGAGAAGUUGAAUGCUUUUGUGCAGUGACCGGUGUACUCUGAAGCUUGAACUCAGAGAUCGACUGAAACGCAGCGUUUGAAGGCUAAAUGAUUCGUUGCAUUUGUGUAAACAGAAACUUAGGUCAGUUCACUCGGACAAGAUGGGUUGAGCAUGGGGCCGGGACAAUUUUUGAACUAUUGGGCUGUAAGUGGGCCUGAUGUCUAAUUUAUGUCAUGACCAAGUUGAAUCUCGCCUUACUUCACUAGUCAGAUUUUCAAUCCAUGCUCAAUUUAAUAUAGUUUGGUUGAUUUUAAAAAAUAUAUAUAAGUUAAUUUUAGCAAUUUCCACAAUUCUUUCAUUUUGAUUCUAUGGUUAAAAUUAAUUUUCUAUUAAUUUAAUAAUUAUAAUUGAACAAACAGUAGCCUUGAAUAUUCGAUCGAGAGAAAAUCAAUAUCUCAAAAGUUUUCUAAUUUGAACAAAAUUGUUAAUUAUAAUGUAGACUUAUGAACAAAAUUGUUAAUUAUAAUGUAGACUUAUGGGGUGUUUGUUUUUUUUACUUUUUGCUGAAAGCAAUUAGUUUUCAGAAUUUAAGUUAUUUGUUUUUCUAUUUUUUUCAUAACUUAUUAUAAAAUUUUUACUAAACAGAAAAAGCCGAUAUAUGUAGUUUUUUCUAAAUAGAAAAAAUAACAUAUUGGUUUUUUUAUUUUUAAUACUUAAUAGAAAUAAAAUACUACAAAAAUAAAUAACAUAAUAUUUAACUAUUAAGCAUUAAGGUUGUAUUUAGAAUUAAGUAAAAAAAAAAAACAAACACCACCUUAUUAUCCUAACAAAUACAAAUUAUUCAUCUUUAUUUUUAUUUUUAUUUUUAUUUAAGUUAUAUGAUAUUGACCAUCAAAAUGUAAUAAUAUAAAAAAGGUGAUUAUCUUGAAAGCAUAAUUUCAAUCAUGUUGAUAAAAAUUACGUUAAAAUAAUUUCCUAAAUUGUUUCAUUUUAGGAUAAUAAAAUAAGUUUUAAUUGAUUUAAACAUUUGAUUUACUUAUAAAAAUGUAUUAUAAAAUAACUACUUUAUUUAUAUUUUUUUAUUUUUAGAAAUUAAUUUAAGAAUUAUUUACUUUUGAUGUUACUCUUAACCACUUCUUAAGAAUUAUUCUCAUGUGUGGUGUUGAAAUUUUUUAAUACAUAAAAUAAUGAAUAAAAUGUCUUGUUUGACUGUUGGAUAAUUUGAGUUGGGUCCUAACCAUUCUAUAGUGGGUAUCUUACCAUCUUCCAUUAAUUACUAUAUUGAAAAGUAUUUUCAAAACAAUCCUAAAAAUCAGAUUUUGAGAACAAAUUUUUUAAACCAUUUAUUAAUGUUUUAUAAAACAAAAGUCUAUUUGAUAAUUUUAAAUAUCAUUACUUUGUUUCCUAUGUUUUUAAAUAUGUUAAAGUAAUUUUACUACUUUAUUUUUAAUUAUUUUUAUAUUUGUAUAAUUAUUUUUAUAACAAUAUUUAAAAAAUAAGUUAAAACAAAUAAAUAAAUAUAUAUAUAUAUAUAUAUAUAUAUAUAUAUAUAUAUAUAUAUUAUGUUAGUCCAAGGGUUCUCCUAAUCGGGUUUUGAUGAUAACAAACCAUGGUUAAGUAACUAAUUGGUUUAAUGUUUAAGAAUCUUAGGUAUAAACUCGGAAAUUCAUAAAAGGACCAAAUGGAUACAAGAUCGAGACGCUUGGAAGACUUGAGAUCAUAGGAAAUGAAUGUAAAAUGAUAGCAUGAGUGCACUUAGGAUGUUUAUACCUUUUCAUGCAUCUUAGAAAACUCGAUUUAUUCUUUAAAACUUGAUUUUCUUUAAAACCCGAGUUUUAUCAAAUAUACCUUAGGCAAAUUAAUUCAAAAUUGGCAUAUUAACUCACCUAUAGACCUUGCCUAAGUGUUAGAAAAGAAAGGAAUCAAAAAAUAGGUUUUUCGGGGUCAAAAAGGCUCAAUCGGUCGAGGCUAAGGCCAACCGGUUGAGGAACCGGUCGACCGGCUGGGGUCGUUCGGUCGAGAACCGGUCGAGAAAGGUUAAAAACUUUCUCUCUCUCCCAGUAACCUUCUCUUCCCGGUCGAGGUGAUUCUUUUACCGGUCGAGGUCCGGUUGAGGCAACGGUAACCUGUCAUGCAUUAAAUGCUCCAACGGCUAGUGAACCGGUCGACCCCUAGCUCGACCGGACGAUGUUGCUUUUUGCUGUUUUUGACUCCCGAGCUUAAAAACCUAUAAAUUGAGAGCUCCACUUCAUUUGUUGAAAAGAGAACAAUUGCAUUCAAAGCCUACCUACCUGUUCUUGAUCAAAAAGCUCUCAUUUCUUUUUUUAGUGUAUUAAACCAUCACUUGCAUAUUCUUAGUGCACUCUUGUAAAUCAUCCUAGCUUCCUCUUGUACUUGAGCCAUCCUUAAGCUAGGUUGAGAGUUUCAUCUUUGUGUAAACUGAGUGUGAAAGCCUUCAAGUGGUUCAAAUCUUGAAAAGAUUGUGUAAGAGCCCAUUGGAGUCGGAAUCCAAGUGUAAGAAAAUUCAAAGCUUGAUUGAAACUUCAAGUUAGUGGAACCCUCACUCGGUUAGAAGAUUGAGGAGAGUAGACAUAGGCAAGAGAGUGCCGAACCACUAUAAACCCGAGAUUGAAUUCUCUAACUUUGUCUCUUUCCUUUAUUUAUUUUGUGCAUAUAUUAUUGUGUGGAAAAAGAUUUUGAAAAACCCAAUUCACCCCCCCUUUUAGGUAUUUUCUUUAAUUAUUCAUAGCCUUUGUUUUAUCAUAUUAUUUAUUGUAUUGAGAAAAAAAAUUAUUUUAUGUUUUUUUGUUGUUAAAUAUAUUUUUCUAAUUUUUUUUCUAAAUAAUAAAAAAAUGAUUUCUAAAACCGUUACUAAGUAAGAGGUUAAUUUAAUUGAGAUAAGCUAUUCAAGGAGGAAGAUUUUUCCUAAGUAUUGGAAUAAGGGUUUGACUAUUCUUUUUAGGCUAAAUUUUUUACAUAAUUUCACCUGGGGUUUAUCUACAAAUUCAAUGGACUAAUUAUUUCAAAUUAUGUUUUAAAAUUAUUAAUGAAUUUAGCACAAAUUCACAUUUGAUUUAAAAUUUAUUUUCUCUAGUGAAAAAAAUUGGAAGAACAAUUAUCUAUUUUACUUUGUUUUUAAAUAUUGUUUUUAAAGAACAGAAAAAUGGCAACAUGUCUAAAUAGGUUUUUAUUAUUUAAUAAAAGAAAUUCAAGGAUUUUUUUAAAAUAAAAAUAAAUAAUUAUUUUAAACUACAUGUAAUAUGAGAGUUUUUUUAAAAUAAAAAUUAUUUUAAACUAUAUGUAUGCAUAUAAUUAGUAAUUUAUUUAUUUUUUCAAUUUUUAUUCUCAUUCUUCGUUAACAUUGAAAUGAAAACAAAUUAUUAUUCUAGUUUUAUAUUUUUAUAUGUGUCCAAAUAUAAGAAUUAGAAUCACCAAAAUAAUUUAUAUAAGAGGAAAUGAGAGUAAAAACAAAACAUUUAUUCUCAUAUACCAAAUAUGACCUAAAAUAUUUGACAUAGGGUAAAAAUAUAAUAUUUUUGUAUAUUCUUUAAGCUAUGUUUGGUUUUCAUAGAAAAAAAAAACGGAUUUAGAAUCAAUAAAUUAUUUUUAUAUGUUUAUUUAAAUUUAUUUUACUUAUUUUAUUUCAUUAUAUAAAAAUUAAGUAAUUUUAAAGUAUAUAAAUUUUUAACUAAUUUUAAUUAUAUAUUUAUUUAUGUAUUUUUCACCCUGUGAAACCGAACAUUGGAAACCAUUUUCUUUUAACAUAUUUUUUUCUUUUCAUAAUGAUUUAUAGUACCAAACAUAGGAUAAAGGUAUGGGGACUUUUAGGCUAUGUUUCUUUUUCCGAUUUCAAGUUCAAUGAGAUUUAAAACUUGUCGUGUUAAGUUCCCUUUAACAAACUUUAGCACUUUUGUCCUCAUUGGCUCAGCGAUAUUUAAUUCCUUAUUAAUCCACUACAACGGGGUGAGUCAAUGUUAAGAAAUGUGUCUUUGCUAUUAGUCUACCAAAAGUAUCAACAAGUUGAUGUUUACUAGUUGAAAUAAAAUAUUAUAGGAAAUCGUGUGGGGGAACAUGAAGAAACAGUACGCGUGCAAUGUGGUUCAUUUAAUCCGCUAAUCCUAUCCGAAUCCAACCUAUCUUUGAGUGAGUUGGCACAAUUGUUUUUAAUAUUUAAUUUGAAUUUUGAUUAAAUUUUUUUAAUCUGAACUCAAUUUCAAUUAAAUUUUGAUCACCAAUAAUUUGAAACUAAUUCAAACUUGACUUAAUAUUUUUAUAAUAUUUACGAUAUGAUCUUGUAUAAUAAUAUUUUUUUAAAUAUCAAAUUAUAAUAUAGUUUUUAGAGAUACAUAAAUUUAUUUAUUUUAUUAUUAUUAUUAUUAUUAUAAAAUGUUAUCAUAAUUACUAUUCAAAAUUUAAUAAAAAAGUUUUAAAAAAUAUUAUUAAUGGAUUUUAAAUCAUUCAUAUCACCCAAUUAAUUAUAAUCCCAAUGAUUCAAAUUUCAUUUGAAUUUUAAAAAAUAAGGUUAAAUUAAACUUGAUUUGAGUAUUUUGAGUUAGUGGCUCUUCUCUUUCAUGGUCGUCCAAAUGUCAAUCAUCCACAAAAAUUUUUAAAAAUGAAAUUGAAUUAAACUUGAUUUGAGUAUUUUGAGUUAGUGGCUCUUCUCUUUCAUGAUCGUCCAAAUGUCAACCAUCCACGUACGGAGAUUCAAACAUGUACCAAUUUCAUAUUCUUUUAAAUAAAAAAAUAAAUAAAAAUGAAUAAUGAUGAGAUGGAAACAAGUGAGUAAUGUGGAGUGCAACUAAAGGGGUUGAAUGGGUAGGUUUUCAAUUAAUCAUCAAAUUAAAUACUAUUAUGACUUUUUGGGUGGUCCUUGUUUAUCGAUAACAAUCAAUCUUAUAGAUAUAAAUAAAAUUAAUCAAUAAUCACACAAAAAAAUAAAUUUUUUAUUAUAAAUGCUAAUUAUAAGAAAAUAGUAUAAUCCAUUAAUUAUAAAAAAAAAAAAAUUUAGUUGAUUGGAUGUAUUUAGUUGAUAGUGUCAAUAACUAUCAUCAUUUUUCACAUCUUACAAUAGCAAAACGGAAGUUACGGAAGUUUUAUGAUAAGAUAUUUAACUUUGUUGAAAUUAAAAGUUCAAAUUUUGAUCAAUUUGACUAAUCGAAUCUAAAUUUGGUGAAGUAAAAGGUUAUAUUGAGAUUUAUAAGAACUAAAGAAAAUAAGUUUCAUCUAGUUAAUAAGAAAGUAACAAAAUUUCAACUUGGCAUUUUUCUAAGUGCGUAAAGCUUAUGAAGUGGCGGCAGCGAAACUGAAACAGCGGGGGUGUGAAGUGGGUUAGGUGAGCGGUAAGCUCAACAGUAUUUUUUUUUUGUUUGUUUGUUUGUUUUCUUCCUCACCAUAAAUGAGAACGCUCUCCUUCACACGUCAACUCCAAUUUUGGAGUUGGUUGAAGCCAAAAAUCUAUUCUUCUCACGAUUUUGAAUUAAAUUCACAGUAUCGUAUCAAAAUCUGACAAAACAUCAUAAUACCAUUUUUCUAAAAAUAGAAACUUACCCACAUAAUAUGUAUAUUUCUCUGUGACCAAAUGUGUACAUUCCACACCACCCUCAAUACAUAAUUUACCCAAAAAAGAAACUACGCUACUUCCACGAUUCUACCCAAAAAAAAAAAAAAAACUCAUUGCGAUCACAGCCGUUGAAUCCAACCCAAUCUGAGCCGCCAAAACUGGUUCUAUCUACGGACAAGAAAGUUGUUGUCUUUUAACCAGAGUAUUCAAGAGCCAGUUCCACUUUACAGGUGUCGUCUUCUGAGCCGGCCAUCUCUUCCUUCUCUCUCACCACGGCACACGCCUUCUGCACCUUUGGAAUCGGCUCCAAGCCCAGUGUCAGCUCCAGCUCCACGUCGCUCCCAUCACGCGUCGGCUUCACUAGCGAAGCCUCCACAGUCUCCACCGACAUGCUGUCUGCUUCUCCGCUCUCGCGGCUCCCUGGAUGACUCACUCUCGAGUCACGACUCAGCUCGCUUUUAUAGCACCGGCUUAGGAUAACCCCAGCCGAUUCGUCGAACUCCGCAGCCGACUCCACUCUGGCCCUGGGCUUCCCACUCGAGCGCUUGAACCGCCCCCUGCUCUUAACCUUGUGAAGCUCGUGAGAAGAGCCAGCAGAGUUCUCAUCCUUUGACACGUGCCGAAUAUCUCCUGCUUUCAACGGCGGGCUCAUGCUGCUGACGGCCGACUCAGCCGAAAUCUGCAUGAUCGGAGCGCCGCUGAGCACUGCUUCCACCGCCGACUGACAAAGUUGCCAGCUUCCCGACCACAGAAGCCCGGCCGAGCCGUAUAUCGGAUUCACGAUCCUCCCACAAGCCUCGUACAGCAAUGAUCUGAAUAUAGCUGCAAAACCAAAAACAAGAAAAUUAACCAGGUUUCAGAAAGAAAACUUUUGAAAACGAAAACAAAAAAAAUCAAAAUCAAACGGAAGUAGAGGACUGACCAGGGCGGAGGUGUUCGGGGCCAGCAUUGAUAAGGUUGAUGAGGCCAGCGCGGCCGUAAAAUUUGGCGAGGAAGACGGUGGCAUUGGCUUGAAAAUCGGGGUUUUUGAUCCACUGAAGGCAAGGUCUGAGAGUGCAGCUAUCAUUACAGCCUUUGCGAAGGACUCGACAGCCAUUACAACUCAUCCGCAUGGCUGGGGUGUUUGGAAAGGAGGAAAAAAGGGCGAGAAAAUGGGGAAAAGGGGAGGAGAAAGAGUGAGGGGAUGGAAGAGGAGAUGUGGGGGGAUAUUUAAGUGAGGGAGGGCGUGGGUUUGAGGGCGCAAGUGGUUUGGGAAAGAGAAAAGGAUGUGAGAAAAUUGUAAAUUUGUGUUUGAUGGGAAACUGCUUGUAUUUAUUGCCAAAUUCUCUCAUUGCCCCUCUCUUGUCUGCCUCCGGUUUUCAACCUUUCCCUCUCUGCUUUCCCCUUUUUCUAUUCCUGCUUCCGCCACCCCAUCCUUCGUUUUUCCUUUUCUCUCUUACUGCGACCAUUCAAAGGAAAAAUACGGGAGAAAGACGGUCAGUUACGUAAAAAGAAUCUAAUCUAAAUCCCACACAAGCAACCACGUCCUUGGUUGAUUCUGAUGGACGGACGUUGAUCAAGGUUACUGCGGUCUUUUCAAUCCCCCAAACAACGAGGCCAAGAUUGUAAUUAAAGGGAAUCUCAGGGUCAACAGUAUCUUCGACGCCAUGCAUAUUGCUCCAAAACUACAUGCAGCAUGAACACGACACGUGUAAAGCCUUACAGAGCUCAGAGUGCUGACUAGUCGCCACAUAGUGGCUCACACCUUGAGAAUAGAGGCAUCCUCGCACGCGCCACAUUUACACGCGCCAAACACGGAGAUUCAUCCCAGUCGGGUGAGUCAUCUGCCCACGUGAAAAGUCACACUUAACUGGGGUAUGAUUGGAGGGCAGGAGUGGAGGGCGCGUUGGGUAGGAAUAAGAAUUGGGGAGCGUGGAAAACGCCGCCCUAAGUUUCCACUCCCGGUUUUGUGGAAUCCGUACACUGGUUUUAAAUCGUGACUGUGGGCGCCCUUUGGACUGGGCCUCUGGUUUUGGUGUCCAUGCUUAUCCUAUAAGCGUGGAGCCGACGUUUCCCUUUUCCAAUAAUUUAAUCCCCUUUUCUAAUAAUUAAACAAAACCACCACCCUUCACAUUAAUUUAUUCAAUUAAAAAACCAAUACCUUUGGAUUCAUUAAUUAUUACCUAAUAUUCAAAUUAAAUAUUAAUCAUUCGAUUAAAGACCAAUAAAUUUGGAAUAAUUUAAAUCACACGAAUAAAGUCUACCGUCCAUCAUUAUUUUAUUUAUUUAAAAUAAAAUAAUUAAAUAUAAAAAAUAAAAAAAUAAAAAAAAUUAAGAAUUAAGUUGUCAUCAUGAUAGAAAAUUUUGUUCUCCGUCACCAUACUAGAGAAUAAUAAGGCCACGAUUUUUUUUUGGAGAUGGAUUGUUUGACAAAAGCGGAGUGAGUCUGUGGCAAUAAUAAUUAUCCGGCGGAAUAUGAAGAAGUUUGACUCAAUUCUUAUUCAAUAUUUUUAAUUACAAAUUUUAUGUUGCAAUAAAACAAAUAUUUUAUUUUGGAAACGUUUAAAAUAUUCGAUCUCAAGUGCUUGACAACUCGUAAACUUUACUAACUAUAAAAUUAUAGAUGAUUAGGUCUAGAGAUAUUUGCAAUUUGGAAAUCUUAGGGACUGUUUGCCCACAUGAUUUAAAAAUAAUUUUUUAAAAUUUAUAACAUUAUUAUAUCAUUGCUUUUUAUAAAUAAUUUGUAGAGAAUGAGUAAAAAUUAUUUUCAUCAAUUUUUAAAAAAAUAUAGGUUUCGGCUUAUUAUUUUAAAAUAUUUUUAAUUUUAAGUUAUUAUUUUGUCAAUAAAACCAUGCUCAAUGUAUUUAGUGAUUUAAAUUAAUAAUUAAAUUAUUUAAAUAAUUUACCAAAUACAUUAUACUUGUUAUUCAAUGUUGGAUUGUUUGGUUUAUUUUGUUAAUAGUUUGCAACACCUAUAAAACGUGAGAUGGAAACCCAUGUGUAAACAAGAAUUUCAAAAAGCGUAAGUUCCAUAUUAGUUUAAAUGAGAAGUAUGUUUUUAUAUUUGCCUCAUCUAACAUCUUUUUCUCAUUUAAAAAAUAAAAAAUUUAAAAAUUAAAUCAAUUCAACCGGAAUAAGAAGUGUGAAUGAACAUCUUAUUCAUUUUAUCUUUUAUUCCAUACUUGGAUGGGUGAUGUAGGGACCCCUCCCUCCGAGAUACGUGACACGCAUCUUACAGUGACACAUGAUAUGCAUUGUCAUCCGGGUCACCCUCAUCCGGAUCUUCCUAUAAAGCACACAUGACGCGCUUUUUCCAUCUGGACUGCCUCAAGGAAGAGCAAACGACGCUUACAAAGCAUAGACAUCCGGACGGCUUCCAUAAAUGCGUCUGCUCCACAAUACAUCCGGAUAACCAACAUGGGCUAUCCGGAUAUGAUUGUCCGGAUCAUUGACUAAAGUAAAGCGAGUCUUACACGCUAUCACAACAACCAGACAUGACCCACGUCCCAUCACUUGCAGAGUGAAAGGACGAGUUGAGGUGACAACAAGUCACUUCCCACGAUCUCUGACAGCCGCAUCACCUACCACGGUUUCUAACAACCGUCCGUAGGAUGGUGAUGACCCUGCUGCCAUCUAAUGUCAUCAUGACAACAUAAAAUAUCUCCCCACCAUUAAUGAGAGGAAUAGUACUCCUGACACUAUAUAUAAACCUUCACACGAAGAGGAAGGUAAUCUCCUGAUACCUAGUAAAAGGUCAACUGAUUUAUAUCUCCCUCUCUAACCAUGGCUAACAAAACCAUCGGAGGGUGCGUCCGGACACCCUGUCCGAAUGCCUUUUGCAGGUAUAACGACUGAAUCAAGAACCUAUUUUGGUUGAGGUCGCGCAUCCAUCCAUUUGGCAACUACGUGGAACACCAGGAGCGCGAGGUAUCAACAGGUGAUAGAAAUAAAAUUAAAAGUGAUUCUAAUGGAAAUGAAAUUUUAUGAAGAAGGUAUUUUGAUUCUGUAAGAUAUUUUUAAAUAUUAAAAAAUUAAAGACUCUUUUGAAUAAGUUAUUUUUUUAAACAAUUUUUUUUUUUUUGUAAUACUAAAUUCAAUUUUAUAUAAUAUAAUUUUAAUUUAAUUAACAUCUUAUUAAAAAUAUAAAAAAAUUUAAUCAAUAGAUUCAAAAUAUUCAAAAUAAAUAAUUUUUAAUAAAAUAUUAAUAUUAAUACUAUAAUAAAGUCAUAAAUUAUAUUUUUUUCUAUAAAUAUUAUAAAAGUAAAGGCAUUAACAUUAAUUGAUCUAUUUUGUUAAAAAUAAAUAAUAAUAGUUUUUAAUGCCAUUUUGUAGACCCCUUUUUUUUUAAACCAAAGUUUUUUUUUUCUUUCUUCUCUUUUUUAUUUUUUUUACCACCCGAGGGGAGCUGGUAGCACCUUGGACGAGUGGGGGACCGACUUCCAUGAAGCUUCAUGCAUGAGACGCAUAGCCUUGGACGUGACCACCUCGCCAUUGUGGUGGUUGAAGUUUCAGAGGAUGACGGUUGGAGCAACAAAGCAGGUAGCGACUUGCGAGGGAAGAAAUAAACAGGGGAGGAGUGAAAAGCUUAAAAGGGAGCAAGAGAGGUUGAAGAAUGGUUCAGAGGAAAAUUCAAGAGAGCUUGAGAGGGAACCAGUGAAGAGCCUUAGAGAGAAACUGAAGAAGAAGUAGGGGAGGAGCUCGUCAGUUCGGUCUAGGUAUGGUUUCAGCAUUCUUUUGUAUUUUCUCAUCUCAGACGGUUCUAUCCUGUUUCCUGAUGAUUUUUAGGUUCAUUUGCUGAUUGGUGUGAAUAUUAAGGGCCACUUGUUUGCUUUGCUAUACCUGCUUUUUAUGUGCGUGCUCUGUUAGGGCCUCAUGUUUUGAUAUCUUUAUUUAUCUCUGGAAAAUACUUAAUGUAUUAAUCUUUCCCUGAAUUUGAUAAAUAGAAAUCCUGCUCUUGCUUCAUGAGAUUUUUCCACCUAUAUCCAGCUCAUUGAUCAUCAUGAAAUGGAACUAAAUGUAGCAUAAUUUCUUUCUCUUGUACAUUUUUUGUUUUUCUUCAUUUUACCUUCUGUUUUUAGCAUUUUUUGGAGUGUUGGUAUCAUGUUCAGUUUGGCCGUCUGGAUUUGGGGUGUUUUUGAGAGAGAUUAGCAUUAGAGUCUUUGGGAGACAUUGCCCCUAUUGUAUAUUUGGUAAGCUGAAGGUUAUCUAUCUAAGGAAGGCUUGAAGGAGUGGCCUGAGUUGUCAUCACCAGCUGCAUCUCAACAACCAGUUGGUUCACUGAAUAUGUCCAGGGCUGAUUUCAGAAUGGCUUCCCAACAACAUGGAUCAUUUUCCAGAGUUGGACUAUACCCUGCAUGCGUGAAACGCUAUUUUCGCAUGGCCACCUUAGAUCCUAUGUUUUCCAUUUCCCACUGAACACACCUCCUGCCCACCGAACCCGUUUCCCCUACACCACAUAUCCUCCAUGCCCACCUUUAAACCCACUUCUCUCUCUAAAUCUUCACAUACCCAUUUUCUCCAUUUAUCUCACCCCUUGCAGUAGCUCCCUUCACCAUCAAACCAUCACCAAACCACCACCUGCACCACCACCAACUCCUCCACCAAGCCACCCACGGAUAGAGAAAAGAAAAGGAGAGAUUUUAGAAAGAGAGAAAUGGCACCAGUGUUGCAGAGCUCUCAGCCAUGGGUGGAAUAAUAUCGUCCAAAGCAAGUGAAGGGUGUAGCUCACUAGGACGAGGUGGUUCGAGUGUUUACCAGCGCUCUUGAGACCACAAACUGCCCGCACAUGCUAUUCUAUGGGUCGCCCGAUACCAACAAAACCACCACUGCACUUGCCAUUGCUCAUCAACUUUUUUGGUUUAUUCUUAUUAGAGGUUUUGAGGGAGUGAGGGAGGGAGGGGGGGGGGGAGAGAGAGAGAGAGAGAGAGAGAGAGGAAAGUUUGAAGAUGAUUGGACACUAAUGCAAUGAAGGAAAUAUCUACUAGAGAAAAUAUCACUAAAUUCAAGAUUUCAUAUUUUUGAACCACUGUGAGUUGGUGGAAGAUAUUUUUAAGAAUCUUACACUAGAACUUCCUGGUUAAACUUGAUGGACCAAAAAUGAUAUCUAUAAAAGGAGAAUCUUAAUAAGAGAAACUAAUUCUUGCAAUUCAUGUUGUUGGUGAGUUUGCAAUUAUGCUCAAAGUUGAAAUUCCAAGGGAAGUUAGUGGAAGAGAAAAAAACAAAGGUUAUUCAAUUUUUAAGGGGCACACCCAUGGUUAUUGAUAGUGACAUCAUGAGAGAGGUUAAUUAAUUUGUUAGAAAGUACCAAUGACCAUGUAUAUGCCAAAUAAACAUUUAUUAAGACUGACUUUUUUUUUUAAAUUUCUUUUUGCUUUGUUUUGAUGUCUAACUGUACUUGUGUGUUUCUAGUUUGUCAUAUAUCCAUUUAAAUGUUUUUUCAAAAUUUCGAUUUUUAAAUUUAAUUUUCAAUUUUUCAAAAUUCCAUUUUUCAUGUUUAUUUAUUUAAUCAUUAUUAUUUUCAUUGUUAUUAUUAUUUCAUUUAUUUUUAAAAUUCCAUCUUUAAAUAAUCCUUCAAAAUUCCAAUUUCCAAAAUUUCAGUUUUCACAUUUAUUUAUUUAAUCAUUAUUAUUUUCGUUAUUAUUAUUAUUCUAUUUAUUUAUUUAUUUAUUUUUAAAAUUUUAUCUUUAAAUAACUUUUUAAAAUUUCAAUUCCCAAAUUUAAUUCCCAAUUUUCAAAAUUUUAAUUUUUACAUUUAUUUAUUUAAUCAUUGUUAUUUUUGUUAUUAUUAUUAUUCUAUUUAAUUAUUUAUUUAUUUUUAAAAUUUUUCAUCUUUAAAUAAUUUUUCAAAAUUCCGAUUUUCAAAUUUGAUUCCCAAUUUCCAAAAUUCAAAAUUUUCACAUUUAUUUAUUUAAUCAUUAUUAUUUUUGUUAUUAUUAUUAUUCUAUUUAUUUAUUUAUUUUUAAGAUUCCAUCUUUAAAUAAUUUUUAGAAAAUUCCAAUUUCCUAAUUUAAUUUCCAAUUUUCAAAAUUCCAAUUUUCACAUUUCUUUUUUAUUAUUAUUAUUACUUUAUUACUUUAUUUAUUUUUAAAUACCAUCUUCAAAUAAUUUCCUAAACUCCAAUUCUCAAAUAAUUUUCAAAAUCCCAAUUUCUUUCAAAUUUAAUUUCCAAAAUUCUAAUUCUUAAACUUAAUCUUCGAAACUCCAAUUUUCAAAUAAUUUUCAAAAUUCCAAUUCCUUUUAAAUUUAAUUCCCAAAAUUCCAAUUCUUAAAUAUAAUUUUCAAAACGCCAAUUUUCAAAUUUUUUUUUAGUUUUCAAUUUUCGAAUAAAUUUCAAAACUUUAGUUUUCUUUCAAAUAAUUUUGAUUUCAUUCCAUUUUUCAAAUAUUUCUUUAAUCCUACCACACUUCAUCUUUCCUUAAGGUUCAGGGUCACUAAAAAUCCCAUUUUUAAUAAAUUUGUUGCCUUUUUCUUUGAGGCAAGUACCUUCAUAAAUUUUUCUUUGAUUUUAAAAUAAUUUUUAUGUUCCUCUUGAUUUUUAAAUAAACAAUAAUGAAUUUUUUUUUUCAUAAUUUCAAAAUAAUGGAAUUUGUGAAACUAAUUCAUUCAAGAUAAAUUGGGCUUUGGUGGAGGUCCUAUGCAUGAGUUUUCUCUCUUGAUUGUCAGCUGUUAUACUUAAUAAAUAUUGUUUGAUCUUUGUCUUACUUUUUGAUAUGAAUGUGAUAAUUUUAUACUCAAAUUAACCUUGUUUCUAUGAUAACGCACUAUUAAUUGUUGUUAAGGUACGAUCUCACAGACUGUCUUUUUCAAAUAAGGAGUCACACUUAGAGUUUUUUUCUUAUUUUGUUUACCCUUUAAAAAUAAAACAAAAAUAAGUGGCGAUUUCAAGCCAUUUUUUGAACAAUAAAUCAUUUUUCAAAUAAAAAGUGAGUUCGCCAACGAGUGGAAGUGCAUGAGCCGAAAUGCGGGGUUCACACAUUUAUAAAAUUAUAUAAAUAUUAUAAAAAUAUGAAUAUUAAUAUCUUAUAAAAGCAUAAUUAAUUGUUAAAAAUAAAGAAUAAUCAUUCAAAAUUAAUAAUUGUUAAUAUUAUUUUAUUUUAAAUGUAUAUAAAAACAAAGACAAUUUAAUUUUUUAAGGUAUCGAUGAACCAAAAUUUUCAUUAUAUGCAUACAUUUAUUAUUUAAUUAUGAAUAUUGUAUUUUAAAUUAUUUUAUUUAAUCUAUAAUUAAUUAAUCAAUUUUUAUUUAUUUAUUUCAAAUUAUACUUAAAAAUUAUAUGAUUUAUUAAAGAAUUCAAAACAUUAAUUAUGUCCAUUAUUUUUUGUUGUCAUUAUAUAUAUAUUUGAGUUUCAAAAUAUUUUUUAAAAUUAUUAAGUUUAUUAAUAAAUUCAAUAUAAAAUAUCACGUGAUUUAAAAUUCAUUUUUUUAAAGAAAAAAAAUAUCUAUUUUAUUUUGUUUUUAAAAAUUAUUUUAAAGAAUAACAACCAUGAUAUCAAUUUUUAAAAACAAUUUUGUUUGUAAAUUAUGUGCCCAAAUAGGAUUUUAUUAUUUAGCAAAAAAAAAAUCUCAAGUAUUUUUUUUAACUGAAAAUAAAAAAUUAUUUUAAAUCAUAUAUACAAAUAUUAUUGACAAAUUAUUUUUAUUAUUUUUAUUUUUAUUCCUAUUUUUACUUAACAUUUGAAUGAAAACAAAUUAUCAUUACUACCUCACAUUUCUAUAUGCAUCCAAAUACAAGAGUUGAAACCACUAAAUUCAUUCAUAUUUAAGAGAAAAUAUUAAUAGAAACAAAAUAUUUAUUUUCAUUUCUCAUUCUCACGUACGAAAACACUCCAUUAGAUUAACCAUUGAUUGAAUGCAAAAAAUAAUUUUUAAAUGUUCAAUUCAGAUAAUUGUAUGAUUUGUUUUAAUCAAACACAAAACAUUUGUUUUUUUUUCAAGAUUUAAACAAAUUAUAUAUAUAAAAAAAUAAUAAUGAAUUUUAAAACUCAAUUUUACUUUUUUUUUUAAGUAAAAUUUUCACUACUUAAAUAAAAGGUAAUUUUAUUUAUAAAAAAGAAGUAAAUAAUAAUGGUAAAAUUAUUCUUCUUCUUAAAAGUACUAAAUGGGAUUUUAGAGAAGCUUUAAACAAAAAUAUAAAUAAUUGAAACAUACAAACCUGUGCAUUUGGUAAUGAUUUUAGAAAGUGUUUUUAAUUUUUUUAAUACAUGAAAAAUAAAAUAUUUCAAGUGUAAGAAAGUUUAAAAGCAUUUUAUAAAAUUACUACCAAAUAUACUCCAAGUCAUUAAUAAAAAAGAUUUUAGAAAUUAGAGUAACAUUUACAUGUCAUUUAUUUUGAUGGCAUGUAAAAUGACACGUCAAAUAUAUUUUUUUAAUUUAUAAAAAUAUGAAAAUGAGGGCAUUUUAGGUAUUAUAUUUAAUGAAAUAAAAUGUAUUGUAAUAUUUUUUGGAUUCAAAAAGUGAAAACAGGACAUAUUUUCAUAUUAGGAAAAUGGGAAUUAAUGUCUACAUUUUUUUUUUAAAAAUGAAGACGUGAGAAAAAAAAUCAGUAUACAUAAAUUUUAAUUAUUUAUGAUACAUGUACAUAUAAUAAAGUAUAAUUAUCUAAUUUAAUUUAAAUAAUUAAAUAUUUGGGUAGUGUCAAUUGCUUAGGGCUUAUUUGAUAAUUAUUUUAGCACAUUUGACAAUCACAAUUGAUAACAAAAAAUAUGAUGUUUUCAGAAAACAUAUUUUAAUUUUUUUUAUUUAUUUUAUGUUUUAUGUUUUUACUUGUUUUCUUAUAGAUGUUUUAAAAAUAAUUAUGCAAAUAUAUAGAAGGAUUAAAAAAUAAUUAUGCAAACUUAUAGAAGGAUUAAAAAUAAAACACUAGAUAUAAAUAUUAUUUUAAAAAUAGGUUAAAAAUAUUUAAUAUUUUUAAACAAAAUCUUGUUUUAUAAAGUAUUAGAGAACAAUACUAAAAAAUCAUUCUCAAAAACUAUUUUUGAGAGCUAUUUUCAAAAAUGGUUGUCGAAUUCCAAACCCUAUGCUAAUCUAAAUCCUAAAAAGGUUACACAAGGUUUUGAAAAAUAGUUGUGGAGAACUAUUUUUGGAUUUUUUGUAAAUAAAUAGCUAUUUGGGAAUUUGAGAAAUAUUCUUAAUCCAUUUUUCUAUAUUUUUAAAUAUUUUUUAAAAAUAAAUUUUAUCUGUAAUAUUUUAUUUUGGAUUAUUCUCAAUAUUUGUAUAAUUAUAUUUUAAAAUAUUUGUAAGAAAAUAUUUGAAAAUAAUAAAAUAGAUUAUUAGAAAAUAAAUUUUAUGAAUAAGGAACGAUUUUUUUUUUAAUUUAUUUUUUUAAUUAUCAGGUAUGUCUACCAAACUGUUUUAAAAAACAACGGUAAAACAGGGCCUAGUGUUUUUGUAAUCACAUUAUGUUCUCAUUUCUGUAAUUCUCAACCCUUAUACUACCGCAUUAUUUGAGCAGGCCUGGCCCAACCUGUUAAUCGUGUGAGGGCCUGGGCCCAUAAUUAAUUCCUCUAGCCCAAACCAGGCCCUUAUAUAUCGAAUUAGGAGAGGAGUGUGUCGCGAGAGCAGAGGGAGGAGAGGAGAAAUGGGGAGAAAGAAGGGAACCGUGGAGUUCGAUGAAUCGCCGCCGGACGGGUACGAUCCGGAGAAUCCGUACAAGGAUCCGGUGGUGUAUUUCGAUAUGAGAGAGUAUCAGGUGAGGGAGAAGUGGAUUGACAUAGAGAAAGCCAAGAUCUUGAGAGAGAAGCUUAAGUGGUGUUACCGCAUCGAAGGUGUCAACCACCUCCAGAAGUGCCGCCACCUUGUUCAGCAGUACCUCGACGCCACCCGUGGUAUAGGUUGGGGCAAGGACGGACGUCACCCGUCCCUCCACGGUUCGCCCCUUAAUUCUCUGUUUGGUUUCCAUGGACAUGAAAAUUUUUGUUUGUUUCUAUUUCCAUUCGUUCCGCCAGCUGUUUGAUUUUGUCUUUUGAUUUUAUGGAGCAGGUCCUAAGGUUGAAGCCGAGUCGGAAUGAGCCACCCUGCGUGGAUUGUUCAAGGUAUUGGAAAUUUCUUGGUAUCAUAAUCUGUCGUUAGUUCGUAAUCGUUGAUUGCUACUUCUUUUGCUUUUUUGUUGAAAAUGCAUAUGAACUACUUUUUUCUUUUUCUCUGUCAAACGAAUACUAAAGAUUCGGUUAGUUUCGAUUAUUAUUUUCUCAGCUCUACAUGCUUAGUUACAAUUAUUUGUAUAAUUAUGAUCGUUGUGGCAUUACAUGGUCCUAAAAUUGUAGGGGUAGUAUACAGAUAAGUGGAUUAGUGACUCCAAAUGUUAUGAUUAGUUUAGAUGAUUGGAUCCUGAUCAUAGUCUUAGCUUGUUAAGGUGGCUUGCACCUGUCACCAACAACUUGAAGACAUGUAUAUUUGUUUAAUAUCAUUUAUGGUAGUUUAAACUACUACAGAAUGAGCAAGCAGUGGUAGAGUAGUUUGGAAUGGAGCACAUUAUAAUGGUUGGAAUAAGAUAUCAUGUUGUGCAAUGCUGUGGAACGUUGUAGAGUUGUUGAAAAAGUUGGGAAUAACAGGAGUAUAUUUAGUUAUACAGAAUUAUUUAGAUUUCCAAUUUUAUUGGGAUAUGAGACCAAAUAAAGUUUAUUUGAAAGGAUUGUCUUUGAUGUUGUAUUCUUGAGUACCGUCCCAUGUGGUGCUUUGGUAUCUCAUAUGUUAAUUCAUUUAUUAGUGUAAGCAACCCCGUGUAUUCAAGUGUGUGCUUUGGCUAGGGUUUGCAGUUAGCUUGAAUUCUUGUGUGCCUUACAGGGUUGAGCAAUAAAAUUGGGUGUUUUGAGUGGUUGACAUUCUUAAAAGUGUUAUACAAGUCUAUUAGGAUAGACCACUUAGCAUCCUUGAUUGAAAGGCUGUUUUUUCAUCCUCACCCUCGUUCAACUUUUUAGUCUUUUCCUCUCUUUUUCUUGCCCUUUUUAUUGAAAGGUAAUAAUAAUAUUAGUGAGAAAAAGAGAAAGAAGCAAGGUCUUGUACCAGCAAGGUAUACAUAUACACAGUCACACCUGUAGCUCAAGGAAAGACCAUUUACAAAGUGCAAAACAUUAGGAUUUCAAAUCUUCCAAGAUUACUGUCCAUAAAACCAAAAUAUCACAAUAGUUCAUUCAGUCUACGACCAGAGAGGAAAGGUUCUUGUUCUAAGCUAUUAUGAUUUGGAUUACAAUGUAUAUCAUUCAAACUUUGUGAUUGUAGAUAAAUAGAGAGAUAAAUAUUGGGGGGAGGAUUCAAACUCAAGAUCUCUAGUUAACCCAAACUUUUAUGCCAUGUUGAGUUACCAACUUUCUUAAAAGCCCAAGCUUUUAGGAUUUGGACCCAUAAUGUAUAUCAUGCUCUAACACUUCACUUAAAAGCUCUUUUAGUUCACUCAUCCUAAAUGCAAGACAAAGCAGAAAAGAGGCUGCUGCUUUCCAAUAUUGGAGUUCCUUUUUCAUAACCAUGGACUAAGUCAAUCAAUCACUUUCCAGUUCCUCUCGGAAUUCUAUUAUUGGGUUUAUUACCUAAAGCCUAGUGCAAAUGUGAAUUGCUAAAUUUCAAUGAGAGGAUGGUGAAGAAUAGCAUGAUUUUCUGAAUUUUCCUUACCACUAGCAUAUUCAAAAUCCAGGACAAAUUUUCCAUGUCUACUCAUCAAAUGAUCUAUAGCUAAGAUAUUAUCGCUAUCAGUUGUCACGCAAAAAAGGCAACUUUCAUGGGUGCAAAGUAUUCCCAUGCAGCCUUCAUCAGAAAGUCCUCAUUAUCUGAUGCUUGCCUCAUUUGGAGAAUUUGACCAAUAAAAACCAUUUCUAUUAUCCCCAAACCAACUUGGCCUCCUAUUCACAUCCACUUGAGAACCAGAAACUUGACUGUUACCCCUUUCAUCCUGGUUGAGAAUGGGGAGGUGUGGUUUUAUGUUUGAGGGUGUUGAUUUGGUAGGGCUUUUAAAAUUUUCAUGAUUAGAAACCUUGGGCAACUCAGGCCUCUUAAAAUAGCAUUCUUUGUAUGGAGAAAAAUUUGACUAUUGACCAGGCUAUGCACUAAGCACUGGCAUUUCUAAGUUGCUUGGAUUGCAUCCAUUGGAAACUUCUUGAAAACCAGAAACCAAUUUGUUUAGUGCCGGCAAGCUAUUAAAUUGGUUUUUGAAAAACCAGUUUUCUCAUUGUCCCAAAUAAAAUAAAAUAAUAAUAAAUCACAUUUACCCAGAUCAUUUUGCCAUGAAAUAUGUAACUACAAAGAAAGAUGAGGGAUCCUUCUCUAAUCACACAAUCCUCUAUAUAAAUAUGAUCAAAAGUAAGAAUAAUUGUCUGUUCUAGAAAGCAAAUAUAAUGAUACAAUUGAAAGCAAUUACAAUUGCAAAAUUAAUAAUCCCUGAAAUCAAAUGGUUGGCUCCUCUUUUUACGAACUUAUCCACCAUGGGAUUACUUGAGUGAGGAAUCCAAGUACUGAAGUUUCUAAUUCUAAAGCAAUAUAAAAAAUUUGGUAAAACUAUUCAUCAAACUUCCAUGAGCCGCCUCCUUUCUUAUUCAGCUAGAAUAGGAUGACAACUGAAUCUCUCUUUAUUAGAAGAUUGGAUAAAUCCUGAGAUUUGGUUAGCUUUAAGCCUUUCCACAAAGUACUUUGCCUCCAUGGCAAUUCCAACUCUAGCAUGUUUAGAGAAUGCUCUCACUACUGUUCCAUGAUGAUUCAUAAACCUUAAUCCAAUUUGUAGUGGUCUUGGGUAACCUAAGAAGCACUCAUCAAAAUUCAACCUGACACAAUGCAAUGUAGGAGUCCAUAUAUAGAGUUUCUCCUCAACCAAUAGGUUCCUAUCUAACAAUAUAGUGCUCAAUGGGAUGCCAAUGAAUGUUGCAUUAGUUGAGGCCUAGAGAGGAGGAAAAAUAGAUUAAAUCCCACAUUGUCUCCAAAGUCCUCCAUUUGUCCUAAAAGAUCCUUACAUUUCUCUCCUGCUAUGUAGUCCAAAUUAAUGUGAGACUAGCAGCAUCACACCACAAUGACUUCUCUAAAGGGUGAUUUCCAAAACUGCUUGUGCUUUCCUCAUUAGGGAAAUUGGGUUUAAAAAGAAAAAAAAAAAAGAACCCUUUUAAUGAUUCAGGAGGCUUUUGCAUGAUUAUCACUUCUUUUUUCUUCACUUAUCAACAAUUCUGUUAUUUUUAAUCAAUUAGCAAAGAGAUCUAUUAUAAAAAAGCAGAAGUUGAUUUCUGAAUAUGCAAGGAAUUUGUUAAAUUUGUUGAUAUCAAUCUUUAUCCAUAUUUGGACUGAUGUAAGGGCUAAUUGGUCCCACACUAUGGUUUACUAGUGCAUGAGACAUGAAAAAAUUAGGCCUGAUGAAAGAACAUAAAUAAGUUGUGCUUUCUUUCUGCAGGUGACUGAAAUGGCCAUCUGGUAAUUGCUUAAAGCAGAGGGAUAUUGGAACCUGCCUAUUUAUCAGUUUAGUUUCUUUGCUGUUAAUUGUCUUAUGCUUCAAUGGUUUUCCCUUCAUUCUUGUUAUAUCCAGAUGCCGGAUGUUAUUGGCAUUGGUUUGGAUGUUAGAUCUUUUUGCUUGUUAGCAUCCAGAAACUGAUAAUGAUUUGAACCAAGGCAAUGAAUCCAAAGAUAUCCUCUAUGAAAUAAGUUACAACUUGUGAUUUGUUCCUUGUUGAUAAUGAAUGGCAUCUUUUAUGCAAUGUUUGUUUUCUAAUAAAUGCAUUGCUGGACAUGAUUGUGUCAGAAUUGUCAAAGCAUUUUUUUUGUUUUAAUUUAAGAAUUUAUUUAUUUAUUCUGAAACUUGGUCAAUUGAAAAUUUGACUUUGUUCAGGAGUAGGCAGUUUGGGAGGUUUAGGGUCUACAGAACUAUGGUAGAUGUCUUUUGUGUUCACCCAUUCACUGCCAGAUGUUUUCCUGGACUAUUUGUUAGACGAUGGUAAAAGGAAAAAGAAAUGUGAUUUUAUGCAGUUUUGUUCAUUUCAAAUGCCAAAUACAAAGUAUUAUAGCUUGAUACUCCUCUUUUGCAACUUCUGCUUCGGAACUUGGGAAGCACAAAAUAGGUCAACUUAUCUGGAGUCUUGCCCUCCACCCCAAACAGACUAAAUUCAUCCAAUUAAGUGAAGCAAAACAAUAUCAAAUUUAGUGCUUGUAACGUUCUGAUUUUUGAAGGCAGUAAUGAAACAAGUCUUAGAGACAAUAAGAAGUAAUGGCCUUUUCUUGCCCAUCUCUUAGGUGCUUUUAAUAUAUUUACUUCUUUGCCUAGGAAAAAAAAAAAAAAAGAAGACAAGAAGUAACAUUUAUGAUUUACCUUUUCAAAAAGCACUGUGAAGAGUCCUUUUUUUCUUAGUCUUAGGCUCCAAAGUAGGAUUAGUGAUGCUAUUGAGACAUGCUGAUUGGACACCAUCUUAAUGAUUACAAUAUAGUUGGGACUGUGAAAGCAUGGAUGAUAGGGUUUUUGAUUUCAUGAUGUGGUUUUCUAAUGAGACUAUAAGAAAUCAAGGAUGGUAGCUGCUUUCCUACCUUGAGAUAUUGUGUGCGCAUAGCCACAGCUGGAACCUCUCAAACUCAUCACUCUUCACUACUCUUCUUUCCUGGAAAGCAGACAAACUUGAGGAAAUUAAGGUUAAAUGUGUGAAGGAGCAGAUUAGUGACAACUAAAAUGAAACAACCAUAAAAACUAAUUAACAGUUAUAAUGAAAAUCCUAUCACAGAAAUGGAUAAUGACUAUAGACCAGGUCUAGAAGGAAACAUAUAUUUCUUGGGAAAACUGAGAUCUGCCCUGGGAGCUCCCUUCAGUCCAAUGAGUGGGCAAAGCGUGCGGAGGAGUUGCUCCCAUGUCAUGCAUCAGGCUAAACUUAGCAUUUGUCACUCCACAGCCAUACUCGAACCGAAUUGAUUGAGAAAAGAAUAAGCAUAGCCAAGUGCAUGAGAUGGCAGCUCUGGCCGCCCCUCAGCCCUCUUUAUUGGACUAAAAGGAGCUCUUCAGCUGUUCCCCCAAAUCAUGUAUUAUCCUGCACAUGCCUCUCCCUCACACGCACAUAUGGUAGUAGUAGAAGAGAAUGAGAAGGAGCAGAAAGGUAUCACAUGCUCCCUCCCUUGUGCUUCCUUUAAACGCAGCUUGUCACUCCCACAAAAAAUGUUUUAAGAUAUGCUGUGAAAGUACCUUUUCCUGGGAAAGAGAUUCAUGGAAAUCCUCUCAUUUCAUUUUCAGAUUUUUCACCACAUUCCUGGAUUUAUAUAACCCUUGGCUCCGAGCAUCAGCCUUACCAGUCUUGUGCCAAUUGCACUGUGCCAUAUAACACAGCACGUGUAUGUCAUGCAUACCAUGUUUGCUUCUUCUCUGUGCUGUAGUUGUGGAUAGUGGAUGCAUCAUCAUGUCUACCCAUUGGUUUGAUGUUCUGGUCUAGCUUUUCUUGAACUGUUGUCAACUUUGGUGAAAGAAUCAUCGAACCAUUUUAUAAGUGAGAGAAUCAUUGGUUAUAUUGGGGUUUUUUUUUGGCACAUUUUUGGGUGAGUAGAUUAAUAAUCCCCAGGCUACUAGGUUCUCUGCCAGCAUUCUGACAUUUGAAAAUAAUUCAAAACUUUAAAUAUGAAUCUUUACCUUCUUUCUACAUUCUGAUUAUGCUACACUCCAAACUUAUCUUAGAUGGCAGUGCAUACAAGUUUCCACAUUUGACUUCUGGCACAUAAAAGAAAAUCAUAGAAGAGUGGAGCAUAGGUAUAGGAUGGUCAAAGGGCAAUUGAAUACAGCCAUCCUCUGAACUAUGUAAGUUGCGGAGAAAGGACAAGGCUUUUAGCAUAAAAUUGUAAAAGUAUUGGGGCAAUGAAAUCUCGAAAAGAGAUUCAAUAGUACUGCAUUAUUCGCAUGAGGUCACUUCUGAGUUCUGGCUUUCUCAAGUCUCAACAGCAAACACCCACAGCAACCCUUUUUCUUCUUCACUCCACAGAACUGCUCAAAAGCAAAAGGCAGAGAGCAGUACUCUAAUGCCCCGCUUUGCUACUGUCAGACCCACCAUACUCAAGUGCACCCCAACUCCACAUCCUCUGGAUUAGUCAUCAACUCAAGGCUAGUCCUUGUGAUGAAGGGUGGUAGGGGUGACAUCAUGGGUUCCGUGUGUAUGGUACGGCUGUGAACUUAAGUGUUUGUCCUGCUUCCGAUAUGUGGGAUUCUGAUUCUCUUUUGCAAUAUGAUUCCAGCUGAAAUGCUGAAUCCCUCCUUCACCUAGGAAAAUAAUGAAAUGAUAUAAAAAAAAAGCUUUUUUUUUUUUGGUAAUAAGAAAAAUGGAUUAGCAACAGAGCAGAUGCAGUAAGAAGAAUGGGAGAAUGAGUAAAGCAGAGAAAGUCACUGCUGUAUUCUGCAUCUCUCCUCCAUACUUGUGAAGGAAGGACUCUUGUUUAUAGCCUUAUAGGCUUGUGGGUCAUAAAAGUAGCCAUACAUAACUUGUCCAAUGAGGGGCCUUCAAGAAGAUCGGUGGCACAGAGGGCUUCCUCUUGGGAGCCAAGAGCCCUCCUGGUCUUUCACUAACAAGCUCAAAAUGAAUGGGGGUUGUAAUUGCAUCGGAAAUUUUUAUACUUUUGACCUUUAUGUGGGAGACGCAAGAGAGAAAAAGAGUUUUAGAGAAGCAAAGGAGAAAUCUUUUUAACGAGUUUUAAACUCUUUUUUCCCCCCUUUUUCUACCUUAUUUUCUUUUCUACAUUUUGCCCUAAUUUUCAAGUUCGUGGAAAUAAAUAAAUAAAUAUGAUUAAAAUUAUUUAAUACACAUUUUGAAAUUCUUUAUUUUCCUAUUUUUUUCCCUUUUUGUAUGGAAGGAGAAAAAGAGAGAUUAAUUAAGAGAAAUAUGUGAUGGAUUUUGUCGGUUUAAGCCUAAUUUUUAUUUUUUUUCAUUUCUUUUGCAUUUUUCUAAAUAUUUUACUUCUCUUUUCUCCAAACUUUAAGAUAGAAUGAUAAAUUUUCGGAUUCAAAAAGUGAGUAGGAGAGAAAAAGGAGCUCCUUUCUUAAAAAUAUUUUCCUGUUUCUUUAAAAUAAGAAAAAUAUUUUCUAACUUCAAAAAUGACAAAUUUUAGAUUGAAAAUAGUUGUACCAAAAUUCAUUUUGUAAAUGGUUUUUAAGAAGUUAUUUAAACAAUUUGGGCAUUUUACUACAUAACAAAACCGAUAUGAAAAAUAAUUGUGUUAAAAACAUAAGCUCAAAUAUUAUCUAAUUAUUACAUAUAUAUAUAUAUAUAACCUAUUUAACCCAUUUAAUAUUUGAGUUCUUUUUUUUUAAUAAUCUAGUUAAAUUAAGUCUUAUAUAUGACUUAAUUAACCUAUUUUUUUAAAAAUAAAUUUUAAAUAAGUCAAGUAUGGAUUAAAUAAUUUAAAUAUAUAAUUAUGUUAAUACUAAGAUUAUUAGAUAGGUAAAUUUAUGUUAAAUUUGUUUUACAGACCUAAGAAUUAUCUCUAUUUGUUAAACGGGUUAAAUGGGUUGAUAUAAAUUUUACUCAAAUUUAUUUAUAUUCAACCCAAAUAUGCAAACGGGUAAAUUAUAUCUAACUUUUUCACUCCUAUUUUCAAAUAUUUUUGUUGUCGCAUGGUGGAUAUUGAAAUGACCUCCACGCACAGCAUAGGCCCAGGCUCCAGUAGACGCUGUGGAUCACUCUUUUGGUUGUUGCCUGCAACUCUGCAACACUCCUAACAUGAUAAGUACAACUAAAAUAACUAAUCAAAAUAGGGUCCAACGGCUACAAAAAAUCUGAGGUAUGGUACCUCCCUCAGCACCAUAGAAGUUUCCUUUAGUUAUAUGAUUUCCAUGCAUCCUAAAAUGUGGUUGCAAUGAUGACAUUAUUUCAAACUAUUCAAUUCUGUUCAGUCGCCUUCUCUGCUGCAACUCGUUUUGUCUUUUGUUUUGUCUUUGUUUUGUUUGUUUUUAAACAUGGGCAAGGCCAUCACUCCUUUCUUCUUAAGCUUAUGCUUUACACUUUUUUUUUUUUUUUGCUUUCUUUUUUCUUUUUCUUCAGUGAGAUUGUUGGUUGUUUUGAGGUGAGUCCUACACCCUCCAUUAAAGAAAUCUCAUAUUCAUGAAUAUUCCAGAGAUGAGAAUGCUAACUAAGAAACACCCAUAUGAAAAAAUCUUACAUGAUGCAUGCCAUAUAGUUGCAUAUGCCUUGCAGAUACACCGGAAGAAUUCACAAUCUCAACCCCUUUAUGUAGAUGGUUUGUUUCAUAAAAAAACAAAGAACUUCCGGUGGCGAGUUCCCCUCCACGUGUUCUUUUCUAACUCAAGACACUUUGGCCAUCCAGGACAAGUAUGAAAUCCAAUCAAAUAGUUGCAUUCAAACUAGGUUAAGAUCCGUUUGACACCAGAAGUGAGGGGAUUCCUUUUCCCUACAGGGCCCACGGUAUUAGGAGUCUGAACUUCCAAAAGGAAAGGACUACCCAAUCAUAUCUUAAAGACCUUUGGCAUGCAUGAUCAUUCAUGCUUGACAUUUGAGUGGUUGAUGGGACUCCAUUCGUCUACAAAUCCAUUUCAACUAAUUACUACUCAUAAUCCAAGACGACGAUGGAUUGAAGGGAUAGACAACUGUACAAUCCGAAAUCUCAGCACAUCAAUAGAUGGCACCUACCAGCCACCCUUAACUGUGAUGAUUUCCCAACAGCUCUCAAGACAUUCAUCAUUACAGAAGAAGGUCAGAAUGCCUAGUCAGCACUACAAUGACUGUGCCAUUAGCUCUAUAAAAACCUUCUAAAAAGUACGAACAAGGGAUAUGCAUGAAAAAACUCAUCCUCUCUUAAAAAUAAUUAGUACUACUCUUAUCUGACUUAAGCUUCGAAGGGGUGUACCCAGACUACUUGUUUGGACAUCCUUUUAUAUAGGAAAUAAGUCUAUUGAAUAAAUAGACUUUUGGGAUUGAUCAAAAUUAGAGUUUAACUCUAUAUCCUUAAGACAAAUUUCACCCUGUUCAUAUGCUUAUGAUAUAUGUGAUUGUUUCUCAUGAUACAACGAUCACUUUCUUGUGAGAAUAACACUCCAAAUUAUAAUAAACAACGAAUCGUUUGAUGAUUUGUACCUUUUUAAAUAAAAAAUAAAAAAUAAAAAGCUUAGUAAAAAAAAUGACCAAAUUUGAAACUAAGGACUUGAAAGUUUAAGAAAUGAGAAAGGAGUGAAAAAAAUGGAUGAAUAAGAAAAUACAAGGAACCUAUUUAUAGAUUUUGUUAGUGACUAUAAGACAAAGAUGUGUCUUUAAGGCACUAGACAUAUCAUUUGAAAAAUGUUAUGUCUUUAAAAUAUUAGACUCAUCAUUUGAAACAAGUUGUAUCUAUUAAAAAAUAACAUGUCUUCCAAGAGAAAAAAAAGACUUAAUUUCAAUUCCAUAAUCACCCUUAAACAAAAACUCGUUAUUUUCUUUUAUCAAUAUCGUUAGGAUCAUUACAUUUCUUUUUAGAUUAAUAUUUAGAGAAAGAAACACAAAGAAUAGAUCAUUUUUAUUUUUAUUUUGUAUUUUAUGUAAGUGUAUUAUGCCUUCAAAAUUGAAAAAACUAUUUUUCAUAUUUGAAUCCUAAAUAAAAUUUGGCUUUUCGAAAACCUAUGAAUAUUUUUAAGAAUUAUUUUCAAAAACUUAUUCUAUUAGAACAGCUCCAAAGCAAUGUUGUCAAAUAAGCUUAAUAUUUCAAGUUUAAGAAUGGUUUUUGAAGAUGCAGCUAAACAAACCUAAGAUUUCAAGUUUAAGCCUAUCUAAAAAUUAAGGUUGUAUUUGAUUUUUGAAAUUUUGGGGGAAAAAUACGAGGAAAUGAAAAUAUAGAAAAAAGUAGCAAAAAAAAAAAAAAAGUGUUGGAAAAUAAAAAAAUGAUUUAAUUCUCAAUAAAGUGUAGUAAUCUCAUGCUUACUACCUUGACAAGUGAACGCACUCUUUAACAUGACCUUGAGUAUAUAUACUACUCAAGCAUAGACUUGGCAGUACUGAUCAUAAGAUGAUAACAGCACUACAAAUCAAAAACACUUUGUUUUUGGACUGGUAAAAUGUGGUAGCAAUGAUGACAUGAUUUCAAGCAAUUCAAUUCUGUUAUGUCGCCUUCUCUGCUGCAACUCCUUUCGUGUUUUGUUUUGUUUUGUUUUGUUUGUUUUUGAAUAUGGACAAGGCCGUCACUACUGAUCCUUUCUUCUUCAGCUUAUGCUUUUCUUCCUUCUUCUCCAUUUUUCUUUUUGGCACUGAAUUGGUAAUUUGAGGUGAGUCCUACACCCUCCAUUAAAGGCUUCUCAUAUUCAUGAUCCUAGAGAUGAGAAUUGACUGAAAAACCCACAUGAAACUCAGUUCUUGAACAACUAAUCAAUCAAUUGUAGAAAUGAAAACAAUCUAUGAGAUUUGUGUGAAAUAAAUAUAGCCAGUCACUGUUUCAUUGUCAAAAUUAAAUUAGUUACAAGUCUACAACUCCUCUAUUUUCUUCUUCUUUCUUGCAGUGCAGUUGGAGAUGUAUGCUAUAUAGCUGCAUGCCUUGCAGAUACACAUCAAGCAUUGAUCACAAUCUCAACCCAUUUAUGAAGAUUGUUGUUCCAUAAAAAAAACAAAGAACUUUACAAAAUUGAAUGAUGUCUAAGAAGAAAAGAGAGGGUUGUAGCUAGCUAGGUACAAGGUUGAAGGUGCUUAAGAAGCUAAACUCACUUCAACUUAUUGUACAAUAUAUAUAUAGCCAUCAGAAGUCCAACCAAAACAUACCAAUUUUGCUAGCAAAUAAGCAAACUUGGCAGUUGACGGUUAUUUAACAUUCAAGAUAGGAAAACAAGGUCCUGCAGCAAAGGAUGCCCUCUUCACAAACCUUCCUUUCAUUCUAGGCCUUUUCUCCGCAUUCAAUUUCCUAACCUCGUACCUUAUCUUCUUGGAAAACAGCCUAGUCCUUCGCUUCUCUCGGUACCUCAACACUCUUGCUUCUCUACCCCCAUCCCUGCCUCCAAAAUUUCCUCCCACUCCUCCCACAUCUCCACACGGCCCAUGAACAUUUGUAGGACAAGCACCCUGAAAGAUUCAUCACAAAAAUGGCAAUUGUAAGCCAGUCAUCACUAUUUGAUCAAAUUAUAAUUAAGGGCAUUCAACAUUAAUAAAUACUUUGGAUCAUCAUAUAUAGAUAUAUAUAUAUAUAUAUAUAUAUAUAUAUAUAUAUAUAUAUAUAUAUAUAUAUAUAUAUAUAUAAACAUGCAUCUCUUCAAUUGGAUUUUAUGUUUGUGUGGGGGAGAUUACCAUGUAGUCUGGCCAGUAGUCGUUGGGAUCGAAUUCUGGACGAUUUCCUGUUGUCCAUGGAGAGCCUUGGCUGGCCCAGGCAGUGAUGACAUCCUCGUAAUUAAGACUCAAAGAUAUCUUUCUCCUCAUCUCCACUGCAGCCACCAUCUUCUCCUCAUGUUCCUCCUCGUCCAUUACAGUUGACUCAUAAUCUAAGUUCCAUGCUAACAAUUCUUUUGUCAUGUCCAAUUCCGGGUCCAGAUGGAAGGUUGCAUCAGUUUCCACUCGUUCCUCUUUAACUUUCACCUUUUGGUCUCCAAAACAAGCAUCCAUGUCACCUUGCUCACAAUCCAAGACACCUAUUCCUUUGAUUCCGCACGAGUCCUCAUCCAGGCCUGCUCCUAGAUAGCUCUCAACAUCAGCAGCAAACUCUGCAAGAUCCAUUUCUGAGGGCAGAAACCCAGUUAGAGAAUCCAAGUCACCUAUUUCUUCAUGUCCGUAAUCCGAUAAAGGCUUUGAAUCAUUUUCCAUGCCGAUUUCACGUAUCCCGUCAUUGUUGAGUUCCGCAACGAAGGGAUCAAAGGUUGGAACCCGAAAAAGGAACUGCUCUUCAUUCUCAUCAGGCGAUGCUUCUUCACUCCCAAUCUCCGGAACAAGUGGGGGAGGAGUUGGAAACUUGUUCUCAUGUUUAGAUGGUUGCACCGAGGUGCGCUUCACAUUGCGUGGGCUUCUGGCCUUGCGAGUGAACCCCUGGUGCCAGGCGGGAGUAGAAUUAUCACGCAUUGAGUCAGCGUUCUUACAAGACGCGGCCUGGAGCCGAACCCUUUCAUGCCUUUCGGCUAAUUGGUUUGCCGAAUGCACUGAUGCAUCGCAUGCUUGGCAUAGGAAAGCAUCAUCAGCGCCACAGUACCAACGAGCCCGCUUGUGCAGGCAGUUAUCGCAGGCCCUUGCAGUCUUGCCUCCCAUGGCAUUUGCAACUUUCUUGUCAGUGAUCAUGGAAGAAGAGAGAGGAGAAGAAUAUGGAAAAUUGGGCAGAAACACAGAAACUAAAGACCCAGAACGAAGCGCAAAUUGUAACAGCUAGCGGUGACUCUUCAUAUUAGUGGGAGGGCCAAAUGAUGGAGUUAUGGGGCCCAUGAGCCCACACACAGAGGGUUGCAGCGAAUGGGCGCUUUGCCCAUGCAAUUUUUGGUUGGUUUUGUCCAUGAAAAGAGAUUGCUAGUUUGGGGACUUAUCUCGAUGCUGAAUGGCUGAAGUUAUGAAAUAUGUCCUAUUCUCCGCCUUCUUGUGGCUCUCUCUUUGAGUCAUUUGGACCCUACUGGAUUGUGGCCUUGAGAGAGCCUUUGCUGAGGGUGGGCACCAUGAAAAUUAACUCUCUCCCUCUCUCCCUCUCUCUCUCGUCUCUCUCUGUGUCUCUCUCUGUUUCUCUCUCAAAAUUUCAAUUGUCAAUAUGAAGAGGACCCAUUUGGUGUUCUGUCCUCUACAUUUCAAUUAUUCAUGCUUCAACUUUAUGGUCUUUGUUUGCGGUCCCCUAUGGUUGCAAUCACCACUGUCUCAGCCUCUCUCUCACAGCUUGAGUUAGAUCCAUUUGCUGUUUUGUCUCUACAUUUCCAAUUAUUCCUCUUACAACUUUAUAAACCUUGUUUGCAUGCUCUAUAGUUGCUUUCAUCUCUGUCUCUCCCUCAACGCCUCUUAGCCACUCUCCACCAGUUAACGCAUUUGCAGUCGAAGAAGCAUCCAGAUGCUCCUCUUUCAACUUAAAUUCAUUCCCAUCAUGCAUUUCUCCCAUUCAUGACCCACCUUAGUCUGUGACCUUUUGGAUCCAUAGUUGGUCCUCCUUAAUAAUUCAUGUAGCCCAACUUCACUUACAUAUUUGAUGAAUUUUCAUUGAAUCAUCAUUUUGUAAAUAUUGAAAGAUUUAGUUUUUCAUAUGUUUUACUACACCCAAAAUUAAAUUGACAUAGCCCUCGUUUGGGAUUUCUGCUUUUCACUUUAAUCAGAGAUUGAAAUUCAAGUAAAAUUUACACUUCUUAAAGAUAUCAUAAGUAAAAAAAACACAACAUUUUUUUUAAUUAUAUAUCAAAUUCUUUUUUUAAGUUUAAAAAAGACUUUUUUAUUUCUUAAAAGUCAAUCCAAGCAUGACUUAAUGAUUUAAUAUAGCUUUUUUUAAAAUACAUGUAAAAAUAUAUAUAUUUAAGGUUAUGUUUGGUUUGAGAAAAAUUUUAAAGAAAAUGUGAAGAAAAAUAAAAGAUAAAUUUAAAAUUAAUAAAUUAUAUUAUAUGUUGUUUUAAAUUCAUUUCAUUUAUUUUUCUUUUUAUGUAAAAAUUAAUAAAUUAAAAAUAUAUAAAAUAUUAAUUAAUUUUAAUUAUAUUUAAUUUUCUUUUCCCUUUUUCAUAUUAAAACUAAACAUAAAAAAAAAAAAAAAAAAAAUUUAAUAUUUUUUUUCUUUUCUUAAUAUUUCACGGUAGCCGAGCCUAAUAGUUGAAAGUGGGGAUUCUUAGGCCAGGUAUAAUACUUCUUUAGUUCUUCAUCUAUUGGACAAAUGGUCCCAUUCCUGAGUGCGUUGUUGAAAAAAAAAAAUCACUAAUAUAGGAUGACGUUGGAGAUAUUUUCUAUUUCUGCUUUAAAAAUAAAAUAAAAUUAUACAAAAUAUAAGUACAUUUUUGUAUUUUUAAAAAUUUUUAACGUUUGAGGAAAUAAAAAAUUUUAAUUUCCUCAAAAUUUUAAAAAUUUAAAAAGAAUUUUCAAGAAUAUAAGAUAAUUCUUUAGUUUUUUUAUACAUAGGUUAUUAUAUUUUCUAUUAAAAAAUAAAAAAUAAAAAAUAUAUGCAAACUUCACCUACAGCCUUUUAGCAUUUCAAUUGCAAAACCAUCACUUACAAGUCAAAGUUGUUAAUGAAAUAAAAAAAAAAAUCUUUAAAUCUCAUAUCAAAAAGUAUAAUCUAAUUAAAAGUCACUAACUAUGUUUGACAGCUAUUUUUAAGAACAAUUUUUAAAAAUUAUUUUUUGAUAUUUUUUAAAAUAAAAGUCUGUUUGAAAAUCUAAAUUAUUUUUAACAUGUUUUUAAUAUUUUAAAAUGUGCUUUAAAAAUAAUUUUUAUGUUUGAUAUUUUAUUUUUAAUCAUUUCAUAUAUUUAUAUAGAUAUUUUUUUAAACAACUUUUAAAAAACUACAAAAAACAACUAAAAAAUAUUAUAUGAAAAUAUCAUAUUUUUUGUUCUUAAGAAUAGACGACAGAAAACAUUUUUUGAUUACUAAACCUGUUUUCUAAUUUUUUUGUUUUGAAAAACGAAAAAUUUGUUCUAAAAAAUAAUUACCAAACAUGCCCAAUCUUUCUAUAUCUUGCAUGUCAUCUCAUCUUUUUAUAUUUAAGAAAGGUUUUUUACUAUAAUAAUGAAUUUAUACAUAUCAAAAAAGUGGAACCAAUUAUGAUGUAAUACAUAUGUAAUUAGAUUUUAUUGUUUUACACGUAAAUCCGUUACAUUAUUUGUUGGAAAGUGUUACAAAUUCCUAACCCAAAUUCUUAAUUAAUAUUCCUAAAUUGAUAUAUUAUUAUAAUAUUAUAUAUAUUUUUAUAUAAAUAAGAAAAAUUAUUGAAAAUAUCUUUAUAAAUAUUUUAGGUCAUGAGAGUAAAAAGUUAUAAAAUGAAAAUGAACUUAUAAAAAUUAUAUAAAAUGGAUGGAGAUAUGAUAAAGAAUAGAAAACACCUGAUGGUGGGAAAAUACAUAAUAUUUUAGGAAUCCAACAAUUAUAUAUAAUUUUAUCCUUUAUAAUAUUCUAUAUAAUAUGAUAAAAUGAUUUUUUUCUCUUAUUUAUGAAUAUAAACAUAGUUAACGGAACCACGUCAAAACCCCAUCUUUAUAUGAAUUAUUUUAUUUUUGUAUUUUUCAAUUAACAUUGUUUUCAUUAAAGCUUCUGUUGCCAUAAUAUUAUUUUAUAUUAUGAUUUUAUUGUUAUAUAAGUUGGUGUCAUUUUUUAUCAUUUACACUCUCAUAAAAAGACAUAAAUUUCAAGGUACAUUUUGAUCUAUGGAGGUCACAAAAUCGAUGGCUAAGGUUUAGGAGCCUAACGUUUUCCCUGUUAUGUUUGGUUCCUUAAAAAUACUAAGGAAAGAAAAAAAAAAUGUAAAGAAAAAUGAUUUAUUCAUGUUUGGUUGUCUUAUGAAAAAAAAAAAAAACAAAUAUAAUUAAAACUAAUUAACACUUAUGUAUUUUUAAAUUAUUUAAUCUUUAUAUUGAUAAAUUAAAAUAAAUAAAAUAAGUUUCAAGUAACAAAAAUAAUAAUUUAUCAAUUAUUUAUUUAUUUAUUUAUUUAUUUUUCGUUUUUUUUUUUUCUACUUUUCCUUUGCAUUUUCUUUUGCGGACGUUUUUCUUCAAAUUUUUUGAGACCAAACAUAGCCUAUAAAAGAAUCAUUAGGAAGGUACAUUGAAUUGAUGUAACAUCUAACAUAAAAUCCAGGAGAGGCCGUGUGAAAUGUUUGGUACUAGAUUGUCUCAGUUACAUCCAUUUAAAUGGAUAAGUCUUAGAAAUGAAAAGAAUCUUGGGUAAUAUCAAAUAGAUGCUGGUGAUGAUGACGAUGAUGGGGCUUGUGGGGUGUAAAAUCAGGGAGCUGAGGCGACAUUGUGACUAGGAUUUUGAUUGAAGUUGUUGCACACAUGUUGCAUUUUCUGAGGUCUGCCAGUUGAACUCAUCUCCAUCGUUACGUGGUUGUUGGAGCAGUGAGGCCCGUGAGGGCCACCCAUUAAACUAGAUCGCUACCAAAAAAAAAUUCAACCGAAUGUGGGCAUCCACCUUAAUCCGAGGAUAAUCAUCCUCAUUUGUUUUUCUGGUUUUUUUUUUAAAUAUCAUUUUUAAAAAGUAUUAAACCCGAACCCACUCUCCUAUCAAGUCAAAUUUUGAUAUCACAUUGAAUUAUCAUUUUUUUUAAAUAUUUGGUUCCGAAAAAUUUGAAGGAAAAUAUGAGGGAAAGAAAAUAAAAAAGAAAAAUGAAAUAAAAGAAAAAAUGAAGUAAAAUUAAUAAAUUGUUUUUAUAUGUUUUUUUCAAACUUAUUUUAUUUAAUUUUUUUGAUUAUAUAAAGAUUAAAUAAUUUUAAAAGGUAUAAAUUUCUAAUUAAUUUUAAUUAUAUUUAUUUUAUUUUUUUAUAGUGAAGUCAAACAUGAAAAAAUCAUUUUCCUUUAUAUUUUUUUUCUUUCCUUGGUAUUUUUCGGGAACUAAACAUAAAAACGUUUAAAUUUAUAGAAUUUGAAUGCAUAAUGUAUAUUAUAUAUUUUAACACUCUUCCUCACGUAUGCUUUGAUGUUUCCUUGAACUAUCAAUUUUCCUAAAAAUUUAAGUAUGUAGGAUUUGGAUGCAAAAUGUAUAUGAUAUACUUUAACACCAUUCCUCACGUAUACUCCAUUCUUAAGCUUACAUUUAAACUUAAUAAAUUAGAUAAAUAAAUAUGCAUCAAGGAGGGCUGAACACUUAAUCUCCCUUUAGACAAAUCUAUCAUAUUAAAUUAUCAAUUUUCUUAAAAAUUUAAACUUAUAGGAUUCAGACUCAAUAUACAUAUCAUGCUCUUUAACAUUUUUUUAUCACUUAUUUUAUUUUCUAUUGAACUCUUUUUAUUUUCAUUUUUUAUUUUUUGCAUUAAAACAAUGAGUUUAAAAGACGAAUUUACUUUUAUACUAAAUUCAUCUCUUUAAAAAAUAAUUUCCACUUGAAAUUCAAAACAAUGGUAACUUUAGAACGAUUUUUUAUUGUAUGGUUUUUUAAAAAAUAUUUAAAAAAAUUAUAUUACUCCUGCUAGAGACCUCCUUUUUCCACUUAUUAUAAAUUUGAUAAUAUUUUUAAAACUAUUAGUCUAUUACAUUUUAAUUUCUUAAUUUACUUUAUUUUUUAUUUUUCAAAAUCUCCUCUCGACCUCCUAUUUAUUUAUUUAUAUUGGAUUGAGGCUUAGAAUUUGGCCGGAUGCAAGGCCAUGCCAAAUCUAUCUAUUUCUUCAAUUAAUGCCAAAUUCAACUUGAGAUCAGUUCGAAUCAUAUCAAGUGUGCAAGCAGCUUGACUUUCUGAGUCUUGGCCAUGAAUUAUUACUAAAUAAAAAACUUAAAAUUGACUCUUUUAAUAAAAAAUAAUUAUCUAAAAAAUAUAAAAUACAAUUAUAUUAUAAAAUAAGAUCUCUCGAAAUCAUAAAAUAUAUUAUCAAUUAUUAAUUUAUAUUAUUUAAAAGGAUGUUUGUAUUUUAUACCUCAAAAUCAUAACAUUGACUUAUUUAUUUUAUGUUAGCCAAAUCAUGUAUACAUACAAAUAAAAAAUAAAAAAACAAUGAUUAAUGUAUGGAGUGCACUAACACUCGACGAUCUACUAAUAAAAAGAAACUAGAAGAAUUAUAAUAGUGAAACUCUCUAAAUCACCUUUUAAUUGCGGCCGCAUUCUCUAAAAAAUAAAACUCUAAAAUAUAAAAUGGUUAAAUAUAUAAUAAGGGGUAAAUUCGUAACUCAUUUCAUGAAAAAAAUAAAAAAUAAAAUCUCUAGUACAUGUUUGUCCCUUCAACCCUUGCGAGUUAACUAGUUGAUUUUUGUGAGCUUAGCAAUAAGCUCGACCUCCACGAGUGAACUAAACAACUUGACCCUUGACAUCAUGAGUGAAAUGUAACAAAUCUAAUUCAAGAUUCAUAUUAAUCCAAUAUUUUAUUAAACUUGAUAGUUCACUACCUAUCAAACCCUUUUUGUUCCAAAAUAAAUAAAUUAUAAAAAAAAUUGUCUUAUUUUUAAAACAAAUAUGUAACAAAAAUUCAAGCCCUUAUUAUUAUUUUCAUUCCCACCAAAUCACCAACACACACGAACAAAAAAUAAAUAAAACACAAGAUUUCUAACAUGGUUCGACAAUCAAUGUGAUCUUUAUGUCCAUGGAAUGCACUAAUACUCAACAAUUCACUAAUAAAAAAGAACAAUAAGAGUUAUAAUGGUGAAAGUUUUUUAAAACACCUUUCAAUUACGACUGUACUCUCUUUGAAAAAAAAACAUUUAAAAUAUAAAAGGAUGAAAUAUAUAAUAAAGACAAACUCAUCAUUCAUCUCAUAAAAAAAAAAUUCUCCACAAGGUGCUACCCCCUUCGACCCCCCGCGAAUUAACCAGACAACUUGAUAAUUGCAAGCUCAACUGUGAGUUUCACACCUUACGAGUUGACUAGGCAACUCAACUUUCAACAUUCUAAGUGAAACACAAUAAAAUUGAUUCAAACUUUAUAAUCUAACAUUUUAUUAGUCUUGAUAAGUCACUAACUAUCAACCCUUUUUGUUCCAAAAAACCAAGCUAUAAAUGUUUUGUAUUAUUUAAAACAAAAAUACUUAUUAUUAAAACAUAUCAAAAAAAAAUUAUUUCCAUUUCCAUGAUAUAGAAGUGAAGUCUUGAGUUGUUAUUAUUAUUUAUUCUUUACUUGAAUAAAAACCCAAAAAAAAAAACACCUAUUAUUUGUUAAUAACAUAUGUGAUGAUUAUACAAGAAAGUCCAAAACACCUUAUUCCAAACUUGAAAGUUUGUUGUACCUUUCACUCUUUAUUUGUCCUUUAUUAACAUAUUAAAUUUAUAAAAUAUUAAUUAGAUAUAGUCAUGCUAUUUCUUUAAUUUCUAUUUGUUAAAUAAAAAAUCUGAAUUUAUGAAAGUGCCUAAACCAUACUUUUAAUGGAAAUUAAUUUUGAUAUCUAUAAAAUUUUAUACACUAAAAAUUUAUGGGUGAAAUCCUGGAAAGAGUUUAAGAUAAAGAUAAAUAAAUUUACGGUGAGUUUUAGAAGUUUUUAAAAACCUACUAGUAUGACUUGUUUGGAUUUGAUUAUAUAUAAUUUUUGUUUUUAUAAAUAAAAAUAUUAUUUCUAUAUCCAUCUCAUUUUGCCCCGUUCUAUUUAAAAACAAAAUUUGGACAAUAAUGAAAAUACAUAUAAAUAAAUUAGACGGAGUAGGGAUGGGGUCAAUUGACUUGAGUUGAACCCGUUUCAUUAAUGUCAUUCCUAUUUGCGACCACCACUUGCAAGACACAUGGCGAUAAUUUAUAAUAACAAAAUCAUAUAAACAUAAACCCUCAUUUCAAAAUAAAUAAAGUGACAAGUUGUAAAAUCAACAAACUAAAGCACGAAAUACUUAGACUAAGAAACACUCCACUAGAAGAAUUAGAGGUUUGGUUACUUCUAGAAUCGGAUGCAGUCCCUGCACCAAAAACUGAAAACGGGGAUGGAGCCGAAAAUGGAGAUGGAGAUGGAGACAAUGAUAUGGAUGGGAACAUGGUUUCCGGAGACGGGGAUGCCAUGGGCGAUGUCUCCCAGUAACUCUCAUUACCUGCAAUACAUUCAUCAUUAGUGUACGUACUCAUAAAUAUUAGAGUUGGAGAAAGCUUCUGAAUGGAGGAAUUUCUCAAGCUCGAUGGCAAUUACCUGAGCAAUUAACAUGAGAAGAAUUUACCAAGCUGCACCAAGAGAAAAAAAAUUAGGAACUUUUAACAAAGCUUUACAUACGUAGUGAAGAAAAGCAGUAGUUGAUUUGGUCUACAUAUAUCUUGGACAUGCAGGUUCUGUAAAAUUAUUUGGUCAUAUUUGGCUUGAUUUUUAGAAAAUGGGAGAGCCCCACAUGAAUAAAAGGGUUGUCAUACCUUCUGAAAAUUUUCCGACCGCCAUGGCCACGGUACACACAAGUGGUGAUGUUGCACCCAGCAGGAGUUUUGGUGACAACCACAUCGCCUAUGAAGAGAUGGGAUGCUUUGCACUGUAAACGAUUGCAGGCGACCAUGAUCCCAGAUGGAAAGCAUUGCAGGCUGAUCAUCAAACAAUGAAAUUAAAUAUAUGAUGAUGUAGAGCUAAUAAUGAAAAAGAAAAUAUAUAGAAAAAAAAAGGGAGUUUGAUUACUUGAGAUGAGUGGGUGUGCAGCUACAUCUGAUGCAGUUAUUGGCAGUGAGAGCAUAGGAGCCAUUUGCAACUAUUAGGCUUUCGUUGUACCACCUGAGAUUUGCUGAUGAACAUGCUGCACAUACACCAUCAAGCUACUCAAAAUGGUAUUCACAAUCACCAAGUAAUUUAUACACAUGUUGUGAAAAUGGUUUAAGAGACCGGUGGUAAUUUGUGUCGGUACUUCGUGUUUGUGUCUUGUCAAAGAGUAAGUAUUUUAAUUAUUAAAUAGGUAAUAUGUUGUGUCGUCAAUUUAAUCUAUUUAACGAUCAGAUCAUCUUAUCAUAUAAUUAUAUAAUUAAUGUCUUAACUAGAUAUGCUUUUACUUCAAUUUAUUGAUAUUUUCGUUAGACGAUACAUUUUACUUAUAUAUCGUAUCGAUCUUCUCCGAUACACGAUAUCUCCCAAUAUUUUUGUCAUUGGUUAUAAGUAUAUAAUUUAUAUAAUAUUAAAAUUUUUUAAAUUAAGAAUAUAUAUAAUUAAAAAACUUAAUAACAUUUUAUUUUUUAUUUUUUAAAUUAUUAAAUUAAAUGAUAAAGAUAAAUAUAAAUGUAUUAAAUAUUAUUAAUUUAAAUAUAUAAAAUACUUAUAAUAUUUAAGUAUAAAUAUAUAUUUGAGAUAAAAUAAAAUUUUAUCAUUUAAUUUUAUUUACAUGUCAAAAAUUAUAUAUUCUAUUAUUUUAUAAUUUUAAAAAUUAUUAUAUUAUUUUAUACUUCAUUAAAAAAAUAAACAGGGAGUUAAAUAUUUACAACUUAGUAAUUUUCUUCAAUAGUUUCCCAAAUUAAGACUUGAUUGACAGAACAUCACUUAUUUCUAGUAUCCUAUCCCCACCUAAGGAGACAAAAAAGGUAAAGACAAAGGUGGGGUUAUGGGUUAUGACCCUUUUCAGAUUAUGGCCUGGUUGGUGUGUGACAGUAAUUGACCCUAAUUUUUCCUCCAAUCUGAGUAAAAUUAAACCCUCAACAAACAACCGAGAAGUAGUCCAAAAAUUUUAUGUAGCUCCAACGAGUCCAACCUACCAAAGAGCUCACGGGUUAUGCAAGGUGACCAAGGACAUAUAUACCAGUAAAAUCUACAGUUUUACUAUACCACUAGUAUAAAUGCGUGUAGUGAAAUCUAAAUUAUUGGACAUGACAUAAACAAAGGUAGAAGAUGUAGACAAUGUACAUGUUCCUUAUCUAAAUUAUUGGACAAUGACAUAAAGGUAGAAGAUGCACACAAUGUACACGUUCCUUAUACCGAAAAAACAAAGUCGUAUGUUUCCUCGUUGUUUCUUCCAUAUCUAAUAACUUAAGAUUUGUGAGGCAAUCGAUGGUUUAUGAUAGUCUUAAUUGUUAAUUAAUCAAAUUUAUCCUAGGUGUUAGGAAGUGUCCUAAAUUCCUAAUUAGUAUAGAUUCAUUUUUUGUAAAGAAUAUUAUAUAAAAUAUUUCUAGGUUAAUAUAUUAUUGUAAUAUUAGACUUCCUUAUAGAAUAAGGAAGGUUGUUGGAAAUAUUUUUAUAAAUAUUCUAGGUCAUAAGGGGAAAAAGUUAUGAGAUGGUGAUGGGCUUGUAGAGACUAUACGAGUUGGAUAGAGAUAUGAGGAAGAAUGGGAGGUACCCGAUGGAGCAAGAGGGCUCGUAGUAAGGUAUGGUGGGGAAACAUGAGAUAUUUUGAGAACCCAAUAAUUAUAUUUGGUUCUGUCCUCUGUAAUAUUCUCUAUUGUAUAGUGAAAUUAUUCUCUCUCAUCCGUGGAGGUAGGCAUGUAGGCAUGGUUGGUCGAACCACGUUAAAACCUCAUGUACCAUAUGUGUGAUUGUUUUAUCUUUGUGUUCUUAAACUAACAUUGUUGGCAUCAAAGUUUUCGUUGGCAUAACACUAGGCAAUUCGAAGAAGAACAAGCGUGUGAGAGUCUCAUAUAUCAUCAACAUAUCUACAAUUUUUGAGGAAAUUAAGGGCACAACAAUCCUAGGUUCCAGCAGAAAUUGGUGAUGAUAAUCGACUAACCUGGUAUUGGGAUAGCCAGAAUGUCUCCGGGGUUGAUCACCGGUUGGCCGAGGCCGUUAACCGCGGCCAAGUCAGUGACAGUAGUAUGAUAUCGAGCUCCAAUGCUGCCCAAGCUCUCCCCUCUCUGUACCACAUAUGACAUGUACACAGCAGUCGCACCGUUGUUUGUGUUACCAAAACAUGUGCAUGGCAAUGGAAUCACAAGGCUCUGCCCAUACCCAGCCCCUUUUCCUCCAUUAACGCUUCUUAUCUGAUCUGCACUCACAAGCCCCCCGUACCCCUCUGAUAUUAAAUCCAUCGUGUCAGCCGCUUUGACUGUGUAAGUAGUGGACAGAGAACGGCGAAUGCCGUCCACACAAGGACACAGGAUGGGGACUUUCACGAGUGAUUUUGCAGGGAUGAUUUGGCUUGCAGAGGAUGGCCUUGUUGGGUCCAUGGAGUUGGUAGCCAAGAUAUCAGAGAUGUUGACUUGGAAGCGUGAUGCAAUCUCAGAGAGCUUGGAGUCCCAAGGAAGAAGAUAGGAGAGAAGAGAGUUGCAGGAGUCUGAAGAACUGCACGGUUCAAUUACAGACUUUGCUUGCGUUAUGGAACCAAAAGAAAGUAAAGAAAGUAAAGAAAGAUGAAGAAGAAGAAGAAGAAGAAGACGGUGGAAUUGAUCUCUCAUUUCUUUCUUCUUUUUUUUCUCUGGAGUUGGGAGCCAGGUGGGUUGGCUGUGGCCUGUGAAGAAGACAAUAUAAUUAUCAGAAAGAUAGUUGGGAAGACACUGACAGAGACAAAAGCAGAGAAGAUGAUAAGGGGGUUGAAGGGAGGAUAGGACAAUGGAUACCCAUCUAACUCCUGAGAAGGUCAGCCAUGGAACCUAACAGUCAUUGGGGAUUACUGGCUUAGCAGGUAUCAUCACACUUCUCAAAAAGGUGAUAUAUAUGGUGAUAAUCAAGCCAACCGCCUUCUUAAUUGAAUGGGGCCUCUCUCCCCCUUUCUGGAAAUGCUUACAUAUCCCUCCAAGGGAUUCCAAGCUGUAGUUUAUAGCUUGCAGAACAUUACAAUUAAUGGUCAGUGUCCUAUUACAAUUGCCUGGGAUUUUUUCCUACAAAUGAGUGGAGUUUAGUAUGGUUGGUAGGUUGGAAUUAAUUUCUUUAAGGUGAAAUGAAACCUAAUCUUUGCAGAUUUUCUGAAAUAGUAACCCUAGUGUUUUGGAAAGUAUUGCCAUAUUCUUUUAGAUUUGCAGAGAUUCUUGCUGACUAAAGUUUAUUAGGAAUGGAUUGUAGAGCUGGAAGAUUGGUUAUUUUGUCAGGACAUUGACCAGUUAGGAAAUGACAAUAUUACCCUUUUGGUCUUCUUGGCAAAAAAUAAUGAAAAAAAAAAAAAAAAUCAUCUUUAUGGGGUGGAAAAACAACAUUAGACAUGAAUCCUCCUGAUUUUGGGUAAUUUUUUUGUUUUGGACUUUAUUUUGAAUUAAUUCAAAUAAUUUUCAUGAUUUAAAACCCAAAAAUAAACAUAAAUAUUUACUCCAUAUUUAUUUUUAUAAUAAUUAUAUAAUAAAAAAAUAAAAAUAUAUAAUUUUGGAAAUUAAAUAUUAUAAAUUUGUUUUCAUCUUAAAUAUAUCUUUUUACUUAUAUAUGUUAUUAUAAUGAUAAAUAUUAAUACAUUUAUAUUUAAUUUGAUAGUAUUUAAAUAUAAAAAUAAAAUAUUAUUAAGUUUUUUAAUUAUAAAUAUUUUUAAUUUGAUAUAAUAUAUAAAUAAUAUAUCUAAUAAUAUUUCUGUGUUUAAAAUUUUUUUCUUCAGCAUAACAUGCUAAAGUUAGGGGUUGGGGGGAACAACGGCAUUUGAUAAUCGACGGCCAAGCACAGAAUAUCCCCGCUCAUGAGAGGCGGCGAUCGUCGACUCCCUCCAUCCGUACACUAUCCGGCGACGUCUGGACGCAAACGCAAGCCCUCUGCCAUCCCGAAGCAAUGUCAUGAUCACGUAAAAAGGCAAAGAUUGGUUGUCAAAGAAGAAACCGUAACCCUAAUAGCCAACGGAGCUGACGAGCUGCCCACAUCAAACAGAUUCAGUUCAAUUCAAUGUUCACAACGACAGGAGAAGAAGCGGAAGAAGCUAAAAAGAAGACAAAAAUCAGCAACAACAGAGGCUCAUCGCAGAUGGGUUUUCUCUACUCGCGAUUUAUCCGAUUACAAAGGUUCGAGAUUCUAACUCAUUACAUGUGUAUCUUUUUAUUAAUUCAAUUUCUUGUAGUGGGUUUUAAGUGGUCCCAUGUGACAAUGGUUGUUGGUUCAAUUUUGAGUUUACGAGAAUUGUUCGUUUUUGAAAUGCAUAGUAAGGUGUUACAGAAGAUUGUCUUCAGUCUUGUUUGAAAAUUAAUUGAUAGGGCCGAGUAAUUGGGGUUGGGCUAAUUAUCUACAUUCAGUUCGUGGCCAAGUUUCAAUCCAGGGAUUGCUCCUAAUUGGUCUCAGGGGACUUUGUUGAUUGUGGGCCCAUGUGGGUCCAGUGGAGGCCAUGCGAAAGAAUCCUCUACACCUGACAAUUAUGGACUAAUUUGUAGGGAAAGCUCUCAUUUUGUGUCAAAGCAUGCAUAUAAGGACUUUCAAGAUGAUCAGUUUGAUCCUUUUCGAAUGAAGAUUUAAGUGCAUUAUUUAGCAUGUUUCAGCCUAUGUUAGUGCAAAAUUGAUUGUUUUAUAGACAAUGUUUCUUAUGGAAUUUGUGACUAGCCACUUAAAUAUAUAGACCGUGCUUUGGGAGGAAAGCCAAGAACUACUGAAUUGAUGAGUUACAAAAACUUGAAUGUUGGAGAGAGUGCAGUGACUUAAUGUAAUUCUACCUCCUAUCAGAAAUAAAUUAUCUGGAAUUCUGACUUAAUUCGAGUUCCUUUUUAGCAUUCCUGCUUUUGUGGCUGAGAGAUGGUAGAAAUUGCAGAAGAGUUUCCUAUGGGAAACUAUGGAUAGGAAAUAUCACUUAGUGGGUUGGAUAAAAUCGUGUGCUGUAAACAAUACAGUGGCCUGGGCUUAGGAGAUUGGUGACCUUUAAUGUAGCUUUCUUGAUUGAAUGAUUGUGGAGGUUUGCAGUAGAAAUGAGUAGUUUGUGAAGAUGUAAGUGGCUGGGAAGUACAGAGAGGAGUAUUGUUUGUAUUCUUUCAUUAGUAGAAAUCUGCAGAGGAUGGUCCUUUAGAGAGGGAUUAGGAAGGGGUGGGAAAUGUUCUUUAGACAGAUGUUUGUUGUAGUUAGGGAUGCAUAACAAGUCCAUUUUUGGGCAAGCACUUGGCUGAACACCAUGGGAGAUGGCAUUGAACUACUUUAGGGGUUCCCACAUUUACUCCAUUUGGCAGAACAAAGGAGGUUAUGGCGGAAAACUAUUUGAGCUGCUUGGGGGUGAGAAAUCUUGGACAUUUUGCUUUAUUACGGCUUUACAUAACUAUGAGGUGGAGGCAGAUGGGGUAAUUCUUUGUAGUGUUAUUUGUAGGAUGUGUUCUCAAAGUCAGAAAGGCAAUUCUAUCAGAGGGAAUGGAUUCUCUCUUUUUUUUGUAAUUGUGUAAUUAUACUUGUUUUCUAUGAUAGCCAUGUAUCCACAGUCAAAAAACAAAGUUCUAUUCAAAAUCCUUGGUUUAUCUAGUGUGUUUGACACAGGUUCACGCAUGCUGGAGCCAGUGAAGUUUCUUGGGUGGUAGCUAUUUGGCAAUCACUUUCAUGAAAAUUCUGUGUGUCGUCUUCAAGUUUGGUUGAUUGAACAAGUAAUAUAAGGAAACUUUUUGGGUUGAAGAUGGGUUCCAUUUUCUGUUUUUAGUCAUGGAUGCUAAUAAUAUUUUCAAAUCUUGCACAGCAUAGCUAAAUGUGAUAGACCUGUAUGAUUGAUUGGAUUAUUAUUAUUAUAUUUUUCAUGAUUUUAUUAGGUUUCUUGUACAUAACUUUUGCAUAACAUAAUGUCUCUGCUGAUAUAAUUGUAUCCUACCAACAUGUGUGAGAGAUUAAUAUUUUAAAAUAUGUUUGUGUUUAAUUAGGUUAUGUGGCCCAAGACUUUGUGAGAGUUGGUGACAGUUCACAUUAAAGUUUGGGGCAUAAGGGUGGGGUGGUGUGAGUCUGCAAGUUUAUGGGCUCUUUGGAAAGAAAAGAAUAUGAUACCUUUUUAAGGGUAAGACUAGGUAAACCAAAGCUAUGUGUAACAGGAUUAUCCACAUGGUGGCUUUUUUGCAUCUUAGCUGGAUCAGUUUAGUGGAACUCAUGUGAUAGACUUCAACAUGGGUUUGAAUUUUUUUUUCUUUGUUUGACUUGUGCUCAUUUUUUGUUGGUUUUGCCUUUAGUUGGAUUCAUGCAUUCCAUCCUAAGGAAUUUAAUGGGAAUACCUUUUCCUACCCACGUGAAGUCAGUCCUCCAAACGACUUUUUUAGUCUUAACUUUGAUGGUUGUUCUUUAGGAAGCACAGGUGAAAUCUGAACACAUUUUCUCUUUUAAGGGAUUCUUUUAGAAACUGUAUUAAUGUAAACUCUCCUGCUCUUUUAGAACUGUGAUUCUUACUUUUCUUUGCCUUUUUGUCAUGGAAAAACUUGUAGGGCUGAAUUCGGAGCUCUAAAUUGGUCUGAGAGAAGCUGAAAAAUUGGAUGUUUAACAACUGAGCAUGUUUGCCAGAAUGUUGUGAAAUGGAUCAAACAAGGAAAAGCAGGAUGUUGCAAUAUUUUUUUUAUUCCCCCUCCCCUCCUUUUUGAUAAUCACAUCUUGCUGAUCUUCUUAAGGAAGCAAGUGAUUUGUAAAUAACUGUGCAACCUAUCUUUUCUGUGGUUGCCAGAGAGUCAUGAUAACAAGGUUAAGUGUCUUUUCUUUAGAGGGUAUCUUGUGAAACACUACACCUUGUCAAGGGUUUCUAUUUGUCUUUGGGCAUUUUCUUAUCUUUAGUACUUAUGGGGAAUCUGGAAACCUCUUUUGUACUCUAUUCUCUUUCUCAGUUCAAUUUCCCAUGAAAUAUAUUCUUUCUAAAUUUUCAUUCUAUAGGAUUAUGCAUUGAACAUAGAUCUUGAAAUGAAGUAACUGUAAAUCAUAUAGGAAAAUUGCUCUUAUUUUAUCUGUGCAGUUUGAUCUUUCAUCUAGAUUACAAUGUUCAUCACACCUUUGCUCUAGCUAAACCUUUUCUUUCAUUCUGCAGAUAAGGUUGUUGUUGUUUCCUACAAUAUACUAGGUGUUGAAAAUGCAUCAAACCAUCCAGAUUUGUACUCUAAAGUCCCAACAAAAUUGUUGGAUUGGAACCGGCGAAGAAAGCUCAUUAAUAAGGAGAUCAAUCAGUAUAAUCCAAGCAUUCUUUGUUUUCAGGUAAGUGUCAGGAUGUUCUAUAAGCAUUUGAUGUGUGAAUUCUUUGUUCUAAGGAAGACUAGAGGAUGAAGAUAUUUGUCCUUUAGCAGAAGAUGAGGGCUUUGCAUUGAGUGUUAAGUAUCUGGGUUCUUUUUUGUUUUCUUCUCCCUUUCUCUCUCUCUCAGAUCCUUUCUCCAGUCCACUUUUUUUCAUCUGUGUCCAUGUGAUGUAUCUUGUUUGCUGAAGUUUCAUUUUGAUCACCUUAUGAUUCCUCUAUAUUGUUUCCCAAGCUUGAAAUUGCGUCUUGAUGUUUCUAAAUGUUAAUCAUCUUACUGGGGGUGGGGGCAUGUGCAUGUAUGCGUGCACCUGCUUGUGUUAAUCUAUGUUAUAGUUUUCCUGUGCUUAUGGAGAAUGAGUCACUGGAUAUAUGCAGUUGAAGUUUUUGCCAUUCAUUCUCAAUGAUUUUAAAGAGUGGAGCAUGUUGCAAAAUGUCUUGGAUGCGCUUGCAUUCUAAUAAUAUGCUCGCAUGGCUGCAGGAGGUUGACCGUUUCAAUGAUUUAAAUAAUCUUCUGAAAAAAGGGGGUUUUAAAGGAGUUUAUAAGGUAUAUCCUAGAUCUAAAAAAUCUUACAACAUAUAAUCUGACAUGACUACUAAUGUACGAUCUAAGUGCUGAUUUCCAAUUACCAUUUGCUCUAGGCUCGCACAGGUGAAGCAUAUGAUGGGUGUGCUAUGUUCUGGAAAGAUGAUCUGUAAGGUUUCUCAAGUCCAUUGAAAAUUGAAAACCCUUAUUAUGUUUCUGUAACAUGAUGAUAAAUGGAGUAGUAGAGUUAAUCAUGUUAAUUAUUGAUUCACUUGGAAUAUGAUUUAAUUAUUUGAAGCCCAGUGGUAGUGAUGAGGAAAACGUUAAUCAUCUUCUUAUUCAUUGUACAGUGGCUAGUGUGUUGUGGGGGAUUGUUCUUAGUCUGUUUGGAGCCCAGUGGGUCUUUCCAGAAACUGUAAAGGAGGCGGUUAUCAGCUGGAAGGGUUCUUUUGUGGGUAAAAAGAGGGAGAAAAUUUGGAGAUCCAUACCAUUAUUUAUUUUUUGGACGGUUUGGAAGGAGAGGAAUAGAUUAGCAUUCGGGGGGGGGGGGGGGGGGGUUAGCUAUACAGAAAGUUAAGAAUUCUUUUGUUUGUAAUAUGUGGGGGUGGGCAAAAUUGUAUAAUGGUGCGGAGCCUCGUUCUCUUAUAGGUUUCUUGGAGUGGAUAGCCUCCAGUUAAGGGUCGGUGGGUUUUUUUUGUUGUGAGGUCUUCGUCGCCUCAUAUACUCCCUGUAUGCUAUGCGGCGCUUUGCCUUUUGCUAAUAUUUGUGUUUAUUUAUCGAAAAAAAAAUGAUUUAAUUAUUUGAAGGUUCUUAUUUAUUUGCUUGGUAGAUCUUUCUCUAUGCCUGUUAAUGAAGAAUUUGAGUUGUAUUCUAGUUCCUUGGUAGCUGCAAUUGGAAAAAAGUUGGAUGUGGAAACAGGCAUCAUGAUUUUGUUUUUUAUGAGGAUGUUCAUUCAUAAAUUGAGUAUUCUAGUUCAAUAGCAGUGAGCAUUUUCUUUUUAUAAAUUAGUUCAUGUUUUGAUUCUUCAUUUAUUUUCAAUUUCCUCUUUUCUGAUACUUGACUUUUAGCAAAUCAUAUUUCUGAAUACAGCUUUACUCUUUUGCAUCAAGAGAACAUAGAGUUUCAAAAUUUUGGUCUCCGUCACAAUGUUGCUCAACUUUGUGUUUUGAAGGUAUGAAUGGUUGUUGAUAUUAAGAAUUAUGACUUCUAUAGCUUCUCUUUUCAGGUGCUUAUGGCUUUACUUCCUGGAGGCAUGUAUGUUAUAUUUUUAGUGCAUUUAUAGAAAAACUUAUCUGCUGAUUCCUGAUCAUUUUCAAGUAACUUGGUAACUUUUUUUUUUUUAAUUGAAUUACAAUCUACCAUGUAAAUAUCUUUUCUAAAAUUGCUCAUUUUCCCUGUUUCACCCUAUCUACUACCUCUGCAUGUGUGUUUGGGUUGUGAUAAAUGAACUAUAUGAAACUAAAAUAUCUUUUAGAUGUGAUUGCAUAUUCUAACAAUAUAUGGUCCCAACUUAAGAACAAGGAUUCUGAAAAGUGCCAAGGUUUGAUGAAGGAUAUAAUUGUACAUAGGCUUGAUGGUAAAGAAGGAUUUAGCUAGACCCAAGCAGUGGGAUUAAGGCUUUGUGGAGUUGAGAAUAAUCCAUCAAUCUAUACUCAAUAAAUGUUUGGGAGCACUCAAAUUAGGUAUAGAACUCUUGGUGUCAGAUCAAACUCCAAUCACCUUGUAGGGAAAUUAUCUAGUGAUAAAUUUGAAUUUGAAGUUCAAUAUGAGUCUCAGAAAGUUUUAAAUGCUUGACUUUGAUCAAACUUCUUCCAGUCUAUAAGUAGAAUUAUGUUGUCUUCUUAUAUAAAAGUUUACAAAAGUUUUAAGUCCAUUUACAUAGGCAAGAGUAUAUAAAAGUAACAGAUCUUUUGGGUACCCUUUCCUUGCAACCUACAAUUUUACCAACAAAGGCGAAUUGGCUCAUAACAUUUUGUGAGUUGCAUUUGUUUAGUUAUACUAUUUCUCUUUUUAUUUUGUGGAUAUUUCUUGAACUUUUGACAAUUUGUUUUUAAAUUGGUGAGCCACAUCAACUUGUUUAAGAUUUGAUUUUAAGAUGUCUACCUGAUUGGUUGAGGGACAUGUGCUUUUAGUCUGUCCAGCAUGAUGCCAAUAUUAUAACUUUUGUGUUUUCCACAUCUAUUGUUUUUAUAUUUCUUUGCCUACAUGCUUUGCUGCUGUGGAGAAGAUCACUCUUGCUUCCAACUUUUGACAUAUUUUCUUUCUCUUAGUUGACUUUUCUUUUUCUUGUAUAAUAAUUCUAUUUUCAUUUUUUUUUAAAAUCAGAUGAAUCGAAAUCAGUCCAAUUCCGAUGUAGAUACUAAAGCAUCACAGUAAGUUCUCACACAUGAUUUUCUUUUUCAAGUAACAAAAUUAUAUUAAUAAUGAAAAUGCAUUACAACAAAAGGAUGAGAGAUAUCUAACAGAGGCUAAAGGAGAAUAGAAAAAGAAAAAUGUGGUGGUAUAGAUUAAAUAAACACAAAGCAAUCCAACCACAAUUCAAGGGGGGCUGAAAACCCCCAUGAAGACAUCCAUGGACAUGGCACCCUUCUUGGUUAGCCUGUCAGCUGCUUUGAUCUAGGCUCCAAAACUCCAUGUCUGCUGAUAAGUUGGAAAUCUCUCUCACACCAAUGCUCCAGCAGUCUCUCUCUUGGAAGUUAAGCAAGAAAAUAACCAGCGAAGCAUCCCCUUACAUAAGAAGGUUCUUGAUCCUCAUAGAGAGCCUCUCUCAAGCAGCCCAAGAAAGCUAAAAUUCCCACCUUGAUGCCGAAACCAAAAUCAGCUAACUUCAAGAAAUCCCCACAUGAUAUUACGAUCAUACUUGUCAUUUCUUUUCCAGCCAUGCCUUGCAUGCUAUAGCUGGAGUAGCACAAGGCUACUGCAAUAUGCUUCUUUUCUUGCCAAAGCCUUCAAAGGAAACAAUCAUCAUAUCUGAUAUCCAUAGAGGUGACCGUUAAAUCCCUGCUUAGGAAAUAGUCAUCAUAAGAUCAGGGCUUUUUUAUAAUGCUAUUCUUCUCCUAUGAAAUCAAUUGUUUGUUUCCCAUCAGGGGGAAAAAAAUCAUCUGCAGUUUUUCCAUUAGCUAGGCAAGAAUACACCUUUCAAGACAUUAGAUUUUGUGAAUUCCAAUUUAAAAUAUGCCUUUGUUAUUGUUCUCAUUGGACCGAACUGAUAAACCUUUGUCAUUGUUCUGUCUGACUGAACUGAUAAACCUUUGUAAUUGCACUUAAUUCUUGUAGUUUUAGCUUUUUAUUUGUCUGGGGUGCUCAUGAAGCCAUGUCUUCUGUCAAGCCUCACCUUACAGAUGUAGGCCUUAUGCAUUGUGUGUUAGACUAAAAUGGGUUCUGAUUAUAACAUUAUAAGUUUUUUUUUUUUUCUUUUUGAUAGGUAAGUAGAGCUUGUAUUAGAAGAGCCUAGAAAUGAUGAAAACAGUACACACUAAGUAUACAAUCAGAACACCAAAAAAACUAGGCGAAGAAAACAAAAAACCUUUCCCCUAGCUAGACAUAUAGUCAUUCUAUAAAGUCAAUCAUAGACAAAGUAUGAUCCUCUAUAAACACCCUAACCCAAUUUACAAGAGUAUACAAAAAGGAAUGUUUUAAAGCUUGGUUCGACCGUUUGAUACCAUUGAAUGCUCUUUCAUUUCUUUCUAUAAGGUCCACAUUAAGCAUAAAGGGGCAGCCCUCCAAGUCUUCUCCCUUCUCUUACCCACAAAGGCACCAUGCCAACCAAGCAAAUUCCUUUUAAUUGAAGAAUGCAAAACCCACUGCACACCAAAAAAAGGAGAAAAUCAAACUCCAAAGCAUUGUAACCUUUUUACAAAACAAGAUUAAAUGAUCACUAGUUUCCUCUUUCUCUUUACACAAGUAGCACCUAUUCGGCAUAUUCCAUCCCCUCUUUUUGAGCUGAUCGAUGGUCGAAAUUCUUGUUCCCAGACACUUCCCAAGCAAAAACGCUCACCCUCAUAGGAGCCUAAGACCUCCAAAUAAGACCCCAAGGAAAAGGGUCACUAUAGGCCCUCAUGAGGGAGCAGUAGAGGGAUCUAACAAAGAAAAUGCCGUCCCUACUUUCUUUCCAACUCAAAGCAUCCUCCACUUCUCUUCUCACUACCAAAGGAUGCAAUUUUCAGAAUAAGCCCUCCAACUCUUCCAAUUUCCAAUCAUUAAAAUGCCUUGAGAAGUGAGGAUUCCAACAACCUGACUCCCCACUCCUCUCCCAAGCAUUUGACACCCAUUCAUCUUUGCUAACCGCCAAUCAAUAUAGGUUUAGGGAAUGCUUCUUUCAAUGUUUGGUCUUUACACCACAAGUCCUUCCAAAACUUGACCUUUCUCUCAUUCCCAACAAUAAAGCGAGAUCUACAACGAAUACCCUUCCAUUCUUUUCUAAUGGCUUUCCACACCCCCACACCAUAGCCUUCCCUUGCCACUCUCGAACACCACCCUCCUUCCUCUAACCCAAAUUUGUUGAUGAUGACUUGUUUCCAAAAGGACUUCCUCUUUACCGCAAAUCUCCAACUCCACUUCCCAAGUAAGACUUUGUUUAGAGCCACAAGUCUACAAAUUCCUAAGCCUCCCUCCUUCUUAUCAAUACAAACCAAGCUCCAAUUCCCCAAGUGAGUUUUUUUUUCUAAGGCAACACCACCCCACAAAAAGUCCCUUUGAAUCUUUUCAAGUCUUGCACACACCUUCCGCAGAAUAACAAAGAGAGAUAGGAAGCAAAUUGGAAGACUUGAUAAAGUACUUUUUAUCAAGGUGAGCCUCCUCCCCUUAAAGAGAUAUUGCCUUUCCCACAAAGACAAUCUUUUCCCGAAUCUCUCUUCCACUGCAUCCCACACCCUAGAAGAUUUGAAUGAGGCACCCAAAGGAAGUCCCAGAUAAGAAGUAGGGAACUUCCCAACUCUAUACCCCAUCAUUGAAACAACAUCUUCCAAAGACUCAAUCCUUCCUCUGGGGAUAACCUCACUUUUAUCUUUAUUCACUUUUAAAUUAGAGAUUGCCUUGAACCACAAAAACACUCAACUCAAGUAUCUCAGAUUUUCACUAUUGGCAUUGCAAAAAAUUAGAGUGUCGUCGACAAACAGGAGAUGGAGCAAGUCCUUCCCUUCCCCACCGCUUCUUCCCAUCUUAAACCCCCCAACGAAGCCCCCACAACUGGUUCUAGACAGCAGUUGACUGAGAGCCUCCAUGACCAAAAUGAAAAGAUAGGGAGAUAGUGAGUCACCUUGUCUCGAGCCCUUAGUGCUGUGGAAGAAGUCGGAAUGGGUUUCGUUGAUUAAAACUGAGAAGUUAGUGGUGGAGAUACACCACCUGAUCCAGCUAAUCCACCUUUCUUCAAACCUCAUAUUAGACUUGACAGCAAAAAGGAAGUCUCAGUUGACAUGGUCAAACGCCUUCUCAAUGUCCAAUUUUAGAAGGAGGCCAGGAUGUUGACCUUUAACCUAGAAUCCACAGCCUCAUUUGCAAUCAAGGCAGCGUCUAGAAUCUGUCUACCCCAAAUAAAGGCAUGCUGGUUGUAACGACCUGCUCCCAACCGUGUAGAUAUUGUCUGCUUUGAACCCAAAGGGAGCCCUCACGGCUUUAAAACGCGUCUACUUGGUUAAGAGGAGCCUCUACAUAUAUAGCGCCAGGAACUUUCUCCCCUAUCCGAUGUGGGACAUCACAAACACCCCCCCAUGCAGACACAACGUCCUCAUUGUGUCCCAUGGGAUUGUGGGGUCCAACAGACAAACACCCCUUACGGAACCAAACAAACCCUCACACCGGGGUCGGGGAUCGGCUCUGAUACCAUUUGUAACGACCCACUUCCAACCGUGUAGAUAUUGUCCGCUUUUGACCCAAAGGGAGUCCUCAUGGCUUUAAACGCGUCUAUUUAGUUAAGAGGAGCCUCUAUAUAUAUAGCGUCAUGAACUUUCUCCCCUAUCCGAUGUGGGACAUCACACUAGUUAUUUGAAACCAACAUCCCUACUAUUGACUUCAACCUAUUUGCUAGGACUUGGGCGAGAAGCUUGUAUAGUCCUCCAACCAUACUGAUCGGUCUAAAGUCUUUCAACCCUUCCGCACCCUUUUUUUUGGGAAUUAAAAGUAGUAAAGUGGAGUUUAAACCCCUCUAGAAUGUGCCAAGGCGAAAGAAAUCUUCGAAAAGAGCCAUAAUCUUAGUUUUAGUAAAAUCCCAGCAAAAGUCCUAGAACGCCAUGGUGAAGCCGUUUGGGCCUGGUGCUUUGUCACUAGAAAGGCUGGAAAGGGCUUCAAACACCUCUUUCUUCCAAAAAUGGCUCUUCUAAACUUCUAUACCUUUUUUCUCCCAGCACUCUAAACUGAAGACUCCCAAGACGCAGCCUCCAAUCCCCAUUUUUUAGUCAGUAGAGUCUGGUAAGUCCUGCACACCCCGACCUUGAUUUCUUCUUCGUCAAUCAGUGUAACCCCAUUAAUUUUCACCUUGGAUAAUAAAUUCCUUCUUGCCCUAGCAUUGGCCAUCUUAUGAAAAAACCUGGUGUUUUUUUCGUCUUCCUUUAACCAAAUUUCCCUAAAUUUUUGUCUCCAUGAAGCUUCUUCCAAUAAAGCCCAUUUUUUAUACUCCUCUAAAGCCUCUUUUCUAACCUCUGCCUCCUCGAUAGAAAGGGGAUUAACUCUCUCCUUGGAAUCCCAUAAUUGAACUCGAGAAAAGGCUUCUGAUUUCCUAAAAGGGACAUUGCUGAAAACUUCUUUAUUUGACACUCUAAGAUCUUUUUUAAGAGCUUUCAGCUUCUCAGCAAGGCAAUGACUACUACUCCCAACAACCGGAUACUUAAUCCACCACUUCCUCACUAACUCUUUGAAUCCAUCCGCUAACAACCACAUAUUCUCAAAACAGAAAGGGGUUUUGCCCUUUUUAACCCCUCCACCCCCUAGAGUGAUGGGACAGUGAUCAAAGGCAAUUCUGGGAAGAGUGCAUUGGAAGAUACCUGGAAAGUGGUCCUCCCACUCAUCGAAAACUAAAAAGCGAUCCAACCUUGAUGCAACUUGAGAGUUAGAGCCACCACACCACGUGAACAGGCCACUAGAAAGGGGUAAUCCUUCCAUCUCGGUUCCUCGAUGACUUCAAAGAACCUUCUCAUCUUUUCCGUCAAACUAAACUCAUUCCUCCUUUCCCCUGGAAAUCUAACAAAGUUGAAAUCCCCCCCCCCCCCCCCCCGUACACACCAGGGAUCGUCCCACAAACCUUUAAUUGCACCCAACUCAUCCCAAAAGUCCUUUUUUUCCCUUGAGAAGACUGGACCAUAGACACCAGUGAAUACCCAAACAAAACCAUCUUCCACAUUCCUAAAACGACCCGAGAUGGUGAAACCUCCACACUCCAGCUCCAGAAGAUCCAAAACUAUAUUGUCCCAAAAGAUCAAAAUGCCUUUGGAUGCUCUCCUAGCAUCAACUGCACCCCAAUCCAAAAACCUACCAACACCUAGACUUUUCACCACCUUUAAUGACAUCUCUUGCAUCUUUGUCUCAAUAAGACAAACCAAAUAUGCCUUCUGGGACCUAAUCACCAAUUUAAGCAGUUUACAUUUCUCCCUGUCAUUGAGCCCUCUAACAUUCCAAGAGAGGAUUUUGAUCUUCAUCAAUCCACCGAAAUUAGCUCCCAAUAGUUUAUGCCACUCCUUUUGGAUGCAAGUGCAGAAUCUCCAUAAUUGAUCGAACAAUCCAACCUCUUAAGCUCCCUUUUAGAGCGAGAAACGGGCACCGAUCUUCCUCCCUUUACAAGGGGUCCUACUACUAGCCUUCUUCCACAUCUUACUCAGCAACAAGUGGAUCUCUUUAUCACACCCCUCAAUCGGCAUUCCCAAAAAACUGCUAAACUCUUUGAACCUGGAGAGCUCCUUGUUGGAAAGCAAGCCCUCACCAAGAGAAACAUUUUCAGGGAAGACGACCUCUAAGCCAUCUGGCAAAACCAUAGACAGAGGCCCUUUCACAGCUUCAGCCCCUUUCUCGAACGCAUCGGGAGAAGCCAUCUCGGGGGAAUCACCCCUUACCUUCUCAAGAACACUCCCUCUAUAGUCCCCACCAACAAUAGCAAAACCCUAAGCCUAGAAGGAGAAGAAGGAGAAAAAGAAGAAUAAGGCCCUUCCCCUUAAGAAGUACAGGACGAAGAGAGCAUACCUUGGAAUUUGAGGACUUCUUCUAGAAGGACAUCAUCAGCUGAAGGCUUCAAAGUCACCACUGAAACCAUCAGAGUUGACGCGCAAGGAUUGGGGCCUUUAAAGGAGGCCAAUGCAGUCGACGAGCUACUAAGGUACCAAUCUGAAGGAAAAUAGCAAGGAAGAGGAGGAGAAAAUGAUCCAAAGACAAGCUUUUCCCCUCUCCUUAAAGGGCAGCCCCGACCCAAAUCUAAUUGGGCUUUAAAUAAAGAAGGCCUUUUAAGUUUAGCACCUUUCUCUGGGCCCAACAAAGUCUGGCCCAACACAGAAGAGCCCCCUCCAUUAAGCUCUAGCCCAUCACCUGUGGGGAGCAGACUGGUCUGUGCACUAGCAACUACUCCCAUCACAUCAAGGAUGGUGUCUUCUUCCCCUUUUGCAGAGAUCAGUGGAUCAUCCAAUGACACCAGGCUAAGCCCCCUUCACAAAAAGAACUUCAGCUACUCUCUGAGGGGCAUGUGACCCAUCCACGCCCUCAUCCCCUCCCCCCUUCCUUUGCAACACUGCAAGGGUUUCACCUCGCUCUUCCAUGGAGGAGUCUCCCACCACAGCUGGAUCGUGUAACUGGUGGAAACAACCACCACCUGCAGGGAACUGGGAAAGUUCCACCCUUUGGCUUUGACAAGAAUCCUAGCCCACAACAAAAACUUGCUUUCCGACGUAUCCUCAUCAACAGCCACAAGCUUCCCCCAAACUUUUGAACAGACUCUUCACCCAAAGAUGCAAAGGGAGACCCAGAAUUCUAACCCCACACCUCACAAAACUCCUUGUCCUUAGUGAGACACCCAACAAAGGGGUUCCACCAAUCCAAAAAGAGACUUUUUCCCCUAAACCACUUCACCCUUGUAUGAAGAACCCAUUCAGCUUUGCCAGUAUCUUCAAACUCAAAGAGGAUUAGGGGUCCUCCCAACAGAGCCAGGUGAAGAUUUCCUUUCAACCUCCAAACAGACUAAGCUUAGGGCUUAAGAGAGACGAGAUCAAAGAACGGGUCAGAGAGUCCCCCCCCCCCCCCCAUCUCCCCACCAAGCUCCUAUUCAGAACUUCCUCAUUACUGUCAAUCACUUCCUUUUCGAUUUCCAGCCACACCGCAUUACGAAGUUCAGCAGAGCUAGAAGUCUUUGCCUCUACCAUGGAGUACUCCUUCCCACCAGGGGCUUUAGGCUCUUCUCCCCUUUGGGCCAAGGAAAAACCCAAACUUCUCAACUUUCCAGCCAAGAGUUUCCAUCCCCCAACCACACCCCUUCCUUCGGGAAACACCAAGGAGAAUCUCUUGCCUUCCACAUCCCAAGCUGUGCAAAACAGAAAACGUCCUGCCUUGUUACUGCACAACUCCAACUGGUACCUUCUGCCCCCCUCCGCCCAAGAUUUUCUGAAACGAUCCCCUAUCUUGAGACUGUUGCAGGUCUCAGCCCCUUCCAACAGGAAGGCCAAACCUUUACCACUGAAGUGGAACCAGGAAGAGAAGUUUGGGCCCCUCUCACAGACUCUCUCCCACUCACUUUCCCUUUGACCUCUCCAAUAGAAAUCUCAAAGGUCUUUGAAUCCACACCGAACCAGCACUUGCCUCUGGGAGAAACCACUGCCAUUGUUCCAGAGGACAGGAUCUUUCCUUAUAAGUUAUUUUUUCUUCCAAUUUCUUUUUAACUUUCUCUAUAGAUGUAAGAAAAGAGGAGAAAAUGACCAACUAACUAUAAAGAAAGGUUCCUUGCUACCAGCUAAAUUUAACCAUUGAACCAUUAUAGGAAGUGCCUGAAGUUAGAAAUGAUAAUGAACCAUCAACCAUCUCUCAAAGAAGGUUCUAGUUUUGGGAAAUCUGCCAUCUGAACUGGUGUAUUCAUCAUAAUUUCAACUUCUGCUUUAAAUGAAGAAUCUUUGUUAAAAUAAAGAGUGAGGAGAAAAUGACCAAUUAACUAUACAGAAAGACUCCUUAACACCAACUAAAUUUAACCCUGAAACUAUUAUAGGAAGGUGCCUGAAUGUAGAAAUGAUAAUGAACCAUUGACCGUCUCUCAAAAAAGGUUCUUGUUUUGGGAAAUCUGCUAUCUGAGCUGGUGUAUUUGUCAUUCUUUUAACUUUCUGCUUUAAACAAAGAAUCUUAUCAAGCUACACAAAUAUAUUGUGUCAAAACUUAAAAGCAAGUUUAACCAUAGGAUUUGUGUUUCAUACAUUCUUUAUUGUGAUGGAAUAAUGGACACUAAGGACAAGUCUAACCACAAGGUUUUUGUUUCGUAAUUUAUUUAGUAUGUUAAAUGCCUCCAAUAAUAUGUUACAUGUACAUGUUAUUUUUACCUGGCCUCUUCAUAUUUUAAUGAUUGGGUGUUACUUAACUUUUGGAGUUGUAAGUUGUAACUUGUACAGCAUCUCAAUUGUCCUAUGCCAUAGGCAUGCAAAGUUGAAAUGUUAAAAAAUAAAAAUAAAAAAAAUAAAAAAACCCUUUACUUUAUUCAGAAAAGGAGGAAUAGAUUUUUUUUCAUUGUUUUCAUUCCACAUAUUUCUUGAACAAAUUUUAUAUUUAAAGUGUUGAAUUUGCAUUUUUAGCUGGGAGGCUAUUGAAUUAGCUGUACUUGUAAUGGUUUUCCAGGAUAUUCUGUUAUAUUAUCCUUGUAAUCAUGGGUCACUAGUUAAGCAGCUGAUGUUGAAUGUGCAUAUUUAGGAUUCCACCUACUCGAAGUUUAAUUGUUGGAAAUAUACAUGUGCUCUUCAACCCAAAUCGAGGAGACAUCAAGCUAGGUCAGGUAAUAAUUAUUACUAGCUGUCUAGCACUGGUGAAGUUCUUAUAAUUUGUAAGCUGUGAUUUAAUUUGUAAGCAUUGAGAUUGAAACCUUUUUUUGUUUUAAUUUUUUUCUAUUUUUUCUUGUUUUUCUUUUCCUCUGGUAUAGAUCUGAACACAAGAUCUGAACACAAGAUCAUGUUAGAUUGUCGUAAAUUUGGAGCUUCAAUGUUGAAUUUUUGUGCAUUAAUAUAUUCAUUAAGGUACCCCUUUAUGACUGGUUAUGGAUGAAUCAAACAUAUUCAAGAAGGGGUCCCAUAUUAUGUACUUAUACAUAAUUUACUGAUUAAGAUAGUUCAGUCGGUGUGAGGUAAGCACUAUGCUAGAAUGAUAAAAUUCACUAUAUGCAAACUUUGCAAGGAAACUGGAAUCUACACUUCUUGAGGGACUUCAAUGAUUGGGAGUUGGAGUUGGUUGGGGACUUUCUCCACAUAUUGAGGGGUUUCAAACCUUUCUUGGAGGAAGAUUCAGUCCUAUGGAGGAAAAGAAGAAGUGGUCAGUUUAGGGUCAAGGAAGCUUAUAGUUUAUUGACGAAGUCUGAUGAUAUAGGUUUUCCUUCAAGAAGCAUUUGGGUGGCAAGAGUGCCAACUAAAGUUGCCUUUUUUACGUGGGAGGCGUCAUGGGGGAAGGUGCUAACUUUGGAUAGACUUCAAAGAAGAGGAUUUCAACUUCCAAAUCGUUGUUUUUUGUGUGGAUGUGAAGAAGAAAGUGUAAAUCAUAUCCUUAUAUAUUGUACAGUGGUUAGGGCUUUAUGGGAUAUUGUUUUUGGUUUAGUUGAUGUGAAAUGGGUUUUUCCAGGAACUGUAAAGGAGGUUUUAGCUAGUUGGAGGGGAUCGUUUGUGGGAAAGAAAAGGAAAAAGAUAUGGGAUGCCAUUCCGUUGUGUAUUUUUUGGACGGUGUGGAAGGAGAGGAAUAGAUUAGCUUUUAGGGGGGGGGGGGUUUGAAUGUUCAAAAGUUAAAGAAUUCUUUUGUUUGUAAUUUGUGGAGUUGGGCCAAAUUGUAUGUAGGUGAGGAGGCGUUCUCCCUUAUAGGCUUCUUAGAGUGGAUAGCUUCCGCUUAAAGGGAGGUGAUUCUUUGUUUUUGUUUUUUGAGGCCUAAGCUGCCUUGUAUACUUCAUGUAUGCUGUGCGGCGUUUUGCCUUUCUUAAUGCAUAUCUUUUACUUAUCAAAAAAAAAAAUUAUCCACACAGUGGGGUGUUUCACAUGGAAUUCUGGAAGAUAGUUUUGCUAAAUAACUUUAAGACAUUAUGUAAAGGUGGUCUGAAAUUUGAGACGACUUUCAAGUUGUUCCUCUCACAUUUGCUUGGG